AAGAACACGGUGAACCAAGUGGCCAAGAAGGUCCUCUACGUCGGGUCCAACGGCGAGCUCCACCCGUCGCGGUUCAGCGAGAAAGACCUGAUCAAGGUGGUCGACCGGGAGUACGUCUUCGCCUACAUCGAUGACCCCUGCAGCGCCACGUACCCCCUGAUGCAGAAACUGAGGCAGGUCCUCGUGGACGAUGCGCUGGACGACGUCGACCGGGAGAAGAACCCCAGCACCUCCAUCUUCCAGAAGAUUGGGGCUUUCGAGGAGGAGCUCAAGGCACUCCUCCCGAAGGAGGUCGAGAACGCGAGAGCUCAGUUCGAGAGCGGGAACUCGGCGAUCGCUAACAAGAUCAGGGGGUGCAGGUCGUACCCAUUGUACAGGUUCGUGAGGGAAGAGCUCGGGACCGGUUUGCUCACGGGGGAGAAGGUCGGCUCGCCGGGCGAGGACUUUGAUCUGGUGUUCUCCGCCAUGUGCGAGGGCAAGCUGAUCGAUCCUUUGCUGGAGUGCUUGAGGGACUGGGAUGGUGCUCCGCUUCCCAUCUGUUAGAAACUUUUCCAAAUCCUGAAGACUGCCUCAUAAUUUAACUUGCCCUAAUCUUGGUAUGUACUUAGAGAGUUUUUCAUGGUCGAGAAACUGCGGUUAAAAUUGUAAUGUCUCUUAUGUCUUUUGUUCAGUUCCUUCUUAUUCAAACACCCCCCCCCCCCUCGAUGUAUAUUUGUACUUGGAACUUCAUCGGUGUAACAACAAUGUUGAAACACGUGAAGAAAUACAACAUACAUUUCGUUACAUUUUCGUUCUUAUAAAGGAUCUUGACAUUUACUCUGCAUUGUGAGCUAAUUGUUAUUGGGUACAUCUUAUUGUAUCUCCCAACUUGAACCUACCAAACGUAAAAUUAGAAUGAACAUGUAUUUCUUAAAGGGAGCUACCCUCGUUAGAAAUUAAGUGGGUUAUGUAUUAAGAAUCAAUAUUAUAUUUAAGUUCAUGAAAAGGAACAGGUUUAUAUGAAAAGACAUUCAGAUAAUAUAUGCAUCAUUAUUGAUUUAGUCUACAUUAUUCUAAUUAAAUGAAUGCAUAUUAUUUCAGGGCUCCACAUGUAUAAAAAAGUUAGAGGUUGCUCAUCUUUGCUUAGGCCUAGAAUGAUGCCCAACCAACCUCUUUGCCAUGACUUUUGGAAGAGGUUGACCUACCGAGCAUGAAUUUCUUUGUGGGUUGGCCCGAAAAGGCAAUAAAUCAUUUGGGAUGGGACAUAUAUUCCAAAUUGAGUGGUUGCCUCCAGAGCAGGAUAACUCUAUGAUUGGCAAAUAUGAGGCCUCGUUCCUAGAAAAAUAUCACAACUUUGGAUUUUCCUCGAUGCACUUGGCCUAAUCCAUGAGGAGGUUUCUGCCCAAAAUGGUAACCUAGCUAGCAAAACCGAAGUGUCACAUGGAUCUAUUUAGGACAUGUCACGGUCGAUUCCCAGUGUUCGAACCACAAAAUUAUGGCCCCAAACCCACACUACCUUCUAUGCCAAACCAUAACUGAUGGAGUUUGUAUCAACUUAACCUCGCGCAAUUUGUGUAAUCGAUAGAUUGAUAAGGAUGUUAGGUCGGCCGCCAUAUCAUGUGAUGGCGGAUUCUGUUCAAGUUUAGCUGAACCUCGCUGGUUCAAAGGUGGUACAGUCCCACUUUUUAGUCUCUAAUAAGCUGUCGAAAGCACAAGCAUGGAUACCUUCGAUCUUCCCACUCAAUUUGAGGUCCAUAUACGAGAUUGAAUGUGGAGAAAUGGGUGCGUAUCUGGUAUCACUGAAUUCUCUGAGUCACUGACAGACUCCAUCAUUUGGUUACCUCUUUUUUGUGGAAAGUUCCCUUCUGUAGCAUUAGUGCAGAAGAGCAGACAGUUUCAGCUCCCUGGGGACAAGUUGUCUAGGGCAGAUAAGACAGAAAGUGGAAGAUCCACGUUUAGACACGUCACUCCAAUGUAAAACAGCCAACGGAUUUCCUAGACAUGGGCAACAAUCAUUCCUAAUCCUCAAAGUGGUCGGAUGUCAAUGCGUCUGUCUCUCUCUCUACCUCACACGGCGCUUUCAAUAUGUCUUGCUUCAUGUCUUCGAACUUGUGUUUGCCUGGCCGGUGAACUCAACCAUAUGGGGAAGCAUAUAGCUCGCUCUUCUUCUGUUCGAUUGACCUCUUUCGAAUGUGAAUUCUGGGUUUCUCUCUCCCUCUGGAGAUCGAUGGACACACGCAUCGAUCAAAGCAGGUGAGUGAACUUUGACAUGUUCUUACUCUUUCGCUUUCUAAACAAUUUUGGUUAGGGAUAGCAAAAGAUCGUGAUUCUAAUAAUGUUGUUUUUCCGAACAGGCCUCUCUAUAUGGGUUGACAAUAGCCCUAUAUUUUGGAAUAAUAUGAUAAAUGCAAGCAAUAAAGGGAUUGAUUUUACAUUCUAUGUUCAUGGGAUGUCGAGUUUUCUUCGUGAUGACAAAUCACUUUAUAUAUAUUUAUAUAACCAUAGCAAAAUUCAACUAUCUCGUAAUCAAGGAGUAACCCGAGAAUUUAUCCAUCAAUUCAAAAACUACCAUUCCCUUCACGUGCCAAACAAGAUAUAAAAGAUGCCUAAGCCGUACCAACUGCCCGAAGUACAAAUAACCAGAAACCAUAGAGUGAAGAUCAAUUAUUUGCCUUCAUUAGCCAUUACAUUGUCCCUUCGAACUUGUAAAUCUCCCCUUUUUGCCUAAUACGCUAAUCAAUCCACAAAACGUUAUCAAGUAAGGACCUGUAAAAUCAAGUGCUGUAGGCCUGAAAGAUUCAUUUGCUGACGGCAUUCUGUGCAAGUUAAGAACUAACUCAGGAGGAAUGGUUGAGGAAGCUUCAUUUGCUAAGUACGUCAAGGUAUUCAUGUACUGCGUAUAGCACACCAAAAGCAAAACUCAUUGGUAGAGCAACAUAUAUGGAGAGAGAACCCAUAUAAAUAUGUGUGUCCUCCAAUCCACCUACACGGGCACACACUUGGGUUACAUAGAGAUGGAAGGACAAGCCCAGCGUUCGAAAGAAAAGGAACAUUUUGACAUUGUUAUGGCAGUCAAACAAAGUCUUGCUAGCAAUUAAGUAGUAAGCAAGCAUCCAAAACUAAAUAUAUCAGAAGCACACCCAGCUGAAGCCGUUUUGGACCAGACCACUUUAGGAGCAGUGCAAUUGAGUGAUGGCUGCAAAAGACAGUACAGAAUCCUCAACAUCAUAUUCCUGCACGAUCAUUACAAAAGCUGGCAUAAGUAACCAAACUGCCAUCAUACUAAUAUCCGCAAUAACAUGCUGAACAAAAUGUGAGAAUUGUGCCACACAAUACUGUCAUGACUUGCAUACAAGAGAAUUUUCAGUCUAUUUCCACAGUUUAACAUCACUAAGUACUAGAUCAAGAAUGGUUGGGAUAGCAAGAGAACAAGAAUCGAGUAGGGAGAAACUACAAAAACACAAUCAGUCACCAACUUGAAGUCAGGAUGAGUAAAAUCAUCGUGAAUAAAGGAAAAUGAUAAGUAACUUUCACCAACCUCUAUUGUGAGAUCAAAAUAUGAAAAAGGAAUGUGCAACGGUUAUGUCCCAAAGAAUGGAGAGAUGAAAACAAAGUCGGUUUCCUUCACUCAUCAUCUUAUUGAGUUAUCCAAACACAGAAUAAUGAAAAAGUUGCAGACUAGAUAAAUCCACGGUGGCCUGAUCUGAGGAAAUGGCAAAACCAAAUCCACAAGCUUCCAAGAUCCACUUGAUGUAAUAAGCACAUUCUGCAAAAAGAUGUUCCGACAAUUACUUAUGCAUGUCCAAAUACCCAUAUGCUCUUCUUAAAUCCCGAAUUUAAGAGUGAAACAACAUAAUUUUACUUAAAAGGGUAGAAACACCACCCAAUAAAGGGAAAGACAAAGUUAUCUUCUUUUAAGAGUGAAACAACUUAAUUUAGAAAUUACCAACUUAUUUGGAGCUUGCAAAUUCCUAAAUUUUGUACAAAAUUAUCUCCUUUUAUUUGCAUAUUUUACCAAGGGAAAAUUUUAAAAAGGGACUCGAAGUACCAUCUUUUCCUCAAAUAAGAGUCCAAAGAGGAUAUUGUUUCAAAUAAGGACUGAAAGUGAAUAUUGUUUAAAAUAAUGAUCUAAAGCAGUUACGUUUUUUUUUUUUUUUGGUGACCCGAGAAUCACCAUACAACUGGCAACCAGUGGCGUAAAUCCGAGGUGGACUGAGCCACCACCACAGACCCAGCCGCGGGUGAGUCGCGCGAAUGCGACGCCUCUGGGAUUCGAACUCCUUCCCUUCAUGAGGGGGAGAGAGCCCGAAGCCAGCUACACCACCGCGGGCGGUGGUAUCUAAAGCGGUUAUGUUUGUUUCAAAUAAGGAUUUAAAAUGGCUAUAUCCGUUUCUAAUAACUUUUCGGCAAUCACGGUAUUUUCGUCAUUUGUCAUUUUUCCUCUCUUUUUUUUUUUUUUCUUUUUUCUUCUGGUUCUUCUUCUUCCUCUUCGCCGGCGAAGAGGAAGAAGCAGAACCAAAAAAAUAAAAGAAAGGAAAAAAGGGAAAAAUGCCAAAUGACGAACUGAUUGGAAAAUUUAGCGGGUUGGUGAUGGGCAAAGUUAGGUCAUUAUUUGAAAUAACCAAAGCCAUUUCAGGCCUUUAUUUGAAAUAAUCAAGGCCAUUUCAAAUCUUUAUUUGAAAUAAAAUCCACUUUGGGCUCUUAUUUGAAAAAAUAAGGACACUUUGGCUCCUUUUUAAAAAUUUUCCCUUUUACUAAUGCUUUGAAUUCGCUAACUAUUUUAUAAAAUUCAUAAGCUAAAUUAGUAUUAUUUACUAAAUUUUGUCAAAUUAAAAUUUUUAGUUUUGAUUUACCAACUAUCUUUGAAUUAUUUACGAAUAUUUAAUUUUUUUUUAUCUACCAAUUGUCUUGUUAAAGUUACCAAGUGUGUUUGUCUUGGAGCUAUUUUUUUUUUUUAAAUUUAUAAGACUCAUUCAAAAAUUACCAAUCAAAAUUAGCUUGAUUUAACAAGUUUUCUUCCAUUAAAUUAUCAAAUAGUAUUGAGUGCGUACUUUCAUUUGAAUUACUUACCACACUCUAGUUGUUUAAAUUCUCAAUUUGCCUAAUUUUCUUAUCGUUUCUAAACUUUGCUUUUCCUAGCAACUCUUGUGAUUUACCGACUCCUUUUUCAAAUAUUAUCACAACCUAAUUAAAGUGACAUAACAACUUCUCUUUGAUUAAAUUAUUGGCUAGUCUUGGAUUGCCAACUCUCAUUCGAGUUACUUACGGCAUUUUAUCUUUCCUAACUCCUCCAUACAUAUUUAUCCAAAACAUGCGACAUUAUCAUACGCAAUCACAUCUUUUUCCAUCGAUCUUUUUCAUACAAAAUAUGCAGGACUUCUUGAGCUCCCGAUUAAUCUUCAUUAAAUGAGCUAGUUAUCUCAACUCAAAUAGUGCUUGAUGGUACAUUAUUGUACGUGUAUACACCUGACCAUCAUCUUGAUAGGAUAAGCUUUUGCUAACAAAAUUGCCAAAUAUACAGAUUAGGUAUCAGUUUGGCCAUGGUUUGAUUAAGUCCAGGUAAUUAGCUGCACUUUUGGAUGACUCCGGGUUCGAGACUCCAGCUACCAAAUCAAGACUCGAAAAAAAACAAGAGAUUAGUCGAUUUAACCAUUUUAUUUAAAAAGAUGCUAUUUCCACUUUAUUUUACGAUUUUAAUACCUCUUCUUUUUUCUUGCAAGUUACUUCUCCGAUAUGGGCUUCUAGACGAAGAAGGGUUUGACGUGCAUAUAGUCUAACUUGAUCCGGAUUUUCUUGAUAUAUUAAGUAUAAAUCUACAAGUAAGUACCUAAAAUACAUAUAUAAUAAAGCACAUAAACUCCCAUUUUCUUCUGGACUUAUCAAGAAACCUGAUGGAUGGAGACACCCUUUCGAUUCUUCCAAGGUUGCAACUUGUUGAGGGACAAAAUAAAUUCACAAUUAAAUUCCCAACAUUAGGAACUCGUUGAUAAUACUAGCAUGUACACGUGCAUAUUAGUCAAAAGUCUAGAAAACCUUCCCUUGUUUAUAGGUUAGCUCCAGAUAAAGGUCGAUCUAAAUAAACCCAGGUUGAAGAAUUCAAGAAUAAUUUAAUCUUGAAAAAAAGGAAAACCCAAAACCUCGUCCAUACUUACAUACAUACAUACAUACAUACAUACAUACAGAUACACACACAUAUAAAAGAUACACUUAAGAAUUUCGAGGUUCUUGUUUUAGUUGGUUGAAGUAGUGAAUAGCUUUUAGUCUUUUAAGUAAAGACUAUGAAAUGCAGAGAAGGAGUUGGGACUUGGGAUUAGAUGCCUCCUNNNNNNNNNNNNNNNNNNNNNNNNNNNNNNNNNNNNNNNNNNNNNNNNNNNNNNNNNNNNNNNNNNNNNNNNNNNNNNNNNNNNNNNNNNNNNNNNNNNNNNNNNNNNNNNNNNNNNNNNNNNNNNNNNNNNNNNNNNNNNNNNNNNNNNNNNNNNNNNNNNNNNNNNNNNNNNNNNNNNNNNNNNNNNNNNNNNNNNNNNNNNNNNNNNNNNNNNNNNNNNNNNNNNNNNNNNNNNACAAUGGUCAUUUUUUUUUUUUUUUUUUUAAGUAAGGCGUUGGUAAAUUUAUCAACAGCUUUAUGAAAUUGCCAACUUAUUUAGAGUUUGCAAAUUUACAAAUUUUGUACAAACUUAUCUAUUUUUAUUUGUAUAUCUUGCUAAUGCUUUGAAUUCACUAAUCUUUUUUUUUUAAAAAUGAAAUUGAUAACUUAAAUUAGUGUGAUUUACUAAUUUGUCAAAUUAAGUUUUUAAGUUUUGGUUUACCAACUCUCUGCGAAUUAUUUACCAACAUUUAAUUUUAUUUAAUCCUCCAAAUUUCCCGUUAAAGUUACCAACUUGUAUUACUUUUUACCACCUUUUAUGUAUCUUUCCUAACUCAUCCAAUAUAUGUUUUCUGCGCAACAUGUGACGAAGAUGUGAUCAUACGCAAUCACAUCUUUUUCCGUCGAUCUUUUUCAGACAAAACACACAAGACUUCUUGGGCUCUCAAUUAAUCUCUACUAUAAGAGCUAGUCAUCCCGACUCAGAUAGUGAAGGUCCACAGUAACAUUAUAGGCUCAUGCUCCCUAACACAAUUGCUGGCUGAAUCCAUGAAUUAUGUAUCGGUUUGGCCAUGGUUUGAUAAAGUCUUGGUGAUUAGCUGCACGCUGGUCAACUCCAGCUACCGAAACACACAUUAAUUAAUAAGACUCAGGAAAAUAUUCGCGCCCAAUUACUGCUAUCUGUUCAUAGGAUCCGAUCGAAUAUUUGCGUCACCCUUUUUAUGUCGGAUGUAAAUCUCUUAUUGGCUUCACCAACUCGAAGGAACUGCGACCCUUUGUUUUCUCUCGUCUUCUCUUUCUUUUCUUCCCUCGAUUUUCCUUUAUUUUCUCCGGGGUUGGUGGUAAUCGGUAGGCACGACUUUAAUAAAUUCUUUGGCCCAUGUCCGCAUUUAAAAUGUGGUCUGACCGCAUCUGAAUUGAAAAGCUAGCUACCGUCUCCCUAAGAUGACAGACUGGCGAUUUGAUCGAAAGUGGUGGGACAAAAGGGUAAUGAUAUCCAGUCUUUGGAUCGGAUGGAUGGGAUUUAUUAAUCCCCAGCUAAUCCACUUAAUUUAAUUUACUUCGUCUCAAAAUUCGGGGCUGAGUUCUUUGAAAGUUUCCUUGUGAGCACGGACCUGACUCGCACGUGAUUUGCGAAAUGAAGUGGAUCUUUUCAUGCAAUUAGAUACAAACGGCAUUGGAAAAUAUGGUUUUAUAACUUAGUCAAGUAUUAUAGUUACACCAUUACCCAAAUUUCUGAAUAUCUUUUCAUUUUCGGGAAGUAAAGAAGAAGGACAUGGCUUGGGAUUUACUCUUUCUGGGUCAACAACUUAACAUAGGAUUUUUGGAACAUGACUUUUCGGUUUAAUACGGUCAACAAAUUCAAAAAUAGGGUCAUUCCUAAAUUGAUUUAAUAAUCAAUUUGGGAAUAUUUAAUCUUUAUAUAUCUUCAUGACCUACUCCCAAAACAAGGUAGUUCUGUGGGCAUAUUUAAUCUUUAUAUAGCUUCACGACCUACUCCCAAAACAAGGUAGUUUUGUCUUUACCAGCAACUCAUCGAAAUCACGAUUCCACAACGGAGUUUAGUUUAGGAAUCGAAUUUUCAUUUGACAUUUUAUUUGGUAUAUCCUAUGUUGCUAACAUCCCACAUGGUCAUGGAAUAAGGAAAAAAAAAUUAUGUGAAUGCAGUUUCUUUCUUGGGGAAAAGUCAAAAUAGAAAAACGAAUCCCAUCGUAAAAUCUUUCUUCAAUAUAUGUGAAGACAAAAAGGUCCUCAUAUACUCUUCCAUUUGAGUUGAAAUUAUCACGCAUGGCACUACAUUGAGAUUUAUAGUUUGUACUGAAUUUUGUGAUUGGAUUGAAUUUUAAUUUUUAUUCAAUUUAAAUUUUACGGUCCACAAAUGUUGCAUUUUUGUAAUCCGAAGCGUUCGAGACUUUGACAUUAUAUCUACGAUUUUUUUGGAAUCUAAGUAUUUUAAGUUACGGUGGAAAAACAAAAGGAAUAAAAUUUUCUUUUAAUUAUUUGCAAACAAGCAAGCUCAUCUUAUUACGUCACCGAGAUAAUAAAUUUAGUUUACAAGUGAAAAAUAGAAAUUGUUCAGCACGCUUGUCUCUUGCUAUCAUUGAAGUGUUUAGUGUCAUGCGAAAUAUAAGCAAUUUAUUAAUUAUUAAGUGUUCUAAAGGGUCAAUACAUGUGAGGUUAAUGAAUUAUCGAGAUAUUGAAAGUAUAGUCAAUUGUAAGAGGCAAAUGUCUUCAAUGCUUCGAUUGUCUUUGUGUUCUAUGAAAAAAAGCAAGGAAGAAUAAGGAAAAACGUAGGAAAUUUUUUGUAUAUUCUAUUUUGUAUAUCAAAUAGUGUACAAUGCUCUAUAAUUAUAUCACUAGGCAUGUACAAGAAAAAGGAAAUAAAGAAUAUUACAAAAUCAAUUUCGAUAUUAGACUGAUAUUAAUUGAUCUGGCAUAUCAAUCUAAAUCCUAAAGAAUAUUGCAUAGGAUCGCAUAUCUUCCAACAUUUUCCCUUAAACUGGUAGCUUGUAGAUGUCAAAGACACUUAGCUUGCUUAGUAGUUAUGCGUGCUGUCUCUGACAUAGAGGUUUGGUGAAGACAUCUGCAUGUUGUUCUGUAGUCCCAAUUCUUCUUGUUUCGAUUACCUCCUCUUGAAUCUUCUCUCAAGUGAAGUGACAGUCCACUUCUAUGGGCUUUGUUCUUUCGUGCACUAUAGGAUUGGACGCAAGUUUUGUUAUGUUGUUGUCACAAAACAAUAUGCUGGGUCCCUUUGUUUGCACCCCAAGGUCCUGAAGCAAGCCUCACAGCCACACUAUUUCACAAGUGGUCUUCGCCAUAGCUCGAUAUUCAGCCUCUGUUGAAGAUAAAGACAUGGUUGGCUGCUUCUUCGUCUUCCAAGAAAGUAAAGAUUUUCCCAGCAUGAUACGGAAUCCUGUAAUUGAUCUCCUGCUCAUCGGACAAGUUGCGUAAUCAGCGUCACAAUAAGUUGUCAUCUCCAUGUUGCAUCUUUUUUAAAGAAGAAUUCCAAGUCCUGGACAUUUCUUCAAAUACUUAACAACCUUUAGAGCGUGUGGGACUGCUUUGACUUGUGCAUAAACCGAUUGAGUGUCUACACAUCAUAACAUAUAUCUGGUUUAGUCAUGGUAAAAUAUAUGAGCUUUCCUACCAGCCUUUGAUAACCUGACGGGUCUCUGUAUCAUCUUGGAGAUUUCGAAAGGGCUUCGACCGUUCAACACUUUCGUUGGCAUCCAAUUAAUUAAGUACACUGCCGUGAUCAUGCAUUCUGCCCAAAAAUUAUUUGGAAUAGAGGCCUAAAACUUCAAGGCAUGUGCCACUUCCAGAAUAUGUCGAUGCUUUCUUUCCACUACUCCAUUUUGUUGUGGAGUGUAUGUGCACGGACUUUCAUGCAAGAUGCCAUAGGAUGAAAAUAUUGAUGCGCAUUCAUGGUUGAAAAAUUCUCUUCCAUUAUCUAUCCUAAUCCGCUGGAUAGAUUUUCCAAAUUGGGUCUUUGAUAAAGAGAUAAAUUCAUUUAAGUGAGAUAGAACCUGACCCUUAGUUUGCAAGAGGAAGAUCCAUGUUGCUCGAGAAUGGUCAUCAACAAUAGUAAGAAAAUAUCUUGAUCCAUCAUGAUUAGGUGUAUGAUACGGUCCCCAUACAUCAACAUGAAUUAGCGAGAAAGCACUAGUGGAACGACUCAUGCUAACUGGAAAGGGUGCACAUAAUUGUUUUGCAAGUGGGCAGAUAUGACAUUGAGAGUAAGGAAAUAAAGCACCGUGGCCCAUUCUAGAAUACAAAAGGAAAUUUUUAUCAUUGGUAGUGACAUUACACAAUGAUUGUUUAUUGAAGGAAACUUGAGAUAAAUCUAAAGUUCUUGGAAUGCUAGUCCAAAAAAAUAGUCCGUCGGAAAGAUUACCCAAACCCAUCAGUUUCAUGUCGAAAGGGCCUGAAAGAAACAGAUAUCAGCAUUGAAGAAAAUACAACAAGAGUUUUCCUUGCAGCUCUAGACACAGAAAUCAAAUUGAACUGGAAAUCUGGAACAUAGAAGACAUUUCUCAGUGUUAUUUGAGGGCUAAGGUUCACAAUUCCUAUAGUGGUCACAUAGGUAAUGCUUCCAUUUGGCAAUCUUACAGAAACAGGAAUACUUAAAUUUUCAUGAAUAAUGGAAAAGAAGCCUUUAUCACAAACAAUAUGAUCACUAGCCCCUGAGUCAAUCAUCCAAGAAUUUCGGGAAAUAGAGUAUUAGGCAUGAGAAAUACCUGAGAAGCUACUUCCUUUGUUGGAAAUGCCCAUUUUUUGCAAUGCCUUUAUAAACUGCUUAUACUGCCCUUGAGUGAUAGGCUGAUCAUUAUUUGAACGUAAGGUCUGAUAAGCUGCUACCGAAGAUUCCUUCCCCCAUUUUCCUUUUUCAUCGGGCUUGUCGUGCAAUUUCUAGCAAUUAUUAAUGGUGUGGUGGGGUCGCUUGCAGUAUUCACAAAAUAACUUAUUUUUCCCUUUUAUAUUUGGCUAUGCCUUUGAACUCGUGGAAAAAUGUGGACCGUUGGAUCCUUUAAAAAUAGCCACGUGCCCACCGUCCGAUCCUGAUGAGGAAUUGGGCCCUUUCCGGUCGUUCGAUUGCGCCUCACAAUCUGGACCGUCCAUUUCAGACACUUUAAAAGCAUUUGAAGUUGUCCCAAACCCUAGCUCUUCUAGCCGCAUGCCCUGUUCUGGAGUCUUCUGGUUUUGGUCUCCCUUCUCACCGCGAGUAGCCAAGGCCAGCGACUCUACUCCUCUCGCAUGCUCCGUUGCCAUGAGUCUCUGACUCUCUUCUUAGAUGGCCAACUGGAAAAUACAGUUGAGCGAUGGCAUGGGUUCCAUGGCUAAGAUUUGAGAUCUGAAUGUCAGGUAAGAGUCGUUUAAAAUGAGCAAGAAACAGGUAACUUUCUCUCUGUCUCAUAUUGCUUUGUACUGCUACAAAGUGGCCUCGGGCCAUUCGAGUUUCUCCUUUGCUGCCUCCAACUCAUUCUAGAGAGCUGAUAACUUAUUAAAAACCGUUGUGAUGCUCAUAUUCCCCUGUUUUAGUUCGGAAAGUGCUUGGGUCAAGGAAAAAAAAUUUGCACAGUCCAAUUUUCCAUACAUUUCUCGUAUAGUGUCCCACGUCCUUUUCAAAUCUUUUGUGGGAGUAAGUCUGGUUGCAAUUUCUGGAUUGAUGCGGUUCCCAAUCCACUUUCUUACUAGUUUAUUACACUUCUUCCAUUGUCUCGCCAUCCUUUCGUCUGUCGGAAUGGGAGUAGAUCCGUCAAUAAAUCCCUCUUUAUCUUUAGUAACAAGGGCUCGACGAAAUUCUUGAGCCCAGAUUGAGUAGUUAUGAGAUCCCCUUAGUUGUUGACUGAUGAAUCGUAUCUUUGGUCCAUCAGCGGUAGAUACGUACAAUGGAUCACCAAGUUCUGGCUGAUCAGAAACGACUGAGAGAGGGUAUGGCAAGAAUCUGGGUCUUAUUGUCGGGUAGGUAUUUGAACCCAUACCCGGAUUAAGCAACCCACUGGAUAAUACCGCAUCUUGAUUUCCAGAUCCAGUAUCUACGCUUGCCCGGUCUAUGGUUGGCGAGCCAUUAUUGGGCUGGACAUUGUCUUCGGAAAUUUGAAUUCCAGGCCAUGGAGUACUUGGGCUUGGCCCGUAGUACCAUGGGCUGGGCUGAACAAGAACGGGUACCCAUUGGUAUGGUUGACCCGCCAUGGCCUGACCUGAUGUGGAUUGGCCUGGAAUGGGUUGCCCCAGACUAAGGGCGCGUUUGGUAACGAUUCUGUUCCCGGGAGUUGAUUCUGAUAAGAACUAAUUCUUUUUGAUUCUGUUCCCGGGAACUGAUUCUGAGUAAAAACACGUGUUUGGUAACUGUUCAAAAUUUUUUAUUCUGGAAUAGAAUUGCGUUUGGUACCGUAUUAAUUGAUUCUGUUCCAAAUUAAUUUCUUUUGAUUUUUAAAUAAAUUUUAAAUAAUUUCUUUUGAUUUUUAAAUAAAUUUUAAAUAAUUUCUUUACUUUUUUACUUUUUUCUUUUUUUUUUCUUUUUCUUUUUCUUUUUUUCCCCUUUAUCUUAUUCCUCCUCUUCUUCAUUUUGCCGGUUCCCCUACUGUUUAUUUUAUCAUACUAGUCUUUUUAUUUUUUCUUUGCUGUCUCCGCCAGCCCUCGGCGANNNNNNNNNNNNNNNNNNNNNNNNNNNNNNNNNNNNNNNNNNNNNNNNNNNNNNNNNNNNNNNNNNNNNNNNNNNNNNNNNNNNNNNNNNNNNNNNNNNNNNNNNNNNNNNNNNNNNNNNNNNNNNNNNNNNNNNNNNNNNNNNNNNNNNNNNNNNNNNNNNNNNNNNNNNNNNNNNNNNNNNNNNNNNNNNNNNNNNNNNNNNNNNNNNNNNNNNNNNNNNNNNNNNNNNNNNNNNNNNNNNNNNNNNNNNNNNNNNNNNNNNNNNNNNNNNNNNNNNNNNNNNNNNNNNNNNNNNNNNNNNNNNNNNNNNNNNNNNNNNNNNNNNNNNNNNNNNNNNNNNNNNNNNNNNNNNNNNNNNNNNNNNNNNNNNNNNNNNNNNNNNNNNNNNNNNNNNNNNNNNNNNNNNNNNNNNNNNNNNNNNNNNNNNNNNNNNNNNNNNNNNNNNNNNNNNNNNNNNNNNNNNNNNNNNNNNNNNNNNNNNNNNNNNNNNNNNNNNNNNNNNNNNNNNNNNNNNNNNNNNNNNNNNNNNNNNNNNNNNNNNNNNNNNNNNNNNNNNNNNNNNNNNNNNNNNNNNNNNNNNNNNNNNNNNNNNNNNNNNNNNNNNNNNNNNNNNNNNNNNNNNNNNNNNNNNNNNNNNNNNNNNNNNNNNNNNNNNNNNNNNNNNNNNNNNNNNNNNNNNNNNNNNNNNNNNNNNNNNNNNNNNNNNNNNNGUUCUUCAAAAAUACCGACAGCAAUCAAAGAGGAGAGGUGGGGAAGCUGAAAUUGAAUUAGAAGCGGAAGCCCGCUCUGAUACCAUGAAAGAAAGCAAGGAAGACAAGGAAAAAUGUAGGAAAAUGUUUGUAUAUUCUAUUCUAUAUAUCAAAUAGUGUACAAUGCUCUACAAUUAUAUCACUAGGCAUGUACAAGAAAAAGGAAAUAAAGAAUAUUACAAAAUCAAUUAUGAUAUUAGACUGAUAUUAAUUGAUAUGGCAUAUCAAUCUAAAUCCUAAAGAAUAUUACAUAAGAUCGCAUAUCUUCCAACAUUCUAGACAAUUAGUAUCUCGAAAUUGAAUUACACAUAUAAAACAAAUGUCCACGACUUUCAUUAUGACUUACGUUAAAAAGUACCCGACACAUUUGUUAAGCAAUUUGGAUAAGCAUGGCACCACAUCGAGAUUUAUAGUUUGCAUUGAAUUUUGUUAUUGGAUUGAAUUUUAAUUUUUAUUCAAUUAAAAUUUUACGGUCCACAAAUGUUGAUUUUUUUUUUUAAUUUGAAGUGUUCGAGACUUUCACAUUAUAUCUAUGAUUUUUUUUUUUUUGGAAUCUAAGUAUUUUAAAUUACGAUGGAAAAAAAGGGAAUAGAUUUUUCUUUUAAUUAUUUGCAAAUAAACAAGCUCGUCUUAUUAAUAAAUUACAUCACUUAGAUAAUAAAUUUAGUUUACUAGUGAAAAACAUAAAUUCUUCGGCACGCUUGUCCCUCGCUAACAUCGAGCAUCAUGCGAAAUAUAAACUAUUCAAAAUCUCCACCCGGUCGGGAAUUUCAAUUUGGAAACCAUCUUUGACCCGUCGACUAACCCGUCGGCCUAACCUACUCGACACUCAAUGGCGGGCGGGCCUCUCCUCUAUUUAAACGUCCGAUUUGUAGGUGAACAGACUCAGGAAAUUCACUAGCUUCUUUAGCGCAUGUGAAUUUCCUUCAGAGCAAAACACACACAAAAAACGCCACCGCGCUCUUCCUCUCUCUCGCGCUCGCUCGCUCCUCGCUCGAUUUCGACUCCUCUUCUCGGGCUCUCGGCCGCUCUAGACGUUCGCAUUCACACGAGCGCGAAGAUGGACAUGGACACGGCAGCGUGCAACGGCGAGGGCUCCCUCGGGCUCUGCGCGGGGGCAGGAGGUGACCCACUCAACUGGGGCGCGGCUGCCGCGGCCCUCACGGGGAGCCACCUCGAUGAGGUGAAAAGGAUGGUCGAGGAGUCCCGGCGGCCUGUGGUCCGCCUCGGCGGUGAGACGCUGACCAUCGCACAGGUGGCGGCCAUCGCAGGGCGGGAGGCCGGCGCAGCGGUCGAGCUGUCGGAGGCGGCCCGGGCGGCAGUCAAGGCCAGCAGCGACUGGGUGAUGGAGAGCAUGAGAAACGGCACGGACAGCUACGGGGUCACCACCGGCUUCGGCGCCACCUCGCAUAGGCGGACCAAGCAAGGUGGUGCUCUGCAGACGGAGCUCAUAAGGUAAAAAAAAAAGAAAAGUGCUACUUCGAUAUAUUUCUUUAAAUUCUCAUUCGGUUGUUUUUAUUAACAAAUAUUUGCAGAUAUAUUGAAAAUACUUGUCAAGCAAUCGAUAAUGAAAAAAAAUAUGCUGAUUUUAGGAGAUGGGUGCGAUAAUACGUUAUUCGGGAAUUGUAAUUAUCAAGAAGUGCAUAUUUAAAAAAAAAAAAUCAAGUAAAAUCCUUUGUUUUAAUUUAAAAUUAACACCUGUCAUCUGCGGUAUAAAUGGUCCCUCGUGAAGGGCUGCCAAGUGCUGGCCAAGCUUCCUUUCCAUAAAAGUUAUAUACCCAAACGUGCAAGUAUCAAUCCAAAGGACGAAAUCAAUUUCUCUAUAUUUUUUAAAUAUUAGGUAACCAAAAAUAAUAUGGGAGAAGAUUAAUUAAUUUUGAAGACGACCCGUAAUAAUUACUUUUUGAAUACCUAAUUUCUCAUUUUUUCAAUUAAUGAGACUUACCUUUGCUAUAAUUAAAUAAGUGUCUAAAUCGAUAUUCACAUUUCCUUUGCUAUAAUUAAUAAUAUGUGGUUGACGAAAUUUUCCCAUUGAGCCAGGUUCUUGAACGCCGGCAUAUUCGGCAACGGGACCGAGUCGUGCCACAUGCUGCCCCACUCGGCGACCCGGGCCGCCAUGCUCGUGAGGAUCAACACCCUCCUCCAGGGCUACUCAGGCAUCCGGUUUGAGAUCCUGGAGACCAUGGCCAAGCUCCUCAACCGCAACAUCACCCCGUGCCUGCCUCUCAGGGGUACCGUCACGGCCUCGGGCGACCUGGUCCCCUUGUCCUACAUCGCCGGGCUUCUGACGGGCAGGCCCAACUCGAAGGCGGUCGGGCCAAAUGGCGAGUCCCUGAACGCCGUCGAGGCCUUCCGCCUUGCCGGGAUCAAGCACGGGUUCUUUGACCUGCAGCCCAAAGAGGGCCUCGCGAUCGUGAAUGGCACGGCAGUCGGGUCUGGGCUCGCUUCCAUUGUCCUGUUCGAGGCGAACAUCCUGGCCGUCCUCUCAGAGGUUCUGUCGGCCAUCUUCGCCGAGGUGAUGCAAGGGAAGCCGGAGUUCACCGACCACUUGACCCACAAGCUCAAGCACCAUCCCGGACAAAUUGAAGCUGCAGCUAUAAUGGAGCACAUCUUGGAUGGGAGCUCCUACGUGAAGGACGCUCAAAAGCUCCACGAGAUGGACCCUCUCCAGAAGCCGAAGCAGGACCGAUACGCGCUCCGCACGUCCCCGCAGUGGCUCGGCCCCCAGAUCGAAGUGAUCAGGGCCGCCACCAAAAUGAUCGAGAGGGAGAUCAACUCUGUCAACGACAACCCGCUGAUCGACGUCUCCAGGAACAAGGCUCUCCAUGGAGGGAACUUCCAGGGGACCCCGAUUGGCGUUUCCAUGGACAACACCCGUCUCGCCAUCGCCUCCAUCGGCAAGCUCAUGUUUGCGCAGUUCUCCGAGCUCGUUAACGACUUCUACAACAACGGGCUGCCCUCUAACCUGUCCGGGGGACGGAACCCGAGCCUGGAUUAUGGCUUCAAGGGAGCCGAGAUCGCCAUGGCCUCAUAUUGCUCGGAGCUGCAGUUCCUUGCCAACCCUGUGACCAACCAUGUCGAGAGCGCGGAGCAACACAACCAGGACGUGAACUCCUUGGGCCUGAUCUCGUCGAGGAAGACUGCCGAGGCCGUCGACGUGCUGAAGCUCAUGUCCUCCACCUUCCUGGUCGCCCUGUGCCAGGCCAUCGACCUGAGGCACCUGGAAGAGAACCUCAAGAGCGUGGUCAAGAGCACGGUGAACCAAGUGGCCAAGAAGGUCCUCUACGUCGGGUCCAACGGCGAGCUCCACCCGUCGCGGUUCAGCGAGAAAGACCUGAUCAAGGUGGUCGACCGGGAGCACGUCUUCGCCUACAUUGAUGACCCCUGCAGCGCCACGUACCCCCUGAUGCAGACGCUGAGGCAGGUCCUCGUGGACCAUGCGCUGGACGAUGUCGACCGGGAGAAGAACCCCAGCACCUCCAUCUUCCAGAAGAUUGGGGCUUUCGAGGAGCAGCUCAAGGCACUCCUCCCGAAGGAGGUCGAGAACGCGAGAGCUCAGUUCGAGAGCGGGAACUCGGCGAUCGCUAACAAGAUCAGGGGGUGCAGGUCGUACCCAUUGUACAGGUUCGUGAGGGAAGAGCUCGGGACCGGUUUGCUCACGGGGGAGAAGGUCGGCUCGCCGGGCGAGGACUUUGAUCUGGUGUUCUCCGCCAUGUGCGAGGGCAAGCUGAUCGAUCCUUUGCUGGAGUGCUUGAGGGACUGGGAUGGUGCUCCGCUUCCCAUCUGUUAGGAACUUUUCCAAAUCCUGAAGACUGCCUCAUAAUUUAAUUUGCCCUACUUUUGGUGUGUACUUAGGGAGUUUUUCAUGGUCGAGAAACUGCGGUUAAAAUUGUAAUGUCUCUUAUGACUUUUGUUCAGUUCUUUCUUAUGCAAACCCCCCCACCAGGAUGUCUAUUUGUACUUGGAACUUCAUCAGUGUAACAACAAUGUUGAAACGCGUGAAGGAAAAUAUUAUACAACAUACAUUUUGUUACAUUUUUCGUUCUUAUAAAGGAUCGCGACAUUUGAUCUGCAUUGUGAGCUAAUUGUUAUCGGGUACAUCUUAUUGUAUCUCCCAACUUGACCCUACCAAAUGUAGUAUUGGAAUGAACAUGUAUUUCUUAAAGGGAGCUACCCUCAUUAGGAAUUUGUGUGGACUUAUCCUACUCGAGUGGGUUGCGUAGUAAGAGUCAAUAUUAUAUUUAAGCUCAUGAAAAGGAACACGUUUAUAUAACAUGAAAACACAUUGUCGCGAUCUAAAUUUCGAGUGCACCACCUAAGUUUAAGCUAAUGGACUACUAAGUCUUUAAACUUAGCUCGGCUCUCCCAAGCUCAUAUCAAUUUGCGAAUUAAGGUUUAAAUAUUUAACAUGCAAAUGAUUAUUAUCUAGGAGUCGCCACUAAUCGGUUUAGUGUAGGCCGAUUAGACACUUAAGUAAAUAAUGAGAGAAUUAUUUUACUCCUACUUACACUAGAUUUCUCUAAUGCCCUUUCGGUACUAUUUCUUUUUAAUUUUCAAAGAUGUUUUUGCAUGCAGCUUAGAUUUAUUUUAAACUAAAUUAUUAUCAUGCAAUGGGAUGAUCAUACUGAUACUCAAUCAUUAUUAAACAUUGAAUAAAAAAAAUUACACCAAAUGAAUUUUACACACUAAAGCAAGUAUUUUUUGGAUUUUUCUUUUAAGUAGAACUUUAUCAUAAAUCAUGCAUUUAAACUAUAUGGCCUAAUUUUACUAACAAACUAUUUCUAAUUAAAUGAACCUAAUAUGCAAACUAAUUGACAUGCACCUAAUAUUUUUGUAUUUUUAUUGAAAUUCGGAAUUAAUAAAAACCCUAAUUAAACUAUCUAAAAAUGAAAAAAAUUCUAAUAUGUUUUAGGGGUUAAUUUGACUUAAACCCUAUCCUAUCUUAGAAAACUAUUUUUUUAAGGAAAAUGGGAUUAUCUAAAUGUGCAAACAUUAUCUAAAACCAAUCCUAAUCUAUUCCAAAAAUUAUCUAAAAAUGUAAUCCUAAAAAUGCAAUCAUAAUUUACGAAAUUGACAUGUUCCAAUGCAAGAUUUGAUUUUUUGAUUUUUUUUUUUAAUUUUUAUGUUUUUUUAGUGUUUUUCCAAGAUAAGCAAUUAUACCUAAACAAUCAAGAUAUUCAUCAAAUGAGAAUUAAAAUAAUUGAAAAAUAAUCUGUUAUCUCACGGGUUAAAUUAACAGUUAUUUUAACUCUAAACAUCACAACAUAAAGUAUCCGAAAUUUUACGGAUCAAAUUAAUAACUAUAAUGACUUAACAAUUAAAAGACCAUCAAAAUGCUAAAAAAUUAAUAUAAUUAAAAAAUGAUCCAACGUCUUAUGGAUCAAAUUAAUAAUUACAAUAAUUUUGGACAAAAUUCCUGCAAAUAAUGCCUACAAGAUUCAUGAAAUGAAUAUUGACAUACCAUGUUCUAAUUUAACAAAACUUAAAAAAACAAUAAAAUAACAUAAAAUAAAAGAAUUUUUAAAAAAAAAAAACCACCUAAGGAAGACUUGAAAAGGGGGACCAACAGCGCUGGUCAGCGACGGGCGGAGCACAGCGGAAGGCAGGCGUCGCUCGUGGGGCGAAGAGCAGCAGUGGCAACAGUAAGCGGAGGCGUCGCGACGGAGGGUCGUCGAGCAGAGAUUAUGGCACGCUCGGAUCUCGUUGGUGAUGGACGGCGGCUGGCAGAUCAGCAGCGGGCAGGGGGGUGCUGUGCGUGUCACGGGUCGGAGCUGAGGCGGUGGGCUCACGGGUGAGGCAGAGCACGACGGUACUGGGUUGAGCUGUUGUGGGGAGCGUCGGCGAAGCGCGGGUGAGGAGGAAAUGUGAGAUCGUCGCAGUCGGAUCAGUAGGGCGGCAGUGGUGCGUGGUGGGGCUGCGUGUCGCAGCAAGACAGGCGAAAGGCAGUGACCGGUGGCUUGGUUUCCGAGGCUGAGCUUGCAAUCGGCAGACGCGGGGACUCCGGAUCUGGGGCUCGGGCAGACGCGCAGGGAUGGAGAUGUUGGGUCAUGAGCCGGCGGGUCGACUCGGGUGUUAGAUGCAAAUUGCGUAACCCCAAGAUCUCCAUAACUAGAACAAGAACAUGCAUAAUUGAGUAGAAAGAUUAACGCACCUGUUUUGGGAUCCAUUGUUUUUGAAGCGGAAGCAGAAACACAAUCUUCCACGCACAAGUCCUUCUCCUUUAUUGCCCUCCGUAUCACUGGCUCAAUGAGGCGGCCCCCUCACGUGUAGCGUUAGGUAAACGCCCCUUAGGUGAGGAUACAUGUGAGAAUUAGAGUUAGAUGAGAGACUUGAGCACUAUUUAUAGAGUUUCCAGCCAGUCCCUCUCAUUACGGGCCAGGCUCAACUCAGCCCACACUAGCCAGCCCAUAUUAGACUAAUUAAGAAAUCUUCUAUCUCACCUUAGACCAAACCCUGUAAAACGGUAAACGUUAAACGGUAAAUUACAAUAUCAAUUAAUGUAAUCCACAAUUAGAAAAACUUUUACAUUCUCCCACUUGGACCAUAUUAAUUGAAAUCGUACUGUAUGUGCGCACAUUGGUCCAGAGAUAAUUCUUAAUAGUCAAUCCUAUCCCAUAAAGUCUUAAACACCGAAUCAUGUCGGUAACUGCAUGUAUACACACAGAGCAUUCCAUGGUCAUGAAUGUUCUCAAAUUUAUUGAUAUGGAUUCAAUAUGGUAGUGUGGCAAAUGGAUAACAUCUUUCAUAGAGAGAUCCCAUUUGUCAGUCACCAUUUUCUUAACUUUAGGCGUCACAAAAACUUGUGCCACUAGAGAAUGCUUUAUGGUUCCAAUGAACCGACAUAUGUCUUGUCCCUACGGUUAACCUUUCUUUAUGUAUCACAAGACAUAUGCACAAGGCUAAUAACCGGAUGCCUGGAUGCCCCUAGCCUUCACUCAAGGUUUAAGCAAUACAUUUGAGACUUUCAACAAUAUAUAUAUAUAUAUUCAACAUAAUAACAAUCCAUUCAAAAAUAUUUUAUUGAAUGCAAAAGUUGACAUAUAUAUAUCAAAGUGUUACUAAAUUGUAACAAAACAUAUGUAAACUUUAUUCAAGGAAAAAUAAAACACAGCUCCCACUAAAUAACAGCAUCCCAAGAUGCUCCUAGGCCCAUACUAAUGACAUGUCGAUCAAAAACAUACGGGCGUAGGCCUUUAGUUAGUGGAUCUACAAUCAUAUCAUCUGUAGGAAUAUAAUCUACUGCAAUGUUACCAUUAUGCACUAAUUCCUUUAUAGUAAAAAACUUAACCUCCAUGUGUUUAGACCCCUUGAGACUUCUAUUGUUAUUAAUAAACAACACGGCAGAGUUAUUGUCACAAUAUAGCUGUAUGGGUCUAUCCACAAAAUUAAAAACUGAUAACUCUCUAAUGAGGUUUCGGAGCCAAAUAGCUUGAGUAGUAGUUGAAAAACAUGCUACAAACUCCGCUUACAUGGUAGAAGAAGAUAUAGAUUUCUGUUUUUCGCUCUUCCAUGAUACUGCACCUCCUGCCGACAUAAAUAUAUAUCCUGUCGUUGACUUCUUAUCAUCUUGAUAACCGGCAAAAUCUGCAUCUGAAUAGCCUGCUAGUUGCAAGUCUGGAACAUGUCUAUACAUCAGCAUAUAAUCUUUUGUUCUCUUUAAGUACCUUAAAACCUUCUUGGCAGCAACCCAGUGAUCGUGUCCUGGAUUUGACUGAUAUCUGCCUAGAAGCCCUGUUGCAAAAGCAAUAUUUGGCCUAGUGCAAACUUGAGCAUACAUGUUGCUUCCAAGCACACUAGCAUAAGGUACAUCCUUCAUUUGAGCUUUCUCAAAAUUUGAAUUAGGGCAUUGUGAAAGACUCAAUUUAUCACCCUUAACAACAAGAGCAAUUCCUGGUUUGCAAUCCUGCAUAUUGAAUCUUUCUAAAACGCGAUCAAUAUACGCCCUCUAAGAUAAACCCAAUGAACGGCGUGAGCGAUCCCUAUGGAUCUCAAUGCCAAGAACAAAAGACAUCUCACCAAGGUCUUUCAUAUCAAAAUUUUUCGAUAACAUCCGCUUUGUCUCAUGUAGUAAACCAAUGUCACUACUAGCAAGUAAGAUAUCAUCUACAUAAAGUAUGAGAAAAAUAUAUUUCCUCCCACUGACCUUGGUAUAUAUACACUGAUCUACUUUGUUCUCAAUAAAUCCAAAUGAAGUAACAACACUAUGAAACUUGAAAUAUCACUGUCUAGAAGCUUGCUUAAGGCCAUAAAUAGACUUUUUCAAUCUACAAACAAGCUUACUUGACAAAACCUUCAGGCUGUACCAUAUAAACCUCCUCAUCAAGGUCUCACUUUAGAAAAGCAGUCUUAACAUCCAUCUGGUGUAACUCCAUAUCAUAAUAAGCUACCAAUGCCAAGAUCACUCUAAAGGAAUCUUUAGAAGAAACUGGAGAAAAUGUUGCUUCAUAAUCUAUUCAUUCUCUUUGAGUGAAACCCUUAGCUACCAGUCUGGCUUUAAACUUUUCAAUCUUUCCUUUGGAAUCCCUUUUAUUCUUGAAUACCCAUUUGCAACCAAUAGGUUUACAACCUUCAGGCAAUUCAACAAGCUCCCAAAUACCAUUAUGUUUCAUAGAUUGCAUCUCAUCUAACCAUAAAUCUGAUUGAGGACAUGAGAUGGCAUCAGUAUAAGUUACGGGAUCAACAACACAGCCUAUAUCAUAAUCAUGCUCUCCUAGGUAAACUAAAUAGUCUGGUGGUAUAGCUGAACGUCUUUCUCCAGUUGAUCUUCUGAGUGGAGCUACUUCAACCUCAAUCUGAAUUUGAGCUACUUCAUCAGGAACUGUCUCAACAAUAGGAUCAUGUGCUACAACAGGCUCAGUUUGUGGCGCAAGAGGCUCCAUAAUUGUCUGCACAGGAUGAGACAAGGAUCUAGUAAUCCCCACCAUACUAUCAUCUUCGAUAGCUUGUGAGCAGCUACCAUUUUCAGCUACAUCAAAUUCUAGAAAUUUUGCAGUAUGAGAUUCCACAAUUUUUGUACCUCCAUUAGGGUUAUAAAACCGAUACCCUUUUGAAUGAUCUGGGUAAGACACGGAGUAACACCGAGUAGUUUUGGAAUCCAGCUUACUCAAUGUUGGAUUAUAUAACUUCACUUCUGUUGGACAUCCCCAAACUUUAAGAUGAUUCAAGCUAGGUUUACGUCCAGUCCACAACUCAAAAGGAGUCAAUAGAACCGCUUUAGUAGGAAUGUGAUGAAUAUAAAGAGCUGUUUUCAAAGCUUCUCCCCACAGAAAAUUAGGUAAAUUGGUCAUACUAAUCAUACUUCUCAUCAUGUCCAUAAGAGUACGAUUCCGCCUUUCAGCUACACCAUUUUGUUCAGGACUUUUGGGCAUAGUAAACUGACCUAUUAUCCCAGAAUCCUCUAAGUAUUUAGCAAACCGCCCUUUAAGUUGGCCAGCAUCACUGUGCCUACCAAAAUACUCACCACCACGAUAAGAUUUGACAAUCUUAAUAACUUUUCCCAACUGUUUCUCCACUUCAGUCCGAAAAAUCUUGAAUUUAUCAAAAGACUCGGACUUUUCUUUAAUCAAGUAUAAGUAUCCAUAUCGGGAAUAGUCGUCAAUAAAUGUGAUGAAAUAAAAUUUUUUGCACAAAGUAGCCGUGUAUGGUCCACUAAUAUCAGUGUGAAUAACCUCCAACAAGUUUGAACUUCGUACAACAGAUUUCUUCUUUAUCUUAGUCAUCUUACCUCUGCAACAAUCUAUGCAAGUCUCUUGAUCAUCUUUAAGAGUAGGCAAGAUAUCAGCAUUUAUAAGCCUUUCUACUCUAUCUUUAGAGAUGUGACCAAGAUAUUUAUGCCACAAUGCAUAAGACUGUUCCUUAGGUAGAGGCCUUUUGGAAACAACAUUUUCAGGGGAAUAAGCAACGUAUAUGUCGUUGGGAGAUAAGCUCAAUCGAUAUAAUCCAUUGGAUAAAUUGCAACACCCAAUCUUAUUUGAAUCAUAAAACAUGGAAAUAGUAUUACUCUUUAUUUCAAAAGAGUAUCCACACAUGUCCAAACAAGACACAGAAACUAAAUUCCGCCUAAAAGAAGGUAUGUAAAAAGUGUUUCUUAACACCGUCCGAAAACCAGAAUCUAAAAUCAAAAUAACAUCUCCCACGAACUCAACGUCAACUCCAACGCUGUUUCCAACAGUGAGCUUUGAUUCAUCCCGAUUUGGCGUCAUUCGGUUUAUGAACCCCUGAAUGGUAAAUGCAACAUGAUUAGUUGCACCACUAUCUAGCCACCAGGAAUUGAUCGGAACUUCAGAUAGAUUGGAUUCAUAAACAAAUGCCAAAGAAUCAUUACCUUUAGGCUCUCUCUUAUUUCUCUUAGACAACCAAGCCUUAAACUUGCUGCAACGUUUCUUCACGUGUCCUCUCUCCCUACAAAAGUAGCAAAGAACACCAUCCUUCUUGGUGAAUGCUUUCUUAGGACCCAGAGUGUUAGAAGGACCUGCACCUUCAGAAUUUCCUUUGUUGUUGGAAGGACCAGCAACUUCUGAAUUGCCUUUGUGAGUAUAGUUCUUCAACUUCUUACCCUUGUCACUAGCAGAACUAGAAGCAUAAAGAGCAAUAUGUCAUUUAUCUUUCUUCAAUUUCUCUUCCUCUGCCACCAACCUUGCAAUCAGGUCAUUAACAGACCAGGUUUCAUAUUGGGAACUAUAAUUGGUCUUGAUAAUCCCAAAAUCAAGAGGAAGAGUAUUUAGAGCUUGAUGGACAAUGCAAGCAGUAGGAAUUUCAACAUUGAGAGCCUGAAGUUUUGUUUGUAAAUCAACCAUCCUCAGAACAUAAUCUCUAACUCCACCAGAACCAUCAUACGUCAUAGUAAAAAGUGUUUGCAUGUGUGUUCCUAUCUCAACAUUAGGUGAGACACGGUUCCUAGCCAUCAAAGCUUCCAUCAUCUGCCUAGCAUUGCAGUCUGCAAGCAAACCACUUUUCAAGUGUUCUUGAAUGGAACGCUUCAUGAACAGCAAGCAAAUUCUAUUGCUCUUUUCCCAUGCAGCAAAAUUUGCUUUUUGAGCCUCUGUACUCUCGGUAGUCAAAUCUGCCGGCCGAUCAGUAGUAAGAGCCAUAUGAACAUUUGCCAUCUCCAUAACAAACAUAAAAUCCUCUCUCUAUCUCUUAAAAUUCGAACCAGCAAGAACCUCAAUGGUGACAGAGUUACCAUUUACAGAAAAGGUGAUUGAAAAACAAGCAGUAUAUAUAAUUAGCAUCAUGUGAGCAUUGUGUAACUUGACGUACAAGUACACAUCCAGAGAGUUACAUGCAAAAUCACAUAAUCACCUUUGGGCAGAAUACAUGACAUGCAAUUGUACACUCCCCACAUGAAAAGGGUUAUGAGAAUAUAUUCCAAUCUUCGUGAANNNNNNNNNNNNNNNNNNNNNNNNNNNNNNNNNNNNNNNNNNNNNNNNNNNNNNNNNNNNNNNNNNNNNNNNNNNNNNNNNNNNNNNNNNNNNNNNNNNNCCUUUGGGCAUAUGAACCAUUAGGAUCGGUCACUCCUCCACCACACUAUCAUGUAUCCCUCCAUGAACUAAUACAUAAUCACCUCUUUUGGGAGUAUAACUAUGCAUUAAACCAGGAGACAUCCCAAUCAAUAUAUGAGAUCGAAAUUUCUCAAACCCAAUCAAGUGUGCCACUUUGGCGGUCACAACUCAAUUGAAUCAUUGAAAUUCUCUCAUACCAUGGAUAUAAUUUUUACAUCUCACAUACACCAUAUACAUGUGAUUUAACUUUAGUGAUAGGGGCAUCAUAUCACUCAAAUCACAUGCUAUGCUAAUUACACUGCCUUAUUCAUUAAUAAAAUACAAUAAAGUUUAAUUUUUAUUAAUGAAUCACACUUUUAUAAUGUUUAUGUGAUAACAUAUUGUCGCGACCAGAUUUUCGCGGGUGUGAACCACUUAUGAUUUGGCUAAUGGAUUGCUAAGUCUUUAAGCUUAGCUUGGACUCUCCCAAGCCCAUACCAAUUCGCGACUUAGGUUUUAAUUCUUAACAUGCAAAAUUUUUUAAUUAGGAGUCGCCACUAAUCUAUUUUUGGUGGGUCGAUUAGAAACCCAAGUAAAAUAAUGAGAGAUUUAUUUUACUUCUACGAACCAGAGACUAAGGGUACGGGGACUUGGUUACACUAGAUUUCUCUAAUGCCCUUUCGGUACCAUUUCUUUUUAAUUUUUCAAAAUGUUUUUUUUUUGCAAGCAUCUGAUUUAUUUUAACCUAAAUUACUAUCAUGCAAAUGUGGUGACCACACGGGUGCUCAUCCAUUAUUAAAGCAAUCGAAUAAAUUGCAUCACACAAAGCAAGCAAUCAUUUUUUUUGAGUUUUCUUAAAAAUUAGAAUGAUUUUAUGAAAAUGCAUUUUUAAACCAAAUGACUUAAUCUUAUUAAUAUGCAAAUUUUAAUUAAAUGGGCCUAUUAUGCAAACUAAUUAUUAUGCACCUCAUGACCUAACUUCACUAAUUAACAAGUUAUGAUUAAAUAAUCCUAUUAUGCAAACUAGUUAACAUGCACCUAGUAUUUUUGCAUUUUUCAUAUUGAAAUUCAGAAUUCAUGAAAACCUUAAUUAAUCUAUCUAAAAAUGAUAAUUUCCUAAUUUAUUCUAGGGAUUAGUUUGACUUAAACCCUAUCCUAUCUUAGAAAGCUAUUUUUUUGGGAAAAUGAGAUAAUUAGAAUAUGCGAACAUUAUCUAAAACCCUAAAAAAUAUUUAGGUUCAACCCUUACUUAUUCCUAAAAAUGCAAUCUUAAAAAUGCAAUCCUAAGAAAAUCCUAAUUUGUUAAACCUACAUGCUUGAUUUACUAAACCUAUAUACUCAUGCAGAAUUUUGAUUUUUUUUAUCUUAUGAUUUUUUAGUUUUUUUUUAAGAGAUAAGUAAUUGUUAAAUCUAAACUAUCAACAAAAUCAAGCAAGAAAUGAUUAAAAUAAUCGAAAAAAUAACCUGUUGUCUCACAGGUCAAAUUAACGGUUAUUCUAACCAUAGUUAUCACAGCAGAGAGAUCAAAAUAAUUACAAAUCUGAUCCGAAGUCUUACGGACCAAAUUAAAUAAUCAUUGUGAUUUAACAAUUAAAAUUUCACUCAUAAAGCCCAACAAUUAAAAUAAUUAAAAAAAUGAUCCAAUGUCUCUUGGAUCAAAUUAAUAAUUAUAAUAAUUCCAGACAAAAUCCCUGCGGAUAAUGCAUACUAAAUUCACAAAUAUUAACAUCAAAUAUUACAACUUAAAUAGAUAAAGUAAAAAUGAGAUAAAAUAGAACAAAAUAAAUAAAAGAAAAAGCUAAACCACCUAAAGAAAGAGGGGCUUGCUGCAGCGUUGAUGGGCGCCGGACGGACGGUGGCCGGUGUCGGGUACUGCAGGUCAGUGACGGCAAGGUGGCGCGGGAGGUGCAGGCACGGGCGUCGGGUCGAGCAGCGAGAGGGCUCGCGGGCGUUGCGGGUCGCAGGCUGCUGCACAGCGAUGCUCGCGGGUGCUGGUGCGCGGAGCAGGGGCGGAUGUCGAAGCAGAGACUGGCGGAGGGCGAUUUGCAGAGGUGGGUCGUGUACGGAUCGGGACCUGCUGUCUUUAGGGGCCACGGUGUCGAGCACGGCAAGAACAAGGAGAUCGGCAAGCAGCAGGGUCGCGAGUCGCAACGAUGGUGGUGAGCAGUGGCGUCGAGGUGAGCUCGCGGGUGUAGAGGCGCGGCGGCGUCAGUUGCUGUAGAGGUGGAGUCGCGCUGGCUGAGGCGCGACGAGUGCCGGGCGGUCUGAGACCCGAUCGUCGGACUGCUGGCGUUGGGUUCGCAGAUCGCGGUGGUGCUCGUGCGGAGAUGCGGUGGGCUUCGGAGCGAGGCGGUUCUGGUGCGGCGACCAGUAGCGACGAACGGGUGAGCUGCUGCGACGGUGCUGGUGCAGAGGCGGGGCAGCUUCGCGGACGAACGACGACGGGCUGGCGGAGGAAACACCGAUGCGGUGGCCGGCGUGGAAUCUGUGACUGGAGGCGCGGCGAAUCGGGCAGCGAGAGGAACAGCGAGGAAGAUGAACAGUAUGAGUCAAAUCAGCCUUUUUACUUUACCUUUUCUCCUCUCUCUCUCUCUCUCUCUCUCUCUCUCUCUCUCACGUUCUGACUUUUCCUUUUCUUUUUUUUUUUCUGCAGUUUUUUUACUGCAGAAGCAAAACCUCCCUUGACCUACCUUUCUGAAUGUUUUUUUCAAGAAGCCCCCCCGGACGAAGAGAAGGCCACCCCCAUUUAUAGAGUGAAAACUUAGUCUGCUCAACCUACGAAGAUUUGCAUAACAACUCAAUCGUUGAAGAUCAUCUUUCGAGAUUAUCGUGUAUGCUGACUCACUCGGCCAUUGAAAUCAUCUAUUAAAAUCUUUCAAGCUGACUCGCUCGACCAUUGAAGAUUUUAUAUGCUGACUCAGCGAUUGAAGAUAAAUUGGAAUUUUUUUGUGAAGAUUUUCCAAAUAAUUCACUUUAGAUAAAACUCCAUUAUCCAAUUCUAAAAUCUUUCGAGAUAUCCAUCCGCAACAAAAUAUUUUAGAAUAUUCCUUAUCCUCCUUAAUAUUCCCAACUUUAAGAUUACAGUGCGAUUUUUUAAUUUCCAAANNNNNNNNNNNNNNNNNNNNNNNNNNNNNNNNNNNNNNNNNNNNNNNNNNNNNNNNNNNNNNNNNNNNNNNNNNNNNNNNNNNNNNNNNNNNNNNNNNNNGAUAAUUAAUUAAACAUAACGACGAGCUUGAGUAAUUUUCUCAUGAGCUUAGUCAGCCUAUUAAUUUAAAACCCAAAAUCACUAAUUCAACCCAUCCACCACCGGUACAGUAAAUGCAAAUAAAAAAUAAAUGCACCUACAACUAAAUGCUAUGCAAUUAAUUAAUUAUUGAUUAAACCCUAAUUUUAAUGCGAUAAAUGACUAAACGGGUAGCCAAAAUUUAGGUGUCAACACAUAUCAAUAACCCAACACAUGUAUUUCCAAAAAUACAGAAAAUACAAGAAAAAUACGCAAAAAUACACUAAAAAUUCACGUAUUUAGGGCUUUGCAUGUAUUUUCACAUCCAUAAAAUCAUCAAACAUGCAAAAUAAAUACACCAUGAUGUAGGGAAUAAUCAUACGAGUCCAUCGCCGCCGGCCACGCGCGAAUCGGAGCCUCCACGCGCCCGCACGCGCCACCUGAGUGCGCGGCGCGUGUUCGAUGCCCAGGCGGCGCGUGGCCGCGCAUGGGGGCACGUGCGGCCUCCUUUGGCAACGCGCCGCCUAUGGCUUUCUUCGUCUCGUCGAGCCCAAUCCGAAUAUAUAAUUUAAUUUAAUUUUUAUUGAACAAAAAAUCUCGAAAAUCUCAAAUUAGGGCAAAAUCCUUUGCGUUCGUGUUCUAGGGUUAUGGAGGCUCUGAUACCACAUGUUAAACACAAAUUGCGUAACCCCAAGAUCUCCAUAACUAGAACAAGAACAUGCAUAAUGAGUAGAAAGAUUAGCGCACCUGUUUUGGGAUCCAUUGUUCUUGAAGCAGAAGCGGAAACACAAUGUUCCACGCGCAAGCCCUUCUCCUCUAUUGCCCUCCGUAUCACUGGUUCAAUGAGGCGGCCCCCUCACGUGUAGCGUUAGGUAAACGCCCCUUAGGUGAGGAUAUAUGUGAGAAAUAGGGUUAGAUGAGAGACUGGAGCACUAUUUAUAGAGUUUUCAGCCAGUCCCUCUCAUUACGGGCCAAGCUCAACUCAGCCCAUAUUAGACUAAUUAAGAAACCUUCUAUCUCACCUUAGACCAAAUCCUGUUAAACGGUAAAUUACAAUAUCAAUUAAUGUAGUCCACAAUUAGAAAAACUCUACAUCGGGGUCCGACGAGCAAAGGAAUCGGGUCGCAGCACGGCAGAGCAACUCAGGCGUGAUGGAAUCUCGGAGCAGCGUAGCUCGGUGGCGUCGGCGCAGCAUGGGUCGUCGGAGCAGAGGGCUGUCUGUUGAGCUCCGGUACUGCUCGAAGGGCUGGGCUCGUGGAAAAGUUGGGUCGGCAGUGUUGGUGAGGAGGAGCUGUCGGUCUGCGGGCAGCAAAUUUUGGCGAGUGCGAGGGGAAGAGGAUGAACAGUAAACAUCCAAUCCCCCUGCCAAUUAAACUUUGGCUUCUGAUUUUUCCUUUUUUUUAAUUUUUCCUCUCUCUCCUCUUACCCAUCUCUUCAUACACACACACACACACACACACACACACACACACACACACACACACACUCUCUCUCUCUCUCUCUCUACCUUCUUUUGACUUUUUCCUCUUUACCUCUGCCGCAAACCGAAGCUCUCCUCUCUUUUUUUCUCUCUUUUCACUUUUCACUUUUUUUUCACCAGAAGAAGCCCCCUCGUACGGCCGUAUAUUUGAUGCGUCGUCUCCCCCAAAACCGAGUAACUUUUUAUAGGCUAAAGAUUAGGAUUUUAAUUUCCUUUUCAAAUUAAUAUUCGCGAAAAUUUCUUUUCCGUACACAAUAUCGUUUUUUAUUUUCCACAUCUCUUCUAGAUUUCCUUUGCAAAAAAAAAAAAAAAUAUUUUCUAUUGAUUUUUUUCAAAAAUUGCAAUAGGAUUUUUUUCAAAUAUGAGCUUAGGCCAAAUUGCUCGCUUCGUGGGCUUAGUUCGGUCUGUUAAGUUAAAACUCAAAACCAUUAAUUUGAACCCAUUUACCACCAGUCCAAUAAAUAAAUGCAAAAAAUAUAAAUUUAAAAUAAAUACACGUAAAUCUAUAUGCUAUGCAAUUAAUAUUUUUUUUAGAGAUAAAAUUAACCCAUAAUUUUUUAAUGCGAUAAAUGACUAAAAAGGUCACCAAAAUUUAGGCAUCAACAUACAUUCAUACAAUAUAUAUGCAUUGUGAUUGAUAUAGUCUGUCAUAUUACUUUAAUUAAAUGAAUGUAUAUCAUUUUAGGGCUCCCCAUGUAUAAAAAAGUUAAUUUGCCUUUAAAAAAAAAAGUUAAAGGCUACUCAUCUCUGCAUAGGCCCACAAUGAUGCCCGACCAACCUCUUGGCUUGGCUUUUGGAAGAGGUUGACCUAUCGAGCAUGAAUUUCGGGAUAAGUACACUAAUGGUGCCAUAAGUUGUGUAUGGCGCUCACUUUGGUGCUAAAAGUUUCCGUCGGAUCACUUAAGUGCCAAAUCGGAGGAAAAACGCUCACUUUGGUGCCAUUGGCGAAAGAUUCCGGCCAAAAUAAUUACGUGGUUUUUUUUUUAAAUCGACAAGGCCUUAAACGACGUCGUUUUGUCGUCCUACAUGGAUGGCCUUACAAAAAUGACGCCAUUUAACCCAUUGGGGAUUGAAAUUAGGGUUUCGACUUGGCCGCCGAGUGGCCGUCGUCGGGGUUGGGGUCGGGGUCAGGGUCGAAGCUGCGGCCGCCGAGUGGCCAUCAUCGAGGUUGGGGUCGGGGUCGAAGUUGCGGCCGUCGAGUGGCCAUCGUCGGGGUCGGGGUCGGGGUCUGAGCCGCGGCCGUCGAGUGGCCAUCGUUGCGGUCGGGGUCGGGGUCUGAGCCACGGCCGUCGAGUGGCCAUCGUCGCGGUCGGGGUCGGGGUCGGGAUCGGGAUCGGAGCUGCGGUUGCCAAGUGGCCAUCGUCGGGGUCGGGGUCGAGGUCAGAGCCGCUGCCGUUGAGUGGCCAUCGUCGGGGUUGGGGUCGAGGUCAGGGUCGAAGCCGUGGCCGCCGAGCGCAAGGACCGUCGAGGACGGCGACGGCCGGAGAUUAGGGUUUUGAAUUGGGGGAGACACCAAACGGCGUCGUUUUAAUGUUAGGAUGCUGACUGUGUUCUCCGGUGAGCCACAUCAGCUUAAAAAAUUAAUAAAAAAGUGCCACGUCGAAUUUCCGGCCAACCGGAUCGGAGUUGGCACCAAAGUGAGCGUUUUUUAAAUUUUUUGGCACUUAAGUGAUUUGACGGAAACUUUUGGCACCAAAGUGAGCGCCGUACACAACUUAUGACACCAUUAGUGUACUUAUCCCCAUGAAUUUCUAUGUGGGUUGGCCCGAAAAGGCAAUAAAUCUUUUGGGAUGGGACGUAUAUUCCCAAUUGAGUGGGUACCUCGAGAGUAGGAUAACUCUAUGAUCGGCAAUUAUGAGACACCAUUCCCAAACAAGUAUCACAACUUCGAAUUUUCCUCGAUGCACUCGGCCUAAUCCAUGUGGAGGUUUUUGCCUAAAAUGGUAACCUAGCUAGCAAAACCGAAGUGUCACAUGGAUCUAUUUAGGACAUGUCACGGUCGAUUCCUAGUGUUCGAACCUCAAAAUUAUGGCCCCAAAGCCGAAGAGAAUCUCAAGGAGUCCGGACACCUAAAGUGUCAAAACUUGGCAUGGAGGGAUAGUUAAGUGUCAAAAGUUAGAAAAGUGAUACUUAAGUGCCAAAAUCGAAGCAAAAUGGAUUACUUAAGUACCACUCUAGUGAAAAUCCAACCAAAAUACCAUCGCUCGCGGUGGUGCAGCUGGCUUUAGGCUCUCUCCCCCUUACGAAGGGGAGGAGUUCGAAUCCUAGAGGCAUCGCAUUCGCGCGACUCGCCAUCGCAUUCGUGCGACUCACCCGCGGCUGGGUCUGUGGUGGUGGCUCAGUCCGCCUUAGGUUUACGCCGUCGGCUGCCAGCUGUACAGUGGUUCCCGGGUAAAAAAAAAAAAAUCCGACCGAAAUGCUGAUGUGACGAUUUUCUAGCAAAAUUAGUGCAAAACGGCAUCGUUUUGACGCUGACAUGGUAAAAAAUUAAUAAAAUUAAAUUUAACACUAAAUUUACUUAAAAAAUUUAAAAAUAUAAAUACAAAUAUUAAAUAAUAUUAAAUAAUAUUUUAAAGGGGGGGGGGGGGGGGGGGAAAAUAUACUUAUAACUGCUUAAUUCUACGAUCACCUGACUUCGUCCAAGUUAUAGUCNNNNNNNNNNNNNNNNNNNNNNNNNNNNNNNNNNNNNNNNNNNNNNNNNNNNNNNNNNNNNNNNNNNNNNNNNNNNNNNNNNNNNNNNNNNNNNNNNNNNGGGAAACCAAAUAGAACUUGGGCUAUUCUCUGACAGAGAGAAAUAAGAAAAUAUGGAAAACUUGCCAAUGCUCGGUUUCCAUAACAUAUUUUAAUUUAAUUUGAUUUCUCACAUCACAAAUAGAGCGUUGUAAACUGUGACAAGAGACCGUUAUUAAUAAAAAAGAUUGUUGUUUGUUUAUGCAUAAGUCCUAUCAAGUGAAACUGUAGGAAUUGGGAACAAAAGGGCAGUGAGAUCAUGGGAAAACUCGUAAAAUAAAAGUUGCAAUGAACUUGAGAGAGAGAGAGAGAGAGAGAGAGAGAGAGAGAGAUUCCCUCCAAGUUCUCGGUAUAGAAUAUGAAGUGACGAGCACGUAUGCAUGUCUGAAUCGCUUCUUAAUGUCCGAAGGUUUCCAAAUUCCAACAUGAUGAGGUAUCAAUGCCAUUACAUGUUACUUUAAUCAACUCUUGCACAUGUGGAUGUCGAGUCACGAGCAGCUCCGUGUUGAAAGACAAGGAGCAUGAGUCAUCAAAAAACGGAUCUUGAAGAAGAGAAUCCAUACUUUUCUGAAAGUUGGAGGUAGAAUUCAAGUUGAAAUUGAUGAAAGCAGGUAACCACGUUUGAACUUCGAUUUACUAUUAACUCGACGGUAAACCCACACCACCUUCCGUGCCCUUUUGUGCGCUUCGCUGUUAUCAAACCAUAACCGAUCAAGUUCAUAUCAAACUUAAUGUCGCGCAGCUUGUGUAAUUGACAAAUUGAUAAGGAUGUUAGGUUGGCCACCAUAUCAUGUGAUGGCGGAUUCUAUUCAAAUUUAGCUGAACCUCGACUGGUUCAAAGGUGGUAUAGUCCCACUUUUUAGUCUCUAAUAAGCCGUCGAAAGCACAAGCAUGGAUACCUUUGAUCUUCCCACUCAAUUUGAGGUCCAUAUAGGAGAUUGAAUGUGGAGAAAUGGGUGUGUAUUUGGUAUCACUGAAUUCUCUGAGUCUCUGACAGACUCCAUCAUCUGGUUACCUCUCUUUUGUGGAAAGUUCCCUUGUGUAGCAUUAGUGCAGAAGAGCACAUAGUUUCAGCUUCCUGGGGACAAGUUGUCUAGGGCAGAUAAGGACAAAAAGUGGAAGAUCCUCGUUUAGACACAUCACUCCAAUGUAAAACAACCAACGGAUUUCCCCAGACAUGGGCAAUUCCAAUCAUUCCUAAUCCUCAGAGUGGUCGGAUGUCAAUGCGUCUGUCUCUCUCCCUACCUCACACGUUCAAUGUUUCUUGCUUCAUGCCUUCGAACUUGGGUUGGCCUGGCCGGUGAACUCAACCAAAUGGGGAAGCGUAUAGCUCGCUCUUCUUCUGUUCGAUUGACCUCUUUCGAAUGUGAAUUCUGGGUUUGUCUCUCCCUCUAGAGAUCGAUGGACACACGCAUCGAUCAAAGCGGGUGAGUGAACUUUGACGUGUUCUUACUCUUUCGCUUUCUAAACAAUUUUGGUUAGGGAUGGCGAAAGACCGUGAUUCUAAUGUUGUUUUUCCGAAUAGGCCUCUCUAUACGUGCUGACAAUAACCCUAUAUUUUGGAAUAAUAUGAUAAAUGCAAGCAAUAAAGGGAUUGAUUUUACCUUCUAUGUUCACGGGAUGUCGAGUUUUCUUCGUGAUGACAAAUCACUUUAUAAAAUAUAAUUCGUCUAAACUUAUUUAAAGCAUAGACCUAAAUAAAGUGAGAUGAUCAUAUAUAUAUAUAUAUAUAUAUAUAUAUAUAUAUAUAUAUAUCCAUAGCAAAAUUCAAUUGUCUUGUAAUCAAGGAGUAACCCGAGAAUCUAUCCAUCAAUUCAGAAACUACCAUUCCCUUCACGUACCAGAUAGGAUAUAAAAUAUACCUACGCCAUACCAACUGCCGAAGUAAAAUAACCAGAAACCAUAAAGUGAAGAUCAAUUAUUUGCCUUCAUUAGCCGUUACAUUGUCUCCUCGAACUUGUAAAUCUCCCCUUUUUGGCUAAUACGCUAAUCAAUCCACAAAACGUUAUCAAGUAAGGACCUGUAAAAUUAAGUGCUGUAGGCCUGAAAGAUUCAUUUGCUGACAGCAUUCUGUGCAAGUUGGGAACUAACUUGGAAUGGUUGAGGAAGCUUCGUUUGCUAAGUAUGUUAAGGUAUUCAUGUACUGCGUAUAGCACACCAAAAGCAAAACUCAUUAGUAGAGCAACAUAUAUGGAGAGAGAUCCCAUAUAAAUAUGUGUGUCCACCAAUCCACCCAAACGGCCACACACUUGGGUUACAUAGAGAUGGAAGGACAAGCCCAGCGUUCGAAAGAAAAGUAACAUUUUGACAUUGUUAUGGCAGUCAAACAAAGGCUUGCGAGCAAUUAAGUAGUAAGCAAGCAUCCAAAACUAAAUAUAUCAGAAGCACGCCCAGCUGAAGCCGUUUUGCACCAGAUCACUUUAGGAGCAGUGCAAUUGAGUGAUGGCUGCAAAAGACAGUACAGAAUCCUCAAAACCAUAUUCCUGCACGAUCAUUACAAAAGCUGGCAUAAGUAACCAAACUGCCAUCAUACUAAUAUCCGCAAUAACAUGCUGAACAAAAUGUGGGAAUUGUGCCUCACAAUACUGUCAUGACUUGCAUACAAGAGAAUUUUCAGUCUGUUUCCACAGUUUAACGUCACUAAGUACUAGAUCAAGAAUGGUUGGGAUAGCAUGAGAACAAGAAUCGAGUAGGGAGAAACUACAAAAACACAAUCAGUCACUAACUUGAAGUCAGGAUGAGUAAAAUCAUCGUGAAUAAAGGAAAAUGAUAAGUAACUUUCACCAACCUCUAUUGUGAGAUCAAAAUAAGAAAAGGAAUGUGCAACGGUUAUGUCCCAAAGAAUAGAGAGAUGAAAACAAAGUCAGUUUCCUUCACUCAUCAUCUUAUUGAGUUAUCCACACACAGAAUAAUGAAAGAGUUGCAGACUAGAUAAAUCCACGGUGGCCUGAUAUGAGGAAAUGGCAAAAUCAAAUCCACCAAGCUUCCAAGAUCCACUUGAUGUAAUAAGCUCAUUCUGCAAAAAGAUGUUCCGACAAUUACUUAUGCAUGUCCAAAUACCCAUAUGCUCUUCUUAAAUCCUGAAUUUAAGAGUGAAACAACAUAAUUUUACUUAAAAAGGGUAGAAACACCACCCAUUAAAGGGAAAGACAAAAUUAUCUUCUUUUAAGAGUGAAACAACAUAAUUUAGAAAUUACCAACUUAUUUGGAGCUUGCAAAUUCCCAAAUUUUGUACAAAAUUAUCUUAUUUUAUUUGCAUAUUUACUAAGGACAAAUUCCAAAAAGUGACCCGAAGUGCCAUCUUUUCCUCAAAUAAGGGCUAAAAGUAGAUAUUAUUUCAAAUAAGGAUUGGAAGUGCCAUCACUUUCUCAAAUAAGAACCUGAAGUGAAUAUUGUUUCAAAUAGAAUCUAAAGCAGUUAUGUUUGUUUUAAUAAAGAUUUGAAGUGGCUAUAUCUGUUUUAAAUAACUUUCGGGCAAUCACGGUAUUUUCGUCAUUUGUUAUUUUUCCCCCCCUUUUUUUUUCCAGUUCUUCUUCUUCCUCUUCGCUGGUGGACUAGCGAAGAGGAAGAAGAAGAACCCAAAAAAUAAAAGAAAGGAAAAAAAGGGAAAAAUGCCAAUGAUGAACCGAUUGGAAAAUUUAGCGGGUUGGUGACCGGCAAAGUUAGGUCAUUAUUUGAAACAAUCAAAGCCAUUUCAGGCCCUUAUUUGAAACAAUCAAGGCCAUUUCAGAUCAUUAUUUGAAAUAAAAUCCACUUUAGGCUCUUAUUUGAAAAAAUAAGAGCACUUCGGGUCCUUUUUUAAAAUUUUCCCUUUUACUAAUGCUUUGAAUUUGCUAACUAUUUUAUAAAAUUCAUAAGCUAAAUUAAUAUUAUUUACUAAAUUUUGUCAAAUUAAAAUUUUUAGUUUUGAUUUACCAACUAUCUUUGAAUUAUUUACGAAUAUUUAAUUUUUUUUUAAUCUACCAAUUGUCUCGUUAAAGUUACCAAGUUUGUUUGUCUUGGAGCUAUUUUUUAUAUUUAUAAGACUCAUUCAAAAAUUACCAAUCAAAAUUAGCUUGAUUUACCAACUUUUCUUCCAUUAAAUUAUCACAUAGUAUUGAGUGCCUACUUUCAUUUGAAUUACUUACCACACUCUAGUUGUUUAAAUUUUCAAUUUGUCUACUUUUCUUAUCGUUUCUAAACUUUGCUUUUCCUAGCAACUCUUGUGAUUUACCGACUCUUUUUUCAAAUAAUAUCACUAACCUAAUUAAAGUGACAUAACAACUUCUCUUCGAUUAAAUUAUCAGCUAGUCUUGGAUUGCCAACUCUCACUCGAGUUACUUAUCAAUUUUUUUUUUUAAAUUACCAACUUUUAUUAUCUUUUACGAUGUUUUAUCUUUCCUAACUCCUCCAUACAUAUUUUAUCCACAACAUGCGACGUGAUCAUACAUAAACACAUCUUUUUCCGUCGAUCUUUUCCAUACAAAAUAUACCAGACUUCUUGAGCUCCCGAUUAAUCUUCAUUAAAUGAGCUAGUUAUCUCAACUCAAAUAGUGCAUGAUGGUACAUUAUUGUAGGUUUAUACUCCUGACCAUCAUCUCGAUAGGAUAAGCUAACGCUAACAAAAUUGCCAAAUAUACGGAUUAGGUAUCAGUUUGGCCAUGGUUUGAUUAAGUCCAGGUAAUUAGCUGCACUUUUGGGUGACUCCGGUUCGAGACUCCAACUACCAAAUCAAGACUCGAAAAUACACGAGAUUAGUCAAUUUAACCAUUUUAUUUAAAAAGAUGCUAUUUCCACUUUAUUUUAUGAUUUUAAUACCUCUUCUUUUUUCUUGCAAGUUACUUCUCCGAUAUGGGCUUGUAGACGAAGAAGGGUUUGACGUGCGUAUAGUCUAACUUGAUCCGGAUUUUCUUGAUAUAUUAAGUAUAAAUCUACAAGUAAGUACCUAAAAUACAUAUAUAAUAAGCACAUAAACUCCCAUUUUCUUCUGGACUUAUCAAGAAACCUGAUGGAUGGAGACACCCUUUCGAUUCUUCCAAGGUUGCAACUUGUUGAGGGACAAAAUAAAUACACAAUUACAUUCCCAACAUUAGGAACUCGUUGAUAAUACUAGCAUGUACACGUGCAUAUUAGUCAAAACUCUAGAAAAACUUCCCUUUUUUUAUAGGUUAGCUCCAGAAUAAAGGUCGAUCUAAAUAAACACAGGUUGAAGAAUUCAAUAAUAAAUUUAAUAUUGAAAAAAAAAAACCCAAAACCUCGUCCAUACACAAACAUACAUAUAUAUAUAAGAUACACUUAAGAAUUUCGAGGUUCUUGUUUUAGUUGGUUGAAGUAGUGAUUAGCUUUUAGCCUUUCUAAGUAAAGACUAUGAAAUGUAGAGAAGGAGUUGGGACUUGGGAUUAGAUGCCUCCUCCACCUGGUACCUUGUAUCUACAUAUUGAAAAUUCUAAUAGGACAUUGAAGUUGAAGUGUUAAAAGUAUAUCUCGCAUAACUUAGUUAUCAGAUUUAUAACUAAGUUAUAUACAUCAUUAAAUUGAUUAAUAGAUUAAGAUGCACUUUCUAGGAACACAAAAAUCUACUGUCUUGUGUUCAAUUCUACGAAAUCUUUCUAUCAUAGUGGCAAAUUUAAAAAUUGUUUGCUGGUAAAAACAGUGGUCAUCAAUUUUAUUUUAUUUUCAGGUAAGAUGUUGGUAAAUUUACCAACAACUUUAUGAAAUUGCCAACUUAUUUAGAGUUUGCAAAUUUACAAAUUUUAUACAAACUUAUCUAUUUUCAUUUGUAUAUCUUGCUAAUCCUUUGAAUUCACUAAUCUUUUUUUUUUAUGAAAUUAAUAACCUAAAUUAGUGUGAUUUACUAAUUUGUCAAAUUAGGUUUUUAAGUUUUGGUUUACCAACUCUCUACGAAUUAUAACUACCUAUGGUGGUGGCAUAGUGGUUGAGUUUCAAUUCCUUUCGAGAGAGGUCUGGAGUUCGAAUCCCUGCGUCGUCUGCCUUGUUGGAAAGGAACCCACGACUUGCCUGUGGCAGAAAGGGUGGUGGUGACUCUCCUGCUCCUCCAAGGUUUACUCCGCCGUGAAGCGGCGCAUGGAGGUUCCCUGGGUACCAAAACAAAAAACAAAAAAACUCUCUAAGAAUUAUUUACCAACAUUUAUAUUUAUUUAAUCCUCCAAAUUUCCCGUUAAAGUUACCAACUUGUAUUACUUUUUACCACCUUUUAUGUAUCUUUCCUAACUCCUCCAAUAUAUGUUUUCUAAGCGACAUGUGAUGAAGACGUGAUUAUACGCAAUCACAUCUUUUUCCGUUGAUCUUUUUUAGACAAAAUACACGAGACUUAUUGGGCUCUCAAUUAAUCUCUACUAUAAGAGCUAGUCAUCCCGACUCAAAUAGCGAAGGUCCACAGUAACAUUAUAAGCUCAUGCUCCCGACAGCCAUCUCAAGAGGAUAAGCUAAUCCCUAACACAAUUGCUGGCUAAAUCCACGAAUUAUGCAUCGGUUUGGCCAUGGUUUGAUCAAGUCUUGGUGAUUAGCUGCACCCCGGUCGACUCCAGCUACCGAAACACACAUUAAUUACGCCCAAUUACUGCUAUCUGUUCAUAGGACCCGAUCGAAUAUUUGCGUCACCCUUUUUAUGUCGGAUGUAAAUUUCUUGCUGGCUUCACCUACUCGAAGGAACUGCGAUUUAGGUGGCAGGUAGCGACCCUUUCCUUUCUCUCUUGUCUUCUUUUUCUUUUAUUGCCUCGAUUUUCCUUUAUUUUCUCCGGGGUUGGUGGUAAUUGGUAGGCACGGCUUUAAUAAAUUCUCUGGCCUAUGUCCGCAUUUCAAAACGUGGUCUGACCGCAUCUGAAUUGAAAAGCUAGCUACCGUCUCCCCAGAGACUGGCGAUUUGAUCGAAAGUGGUAGGACAAAAGGGUAAUGAUAUCCAGUCUUUGGAUCGGAUGGAUGGGAUUUAUUAAUCCCCAGCUAAUCUCACUUAAUUUAAUUUACUUCGUCUCAAAAUUCGGGGCUGAGUUCUUUGAAUGUUUCCCUUGUGAGCACGGACUUGACUCGCACGUGAUUUGUGAAAUGAAGUGGAUCUUUUCAUGCAAAUAGAUGAAAACAGCAUUGGAACUUACGGUUUUAUAACUUAGUCAAGUAUUAUAGUUACACCAUUACCCAAAUUUCUGAAUAUCUUUUCAUUUUCGGGAAGUAACGAAGAAGGACAUGACUUGGGAUUUACUCUUUUUGGGUCAACAACUUAACAUGGGAUUUUUGGAACAUGACUUUUCGAUUUACUACGGUCAACAAAUUCAAAAAUAUGGUCGUUCUUAAAUUCAUUUAAUAAUCAAUUUGGGCAUAUUUAAUCUUUAUAUAGCUUCACGACCUACUCCCAAAAUAAGGUAGUUCUGUGGGCAUAUUUAAUCUUUAUAUAGCUUCACGACCUACUCCCAAAACAAGGUAGUUUUGUCUUUACCAGCAACUCAUCGAAACCGCAAUUCCACAGCAGAGUUUAGCUUAGGAAUCGAAUUUUCAUUUGACAUUUUAUUUGGUAUGUCCUAUGUUGCUAACAUCCCACAUGGUCAUGGAAUAAGGAAAAAAAAAAUUACGUGAAUGCAAUUUCUUUCUUGGGGAAAAGUCAAAAUAGAAAAAGGAAUCCCAUCGUAAAAUCUUUCUUCAAUAUAUGUGAAGACAAAAAGGUCCUCAUAUACUCUUCCAUUUGAGUUGAAAUUAUCACGCAUGGCACUACAUCGAGAUUUAUAGUUUGCACUGAAUUUUGUGAUUGGAUUGAAUUUUAAUUUUUAUUCGAUUUAAAUUUUACGGUCCAUAAAUGUUGAUUUUUUGUAAUCCGAAGCGUUCGAGACUUUGACAUUAUAUCUAUGAUUUUUUUUGGAAUCUAAGUAUUUUAAGUUACGGUGGAAAAACAAAAGGAAUAAUUUUUUUUUUAAUUAUUUGCAAAGAAGCAAGCUCAUCUUAUUACGUCAUUGAGAUAAUAAAUUUAGUUUACAAGUGAAAAAUAGAAAUUCUUCAGCACGCUUGUCUCUUGCUAUCAUUGAAGUGUUUAGUGUCAUGCGAAAUAUAAGCAAUUUAUUAAUUAUUAAGUGUUCUAAAGGGUCAAUACAUGCAAGGUUAAUAAAUUAUCAAGAUAUUGAAAUUAUAGUCAAUUGUGAUCAAGAGGCAAAUGCCUUGAAUGCUUCGAUUGUCUUUGUGUUCUACACAAUUAGUAUCUAGAAAUUGAAUUACACAUAUAAAACAAAUGUCCAUGACUUUCAUUAUGACUUACAUUAAAAAGUACCCGACGCACUUGUUAAGCAAUUUGGAUAAGCAUGGCACUACAUCGAGAUUUAUAGUUUGCGCUGAAUUUUAUCAUUGGAUUGAAUUUUAAUUUUCAUUCAAUUAAAAUUUUACGGUCCUCAAAUGUUGAUUUUUUUUUAAUCUGAAGUAUUCGAGACUUUCACAUUAUAUCUAUGAUUUUUUUUUUGGAAUCUAAGUAUUUUAGAUUACGAUGGAAAAAAAGGGAAUAGAUUUUUCUUUUAAUUAUUUGCGAAUAACAAGCUCAUCUUAUUAAUAAAUUACAUCACUUAGAUAAUAAAUUCAGUUUACUAGUGAAAAACAUAAAUUCUUCAGCAUGCUUGUCCCUUGCUAACAUCGAGCAUCAUGCAAAAGAUAAACAAUUUGUUAAUUAUUAAGUGUUCUAAAAGGUUGAGACAUGCAAGGUUAAUAAAUUAUCGAUAUAUCAAAAGUAUAGUCAAUUGUGAUCAAAUUGCAAAUACUUUCAAUGCUUCGAUUAUCUUUGCAUUCUACACAAUUAGUGUCUCAAAAUUGAAUUAUACAUAUAAAAUAGGUGUUCAAGACUUUCAUUAUGACUUAUGUUAAAAAGUACCCGGCGCACUUAAUAAGCAAAUUUAAUAAGAAAAUAUUCUAUUUCGAGAGUAUCAACUGUACAUGUUAAGAAAGAAGUUGAUGCGUAGAAACUUUACUUAUUUUCUUUUUAUUGAAUUGUUCAUCAAAAAAUGUCUUUGGGACCCGCUUUGUGACUUAUCCGUUCCUCUGCUCAGUGGGAGGACCCGCAUUGGUUGGUGCAUUGGUUUGGUUGGUAGGAGUAACAUCGUGCUCUCUCCCGAAUGACAUUGUCGGAACCCAUUUCUUAAUUUUUGCAAAGACGGAGUGUUUUAUUUAUUGCAAGCUCCACUAGUUUCCGAAAAGACUUGGCGCCCCGGACUCACGGACUCGCCAUGCCGCCUCGACGGAGUCCUGAACCCGACCGACCUAGAAUGGACACAAACACGAUAAUAAUUUCCAUUGGUAUAUGUUAUCGGACCGCACAUUUCUUAAGAAUUGUCGAAAGAAUAUGUCAAAAAUGGAAUAGGUACGAGUAAAAUGCGCAGGAUGAUUGUGGACAAAUAUUAAAAAUCAGAGGAUAUGACCAGUUCGUUCGCAAAAUGAUGUGAGAUGGAUUGUUUCAAUGAAUUUGGGGAGCACAAUAGUCAAAUAGUGGGGUUGGUGACCGCACGACGCGGGCUCAUGCAAAAGCGAGUCAAUACCAUGGAGUCAAAUAAGACCAUUUUAUAAUCCCACUUGUACUUCAAAAAUACUGAGAAGAGCACAAGUCAUUUGAGCAGAAAAAGUAAUUUAGUGCUAAUUUCUAGGGGUCACAAUUUCAUGGAUUUUUUUUUUAUUAAAUCAAUUUUUGGUCUGUGCCCUUAAAAUCAUUUUCCUUUCAAAGAUUAAAGUAAAUUGCCAAAUUGGGAAAUAAACAUUUUAUCAGAAAAGACAUAAAUAUUGAGCAAAAGAAAUUUCGAAAUGAAACGAAAUAAGCCUAAAAGAAAUUGAUCACUCUUAUCUUUUUUUUUUCUUUUAACAUCAUCAUUAAAAGAAUUUGUCUUGAUAUUACUUAUUAGAUUCCUCCAAUGAUGCAUUUCCGAGGUCUUCCUUCCCGUGACGUAACCCGAGAGCCAUCCUCAUUGUUCCUCAACUGGGGAGGCCAUUUCUUGUUAGUGCCUGGUGGAACAGUGUCAAUGUGCCUAGUCAUCACUUAAACGACACCAAACACCGGUUCACUCCCUCCUAUGAUUUCCCUAUUCAAAAUCUCCACCCGGUCGGGAAUUUCAAUUUGGAAACCAUCUUUGACCCGUCGACUAACCCGUCGGCCUAACCUACUCGACACUCAAUGGCGGGCGGGCCUCUCCUCUAUUUAAACGUCCGAUUUGUAGGUGAACAGACUCAGGAAAUUCACUAGCUUCUUUAGCGCAUGUGAAUUUCCUUCAUAGCAAAACACACAAAAAACGCCACCGCGCUCUUCCUCUCUCUCGCCAGCCCUCACCUUGAUCCUCGCUCGAUUUCGACUCCUCUUCUCGGGCUCUCGGCCGCUCUAGACAUUCGCAUUCACACGAGCGCGAAGAUGGACAUGGACACGGCAGCGUGCAACGGCAAGGGCUCCCUUGGGCUCUGCGCGGGGGCAGGCGGUGACCCACUCAACUGGGGCGCGGCUGCCGCGGCCCUCACGGGGAGCCACCUCGAUGAGGUGAAAAGGAUGGUCGAGGAGUCCCGGCGGCCUGUGGUCCGCCUCGGCGGUGAGACGCUGACCAUCGCACAGGUGGCGGCCAUCGCGGGGCGGGAGGCCGGCGCGGCGGUCGAGCUGUCGGAGGCGGCCCGGGCGGCAGUCAAGGCCAGCAGCGACUGGGUGAUGGAGAGCAUGAGAAACGGCACGGACAGCUACGGGGUCACCACCGGCUUCGGCGCCACCUCGCAUAGGCGGACCAAGCAAGGUGGUGCUCUGCAGACGGAGCUCAUAAGGUAAAAAAAAAAGAAGAAAAAAAGUGCUACUUCGAUAUAUUUCUUUAAAUUCUCAUUAGGUUGUUUUUAUUAACAAAUAUUCGCAGAUAUAUCGAAAAUACUUGUCAAGCAAUCGAUAAUGAAAAAAAAAUGCUGAUUUUAGGAGAUGGGUGCGAUAAUACGUUAUUCGGGAAUUGUAAUUAUCAAGAAGUGCAUAUUUAAAAAAAAAAAAUUCAAGUAAAAUCCUUUAUUUUAAUUUAAAAUUAACACCUGUCAUCUGCGGUAUAAAAUGGUCCCCCGUGAAGGGCUGCCAAGUGCUGGCUAAGCUUCCUUUCCAUAAAAGAUAUAUACCCAAACGUGCGAGUAUCAAUCCAAAGGCCGAAAUCAAUUUCUCUAUAUUUUUUAAAUAUUAGGUAACCAAAAAUAAUAUGGGAGAAGAUUAAUUAAUUUCGAAGACAACCCGUAAUAAUUACUUUUUGAAUACCUAAUUUCUCAUUUUUUCAAGACUUACUUUUGCUAUAAUUAAAUAAGUGUCUAAAUCGAUAUUCACAUUUCCUUUACUAUAAUUAAUAAUAUGUGGCUGACGAAAUUUUCCGACUGAGCCAGGUUCUUGAACGCCGGCAUAUUCGGCAACGGGACCGAGUCGUGCCACGUGCUGCCCCACUCGGCGACCCGGGCCGCGAUGCUCGUGAGGAUCAACACCCUCCUCCAAGGCUACUCAGGCAUCCGGUUUGAGAUCCUGGAGACCAUGGCCAAGCUCCUCAACCGCAACAUCACCCCGUGCCUGCCUCUCAGGGGUACCGUCACGGCCUCAGGCGACCUGGUCCCCUUGUCCUACAUCGCCGGGCUUCUGACGGGCAGGCCCAACUCGAAGGCGGUUGGGCCAAAUGGCGAGUCCCUGAACGCCGUCGAGGCCUUCCACCUUGCCGGGAUCAAGCACGGGUUCUUUGACCUGCAGCCCAAAGAGGGCCUCGCGAUCGUGAAUGGCACGGCAGUCGGGUCUGGGCUCGCUUCCAUUGUCCUGUUCGAGGUGAACAUCCAGGCCGUCCUCUCAGAGGUUCUGUCGGCGAUCUUCGCCGAGGUGAUGCAAGGGAAGCCGGAGUUCACCGACCACUUGACCCACAAGCUCAAGCACCAUCCCGGACAAAUUGAAGCUGCAGCUAUAAUGGAGCACAUCUUGGAUGGGAGCUCCUACGUGAAGGACGCUCAAAAGCUCCACGAGAUCGACCCUCUCCAGAAGCCGAAGAAGGACCGAUACGCGCUCCGCACGUCCCCGCAGUGGCUCGGCCCCCAGAUCGAAGUGAUCAGGGCCGCCACCAAAAUGAUCGAGAGGGAGAUCAACUCUGUCAACGACAACCCGCUGAUCGACGUCUCCAGGAACAAGGCUCUCCAUGGAGGGAACUUCCAGGGGACCCCGAUUGGGGUUUCCAUGGACAACACCCGUCUCGCCAUCGCCUCCAUCGGCAAGCUCAUGUUUGCGCAGUUCUCCGAGCUCGUUAACGACUUCUACAACAACGGGCUGCCCUCUAACCUGUCCGGGGGACGGAACCCGAGCCUGGAUUAUGGCUUCAAGGGAGCCGAGAUCGCCAUGGCCUCAUACUGCUCGGAGCUGCAGUUCCUUGCCAACCCUGUGACCAACCAUGUCGAGAGCGCGGAGCAACACAACCAGGACGUGAACUCCUUGGGCCUGAUCUCGUCGAGGAAGACUGCCGAGGCCGUCGACGUGCUGAAGCUCAUGUCCUCCACCUUCCUGGUCGCCCUGUGCCAGGCCAUCGACCUGAGGCACCUGGAAGAGAACCUCAAGAGCGUGGUCAAGAACACGGUGAACCAAGUGGCCAAGAAGGUCCUCUACGUCGGGUCCAACGGCGAGCUCCACCCGUCGCGGUUCAGCGAGAAAGACCUGAUCAAGGUGGUCGACCGGGAGCACGUCUUCGCCUACAUUGAUGACCCCUGUAGCGCCACGUACCCCCUGAUGCAGACGCUGAGGCAGGUCCUCGUGGACCAUGCGCUGGACGACGUCGACCGAGAGAAGAACCCCAGCACCUCCAUCUUCCAGAAGAUUGGGGCUUUCGAGGAGCAGCUCAAGGUACUCCUCCCGCAGGAGGUCGAGAACGCGAGAGCUCAGUUCGAGAGCGGGAGCUCGGCGAUCGCUAACAAGAUCAGGGGGUGCAGGUCGUACCCAUUGUACAGGUUCGUGAGGGAAGAGCUCGGGACCGGUUUGCUCACGGGGGAGAAGGUCGGCUCGCCGGGCGAGGACUUUGAUCUGGUGUUCUCCGCCAUGUGCGAGGGCAAGCUGAUCGAUCCUUUGCUGGAGUGCUUGAGGGACUGGGAUGGUGCUCCGCUUCCCAUCUGUUAGAAACUUUUCCAAAUCCUGAAGACUGCCUCAUAAUUUAACUUGCCCUAAUCUUGGUAUGUACUUAGAGAGUUUUUCAUGGUCGAGAAACUGCGGUUAAAAUUGUAAUGUCUCUUAUGUCUUUUGUUCAGUUCUUUCUUAUUCAAACACCCCCCCCCCCUCGAUGUAUAUUUGUACUUGGAACUUCAUCGGUGUAACAACAAUGUUGAAACACGUGAAGGAAUACAACAUACAUUGCGUUACAUUUUCGUUCUUAUAAAGGAUCGCGACAUUUACUCUGCAUUGUGAGUUAAUUGUUAUUGGGUACAUCUUAUUGUAUCUCCCAACUUGAACCUACCAAACGUAAAAUCAGAAUGAACAUGUAUUUCUUAAAGGGAGCUACCCUCAUUAGAAAUUAAGUGGGUUGCGUAUUAAGAAUCAAUAUUAUAUUUAAGUUCAUGAAAAGGAACACGUUUAUAUGAAAAGACAUUCAGAUAAUAUAUGCAUCAUUAUUGAUUCAGUCUACAUUAUUCUAAUUAAAUGAAUGCAUAUUAUUUCAAGGCUCCACAUGUAUAAAAAAGUUAGAGGUUGCUCAUCUUUGCUUAGGCCUAGAAUGAUGCCCGACCAACCUCUUUGCCAUGACUUUUGGAAGAGGUUGACCUACCGAGCAUGAAUUUCUUUGUGGGUUGGCCCGAAAAGGCAAUAAAUCAUUUGGGAUGGGACAUAUAUUCCAAAUUGAGUGGUUGCCUCCAGAGCAGGAUAACUCUAUGAUUGGCAAAUAUGGGGCCCCGUUCCUAGAAAAAUAUCACAACUUUGGAUUUUCCUCGAUGCACUUGGCCUAAUCCAUGAGGAGGUUUCUGCCCAAAAUGGUAACCUGGCUAGCAAAACCGAAGUGUCACAUGGAUCUAUUUAGGACAUGUCACGGUCGAUUCCCAGUGUUCGAACCUCAAAAUUAUGGCCCCAAACCCACACUACCUUCUAUGCCAAACCAUAACUGAUGGAGUUUGUAUCAAACUUAACCUCGCGCAAUUUGUGUAAUCGAUAGAUUGAUAAGGAUGUUAGGUCGGCCACCAUAUCAUGUGAUGGCGGAUUCUGUUCAAGUUUAGCUGAACCUCGCUGGUUCAAAGGUGGUACAGUCCCACUUUUUAGUCUCUAAUAAGCUGUCGAAAGCACAAGCAUGGAUACCUUCGAUCUUCCCACUCAAUUUGAGGUCCAUAUACGAGAUUGAAUGUGGAGAAAUGGGUGCGUAUCUGGUAUCACUGAAUUCUCUGAGUCACUGACAGACUCCAUCAUUUGGUUACCUCUUUUUUGUGGAAAGUUCCCUUCUGUAGCAUUAGUGCAGAAGAGCAGACAGUUUCAGCUCCCUGGGGACAAGUUGUCUAGGGCAGAUAAGACAGAAAGUGGAAGAUCCCCGUUUGGACACGUCACUCCAAUGUAAAACAGCCAACGGAUUUCCUAGACAUGGGCAACAAUCAUUCCUAAUCCUCAAAGUGGUCGGAUGUCAAUGCGUCUGUCUCUCUCUCUAUCUCACACGGCGCUUUCAAUAUGUCUUGCUUCAUGUCUUCGAACUUGGGUUUGCCUGGCCGGUGAUCUCAACCAUAUGGGGAAGCAUAUAGCUCGCUCUUCUUCUGCUCGAUUGACCUCUUUCGAAUGUGAAUUCUGGGUUUGUCUCUCCCUCUGGAGAUCGAUGGACACACGCAUCGAUCAAAGCGGGUGAGUGAACUUUGACAUGUUCUUACUCUUUCGCUUUCUAAACAAUUUUGGUUAGGGAUAGCGAAAGAUCGUGAUUCUAAUGUUGUUUUUCCGAACAGGCCUCUCUAUAUGUGUUGACAAUAGCCCUAUAUUUUGGAAUAAUAUGAUAAAUGCAAGCAAUAAAGAGAUUGAUUUUACAUUCUAUGUUCAUGGGAUGUCGAGUUUUCUUUGUGACGACAAAUCACUUUAUAAAAUAUAUAUAUAUAUAUAACCAUAGCAAAAUUCAACUAUCUCGUAAUCAAGGAGUAACCUGAGAAUUUAUCCAUCAAUUCAAAAACUACCAUUCCCUUCACGUGCCAAACAAGAUAUAAAAGAUGCCUAAGCCGUAGCAACUGCCCGAAGUACAAAUAACCAGAAACCAUAGAGUGAAGAUCAAUUAUUUGCCUUCAUUAGCCAUUACAUUGUCCCUUCGAACUUGUAAAUCUCCCCUUUUUGCCUAAUACGCUAAUCAAUCCACAAAACGUUAUCAAGUAAGUGUUGGAGAAAUUUUCUUGAAGUGUUUUGAAGCUGACAAAACGUUUCCAUCAGUCUAGUCUGAAGGCUUGCAGACUCUGCUAUUUAAAGUCUGAAGACCUCCGGACAGCCAGACUCAAGACUCAAAGUCUAUCCUCAUUGACAGUCUCUAAUCCGUUAAAGAAAGGUUAUCCAGAACUGGAUGUUUCGUUAAGGAUUUAAUCUUAUCAACUGGAGAAGAUCUCGUGGCUGGAAAAGACAUAACGGAGUCCUUUGAUUGAUCGAAGAUUGACUCGAUAAUUGAAGAUCCGGUGAUUACCUAAAUAUUAUUGGAAGGUUCUACUUAUGGAAACCGAGAUCCUGAUUGUAUGGGCGAACAUGAUUGAUGGGCUAUCGACACGUUCCUUUAAUAGCUCGGAUAAUCUUCCUAAUUGAUUCCGUCCAACGGGUAGAUUGGAGGAAUUCUUUUGGUAAGUGCCAACGGGUAUGAUGGCAUAAAAGAGUAUAUAAGGAAGACGUUCUAAGUUGUUGAGGUGUGCGCGAUAGAAGAAUUCCAAAGUCUGAAGCUCCUUUUUAUUUAGACAAUUCCUUUGAGCGAAUACUUGUAUACAAAAGAGAGUCUAUAUUUGUGAGAAAUCUUGAGGAGGUGUGGUAGAACAUCCACACUGUGGAAUCAAGGCAAAGCUGUGCUGUAACUUCUCUUUUGUUCAUAAGUGAAAUCCAGCCGGUGGGCUGUCAGUGCGGAAGAGUGGACGUAGGUUUGGAAUAAGCCGAACCACUAUAAACCCUGUGUUCAAUUUUCUCUUCCUUGCUCUCUUUACCUUGAUCGUAUUUCAUUUUGUUAAUCAAAAAAGAAUUUCCUUUCUAUCGUUUGCCAAGAAUCGCUUCCAUAUCUCGAUAAAUUGUUUGUGCACCUAUUCACCCCCCUCUAGGUGCUUAUACUAGCUAUCUCAGUAAGGACCUGUAAAAUCAAGUGCUGUAGGCCUGAAAGAUUCAUUUGCUGACAGCAUUCUAUGCAAGUUAAGAACUAACUCAGGGAGGAAUGGUUGAGGAAGCUUCAUUUGCUAAGUACGUCAAGGUAUUCAUGUACUGCGUAUAGCACACCAAAAGCAAAACUCAUUGGUAGAGCAACAUAUAUGGAGAGAGAACCCAUAUAAAUAUGUGUGUCCUCCAAUCCACCUACACGGGCACACACUUGGGUUACAUAGAGAUGGAAGGACAAGCCCAGCGUUCGAAAGAAAAGGAACAUUUUGACAUUGUUAUGGCAGUCAAACAAAGUCUUGCGAGCAAUUAAGUAGUAAGCAAGCAUCCAAAACUAAAUAUAUCAGAAGCACACCCAGCUGAAGCCGUUUUGCACCAGACCACUUUAGGAGCAGUGCAAUUGAGUGAUGGCUGCAAAAGACAGUACAUAAUCCUCAAGAUCAUAUUCCUGCACGAUCAUUACAAAAGCUGGCAUAAGUAACCAAACUGCCAUCAUACUAAUAUCCGCAAUAACAUGCUGAACAAAAUGUGAGAAUUGUGCCACACAAUACUGUCAUGACUUGCAUACAAGAGAAUUUUCAGUCUAUUUCCACAGUUUAACAUCACUAAGUACUAGAUCAAGAAUGGUUGGGAUAGCAAGAGAACAAGAAUCGAGUAGGGAGAAACUACAAAAACACAAUCAGUCACCAACUUGAAGUCAGGAUGAGUAAAAUCAUCGUGAAUAAAGGAAAAUGAUAAGUAACUUUCACCAACCUCUAUUGUGAGAUCAAAAUAUGAAAAGGAAUGUGCAACGGUUAUGUCCCAAAGAAUGGAGAGAUGAAAACAAAGUCGGUUUCCUUCACUCAUCAUCUUAUUGAGUUAUCCACACACAGAAUAAUGAAAAAGUUGCAGACUAGAUAAAUCCACGGUGGCCUGAUCUGAGGAAAUGGCAAAACCAAAUCCACAAGCUUCCAAGAUCCACUUGAUGUAAUAAGCACAUUCUGCAAAAAGAUGUUCCGACAAUUACUUAUGCAUGUCCAAAUACCCAUAUGCUCUUCUUAAAUCCCGAAUUUAAGAGUGAAACAACAUAAUUUUACUUAAAAGGGUAGAAACACCACCCAAUAAAGGGAAAGACAAAGUUAUCUUCUUUUAAGAGUGAAACAACUUAAUUUAGAAAUUACCAACUUAUUUGGAGCUUGCAAAUUCCUAAAUUUUGUACAAAAUUAUCUCCUUUUAUUUGCAUAUUUUACUAAGGGAAAAUUUUAAAAAGGGACUCGAAGUACCAUCUUUUCCUCAAAUAAGGGUCCAAAGAGGAUAUUGUUUCAAAUAAGGACUGAAAGUGAAUAUUGUUUAAAAUAAUGAUCUAAAGCAGUUACGUUUUUUUUCUUUUUUGGUGACCCGGGAAUCACCAUACAACUGGCAACCAGUGGCGUAAAUCCGAGGUGGACUGAGCCACCACCACAGACCCAGCCGCGGGUGAGUCACGCGAAUGCGACGCCUCUGGGAUUCGAACUCCUUCCCUUCAUGAGGGGGAGAGAGCCCGAAGCCAGCUACACCACCGCGGGCGGUGGUAUCUAAAGCGGUUAUGUUUGUUUCAAAUAAGGAUUUAAAAUGGCUAUAUCGGUUUCUAAUAACUUUUCGGCAAUCACGGUAUUUUCGUCAUUUGUCAUUUUUCCUCUUUUUUUUUUCUUUUUUCUUCUGGUUCUUCUUCUUCCUCUUCGCCGGCGAAGAGGAAGAAGCAGAACCAAAAAAAUAAAAGAAAGGAAAAAAGGGAAAAAUGCCAAAUGACGAACUGAUUGGAAAACGAAGAGGAAGAAGCAGAACCAAAAAAAUAAAAGAAAGGAAAAAAGGGAAAAAUGCCAAAUGACGAACUGAUUGGAAAAUUUAGCGGGUUGGUGAUCGGCAAAGUUAGGUCAUUAUUUGAAAUAACCAAAGCCAUUUCAGGCCUUUAUUUGAAAUAAUCAAGGCAAUUUCAAAUCUUUAUUUGAAAUAAAAUCCACUUUGGGCUCUUAUUUGAAAAAAUAAGGACACUUUGGCUCCUUUUUAAAAAAUUUCCCUUUUACUAAUGCUUUGAAUUCGCUAACUAUUUUAUAAAAUUCAUAAGCUAAAUUAGUAUUAUUUACUAAAUUUUGUCCAAUUAAAAUUUUUAGUUUUGAUUUACCAACUAUCUUUGAAUUAUUUACGAAUAUUUAAUUUUUUUUAAUCUACCAAUUGUCUUGUUAAAGUUACCAAGUGUGUUUGUCUUGGAGCUAUUUUUUUUUUUUAAAUUUAAAAGACUCAUUCAAAAAUUACCAAUCAAAAUUAGCUUGAUUUACAAGUUUUCUUCCAUUAAAUUAUCAAAUAGUAUUGAGUGCCUACUUUCAUUUGAAUUACUUACCACACUCUAGUUGUUUAAAUUCUCAAUUUGCCUAAUUUUCUUAUCGUUUCUAAACUUUGCUUUUCCUAGCAACUCUUGUGAUUUACCGACUCCUUUUUCAAAUAUUAUCACUAACCUAAUUAAAGUGACAUAACAACUUCUCUUUGAUUAAAUUAUCGGCUAGUCUUGGAUUGCCAACUCUCAUUCGAGUUACUUACGGCAUUUUAUCUUUCCUAACUCCUCCAUACAUAUUUAUCCAAAACAUGCGACAUUAUCAUACGCAAUCACAUCUUUUUCCAUCGAUCUUUUUCAUACAAAAUAUGCGGGACUUCUUGAGCUCCCGAUUAAUCUUCAUUAAAUGAGCUAGUUAUCUCAACUCAAAUAGUGCUUGAUGGUACAUUAUUGUACGUUUAUACACCUGACCAUCAUCUUGAUAGGAUAAGCUUUUGCUAACAAAAUUGCCAAAUAUACAGAUUAGGUAUCAGUUUGGCCAUGGUUUGAUUAAGUCCAGGUAAUUAGCUGCACUUUUGGAUGACUCCGGGUUCGAGACUCCAGCUACCAAAUCAAGACUCGAAAAAAAACAAGAGAUUAGUCGAUUUAACCAUUUUAUUUAAAAAGAUGCUAUUUCCACUUUAUUUUACGAUUUUAAUACCUCUUCUUUUUUCUUGCAAGUUACUUCUCCGAUAUGGGCUUCUAGACGAAGAAGGGUUUGACGUGCAUAUAGUCUAACUUGAUCCGGAUUUUCUUGAUAUAUUAAGUAUAAAUCUACAAGUAAGUACCUAAAAUACAUAUCUAAUAAAGCACAUAAACUCCCAUUUUCUUCUGGACUUAUCAAGAAACCUGAUGGAUGGAGACACCCUUUCGAUUCUUCCAAGGUUGCAACUUGUUGAGGGACAAAAUAAAUUCACAAUUAAAUUCCCAACAUUAGGAACUCGUUGAUAAUACUAGCAUGUACACGUGCAUAUUAGUCAAAAGUCUAGAAAACCUUCCCUUGUUUAUAGGUUAGCUCCAGAUAAAGGUCGAUCUAAAUAAACCCAGGUUGAAGAAUUCAAGAAUAAUUUAAUCUUGAAAAAAAGCAAAACCCAAAACCUCGUCCAUACAUACAUACAUACAUACAUACAUACAUACAUACAUACAUACAUACAUACAUAUAUAUAGAUACACACAUAUAAAAGAUACACUUAAGAAUUUCGAGGUUCUUGUUUUAGUUGGUUGAAGUAGUGAUUAGCUUUUAGUCUUUUUAAGUAAAGACUAUGAAAUGCAGAGAAGGAAUUGGGACUUGGGAUUAGAUGCCUCCUCCACCUGGUAUCUUGUAUCUACGUAUUGAAAAUUCUAAUAGGACAUCGAAGUUGGAGUGUUAAAAGUAUAUCUCACAUAACUUAGCUACCGGAUUUAUAACGAAGUUAUUUACAUCAAUAAAUUUACUAAUAGUUUAAGAUGCAUCUUCUAGGAAUACAAAAAUCUAUUGUCUUGUGUUCAAUUCUACGAAAUCUUUCUAUCAUAGUGGCAAAUUUAAACACCGUUCGCUAGUGAAAACAAUGGUCAUAGAUUUUUUUUUUUUUUUUAAGUAAGGUGUUGGUAAAUUUAUCAACAGCUUUAUGAAAUUGCCAACUUAUUUAGAGUUUGCAAAUUUACAAAUUUUGUACAAACUUAUCUAUUUUUAUUUGUAUAUCUUGCUAAUGCUUUGAAUUCACUAAUCUUUUUUUAAAAAUGAAAUUGAUAACUUAAAUUAGUGUGAUUUACUAAUUUGUCAAAUUAAGUUUUUAAAUUUUGGUUUACCAACUCUCUGCGAAUUAUUUACCAACAUUUAAUUUUAUUUAAUCCUCCAAAUUUCCCGUUAAAGUUACCAACUUGUAUUACUUUUUACCACCUUUUAUGUAUCUUUCCUAACUCAUCCAAUAUAUGUUUUCUGCGCAACAUGUGACGAAGACGUGAUCAUACGCAAUCACAUCUUUUUCCGUCGAUCUUUUUCAGACAAAACACACAAGACUUCUUGGGCUCUCAAUUAAUCUCUACUAUAAGAGCUAGUCAUCCCGACUCAAAUAGUGAAGGUCCACAGUAACAUUAUAGGCUCAUGCUCCCUAACACAAUUGCUGGCUGAAUCCAUGAAUUAUGUAUCGGUUUGGCCAUGGUUUGAUCAAGUCUUGGUGAUUAGCUGCACGCUGGUCAACUCCAGCUACCGAAACACACAUUAAUUAAUAAGACUCAGGAAAAUAUUCGCGCCCAAUUACUGCUAUCUGUUCAUAGGAUCCGAUCGAAUAUUUGCGUCACCCUUUUUAUGUCGGAUGUAAAUCUCUUAUUGGCUUCACCAACUCGAAGGAACUGCGACCCUUUGUUUUCUCUCGUCUUCUCUUUCUUUUCUUCCCUCGAUUUUCCUUUAUUUUCUCCGGGGUUGGUGGUAAUCGGUAGGCACGACUUUAAUAAAUUCUUUGGCCCAUGUCCGCAUUUAAAAUGUGGUCUGACCGCAUCUGAAUUGAAAAGCUAGCUACCGUCUCCCUAAGAUGACAGACUGGCGAUUUGAUCGAAAGUGGUGGGACAAAAGGGUAAUGAUAUCCAGUCUUUGGAUCGGAUGGAUGGGAUUUAUUAAUCCCCAGCUAAUCCACUUAAUUUAAUUUACUUCGUCUCAAAAUUCGGGGCUGAGUUCUUUGAAAGUUUCCUUGUGAGCACGGACCUGACUCGCACGUGAUUUGCGAAAUGAAGUGGAUCUUUUCAUGCAAUUAGAUACAAACGGCAUUGGAAAAUAUGGUUUUAUAACUUAGUCAAGUAUUAUAGUUACACCAUUACCCAAAUUUCUGAAUAUCUUUUCAUUUUCGGGAAGUAACGAAGAAGGACAUGGCUUGGGAUUUACUCUUUUUGGGUCAACAACUUAACAUAGGAUUUUUGGAACAUGACUUUUCCUUUUAAUACGGUCAACAGAUUCAAAAAUAGGGUCAUUCCUAAAUUGAUUUAAUAAUCAAUUUGGGAAUAUUUAAUCUUUAUAUAUCUUCAUGACCUACUCCCAAAGCAAGGUAGUUAUGUGGGCAUAUUUAAUCUUUAUAUAGCUUCACGACCUACUCCCAAAACAAGGUAGUUUUGUCUUUACCAGCAACUCAUCGAAAUCGCGAUUCCACAACGGAGUUUAGUUUAGGAAUCGAAUUUUCAUUUGACAUUUUAUUUGGUAUGUCCUAUGUUGCUAACAUCCCACAUGGUCAUGGAAUAAGGAAAAAAAAAUUAUGUGAAUGCAGUUUCUUUCUUGGGGAAAAGUCAAAAUAGAAAAAGGAAUCCCAUCGUAAAAUCUUUCUUCAAUAUAUGUGAAGACAAAAAGGUCCUCAUAUACUCUUCCAUUUGAGUUGAAAUUAUCACGCAUGGCACUACAUUGAGAUUUAUAGUUUGUACUGAAUUUUGCGAUUGGAUUGAAUUUUAAUUUUUAUUCAAUUUAAAUUUUAUGGUCCACAAAUGUUGCAUUUUUGUAAUCCCGAAGCGUUCGAGACUUUGACAUUAUAUCUACGAUUUUUUUGGAAUCUAAGUAUUUUAAGUUACGGUGGAAAACAAAGGAUAAAAUUUUCUUUUNNNNNNNNNNNNNNNNNNNNNNNNNNNNNNNNNNNNNNNNNNNNNNNNNNNNNNNNNNNNNNNNNNNNNNNNNNNNNNNNNNNNNNNNNNNNNNNNNNNNAAUUUAGUUUACAAGUGAAAAAUAGAAAUUGUUCAGCACGCUUGUCUCUUGCUAUCAUUGAAGUGUUUAGUGUCAUGCGAAAUAUAAGCAAUUUAUUAAUUAUUAAGUGUUCUAAAGGGUCAAUACAUGUGAGGUUAAUGAAUUAUCGAGAUAUUGAAAGUAUAGUCAAUUGUAAUCAAGAGGCAAAUGUCUUCAAUGCUUCGAUUGUCUUUGUGUUCUAUGAAAAAAAGCAAGGAAGAAUAAGGAAAAACGUAGGAAAUUUUUUGUAUAUUCUAUUUUGUAUAUCAAAUAGUGUACAAUGCUGUACAAUUAUAUCACUAGGCAUGUACAAGAAAAAGGAAAUAAAGAAUAUUACAAAAUCAAUUUCGAUAUUAGACUGAUAUUAAUUGAUCUGGCAUAUCAAUCUAAAUCCUAAAGAAUAUUGCACAAGAUCGCAUAUCUUCCAACAUUUCCCCUUAAACUGGUGGCUUGUAGAUGUCAAAGACACUUAGCUUGCUUAGUAGAUAUGCGUGUUGUCUCUGACAUAGAGGUUUGGUGAAGACAUCUGCAGGUUGUUCUGUAGUCCCAAUUCCUCUUGUUUCGAUUACCUCCUCUUGAAUCUUCUCUCAGGUGAAGUGACAGUCCACUUCUAUGGGCUUUGUUCUUUCGUGCACUAUAGGAUUGGACGCAAGUUUUGUUAUGUCGUUGUCACAAAACAACAUGCUGGGUCCCUUUGUUUGCACCCCAAGGUCCUGAAGCAAGCCUCACAGCCACACUAUUUCACAAGUGGUCUUCGCCAUAGCUCGAUAUUCAGCCUCUAUUGAAGAUAAAGACAUGGUUGGCUGCUUCUUCGUCUUCCAAGAAAGUAAAAUUUUCCCAGCAUGAUACGGAAUCCUAUAAUUGAUCUCCUGCUCAUCGGACAAGUUGCUUAAUCAGCGUCACAAUAAGUUGUCAUCUCCAUGUUGCAUCUUUUUUAAAGAAGAAUUCCAAGUCCUAGACAUUUCUUCAAAUACUUAACAACCUUUAGAGCGUGUGGGACUGCUUUGACUUGUGCAUAAACCGACUGAGUGUCUGCACAUCAUAACAUAUAUCUGGUUUAGUCAUGGUAAAAUAUAUGAGCUUUCCUACCAGCCUUUGAUAACCUGAUGGGUCUCUGUAUCAUCUUGGAGAUUUCUUUCAUCACGGUCCACCGUAGUUAACUUGACAUUUUGUUCGAUUGGAAUAGCUGCCAAUUUGCUUCCCGAUAAACCUGCUUCUGAUAUGAUCUCUAGCACGAAUUUUCGUUGAAUGAUGGAAAUCCCUUGAUUUGAUCGAGCAAUUUCUAUUCUUAGAAAAUAUUUGGGUGAUCCCAAGUCCUUUAUGUGAAAUGUCGAAUGCAGGUAUUCCUUGAAGCUCUUUAUGACAAUUGCAUCUACCCAUAAUAAGUAUAUCAUCAAUGUAUAUCAUUAAAAAUAUGGAUGACAUACCUUUUGUCCAUGUAAAAAUAGCGUAGUGAUAUUUAGACCGUUUGAAACUUGUUGCUGUGAGAGCAUUCGCGAACUUGGCAUACCAUUGCCUAGAUGCUUGUUUGAGACCAUAAAGGGAUUUGCGGAGACGACAUACUUUGUUCUCCCCCUGUCUCCAUAAACCCUGAGGAAGUUUCAUAUAAAUUUCUUCAUCCAAAUCACCAUGGAGAAAUGUAUUGUGGACAUCCAUUUGGUGUAAUGACCAAUCUUGGGAAGCCGUAACCGAUAGGAAGGAGUGAACCGUGACAUCUUUGGCCACUGGAGAGAAGGUCUCGUGAUAGUCGAAUCAUUCUCACUGUGUAAACCCUUUGGCCACGAAUCGAGCUUUACAUCGUUCAAUCAAUCCAUCUACUCGAAACUUUAUCUUGUAAACCCAUUUACAUCCUAUUGCCUUACGAUUAGUAGGUAAAGUCACAAGAUCCCAUGUAUGGUUGUCAUUUAAUGCUUGUAAUUCUGCUGGCAUGGCCUUUUGCCAGUGUGGAUCCAUGGAUGCUUCAUCAUAACUAGCUGGUUCCCUUUCUUCAGAUAUGCAACUAAUACAUUGUCUAUGUUCUGGAGACAAUUGAUUGAAAGAGACAUAGGACGAGAUAGGAUAAUGAAUACCUAGUGAGUUGUGUGUGGCACAAAUAUAAUCCUUAGUCCAAGUUGGUGGGCAUGUGAUGCACCCUGAAUGUCGAGGAGGAUUUGGACGUGAUGGUAGAGGCUCUUCCAUAGGUGGUGCCGUCAUGAGUUUGGAGCUUCUUCAGUAGUUGCAUCCUCAGAUCUUGGAGAAAUUUCCUCAGCAGUAGUCCAAUUGCUUGUGGAAGCACUGUUGAAGGUUCCUGGAUUUCCUAUCACAACAUAAUCAAGAUCCUUGGAUAUAUCGUCUUCAGGGAAAAUAACUCGAGAAGGAUUGAGAUCGUUUUCUUUUGAGGAUUGAUCUUCAGCAAAUGGAAACAUGUCCUCAUGGAAGACUACAUCUCUACUUAUGAGGAAUUCUCUUGUAGAGGGUUGAAACACACGAUACCCCUUCUGAAGAUUUGGAUAUUCCAUAAAUAUGCACGGUUGGGCACGAAGACUCAUUUUGUUCGGAGGGCCUGUCGCAAUGACGUUGCAUAAACACCCAAAAAUUCUUAGGUGAUCCAUUUUUGGUUUCUUUCGAAAAAGGACUUCGAAAGGGCUUCGACCGUUCAACACUUUCGUUGGCAUCCAAUUAAUUAAGUACACUGCCGUGAUCAUGCAUUCUGCCCAAAAAUUAUUUGGAAUAGAGGCCUGAAACUUCAAGGCACGUGCCACUUCCAGAAUAUGUCGAUGCUUUCUUUCAACUACUCCAUUUUGUUGUGGAGUGUAUGUGCACGAACUUUCAUGCAAGAUGCCAUAGGAUGAAAAUAUUGAUGCGCAUUCAUGGUUGAAAAAUUCUCUUCCAUUAUCUAUCCUAAUCCGCUGGAUAGAUUUUCCAAAUUGGGUCUUUGAUAAAGAGAUAAAUUCCUUUAAGUGAGAUAGAACUUGACCCUUAGUUUGCAAGAGGAAGAUCCAUGUUGCUCGAGAAUGAUCAUCAACAAUAGUAAGAAAAUAUUUUGAUCCAUCAUGAUUAGGUGUAUGAUACGGUCCCCAUACAUCAGCAUGAAUUAGCGAGAAAGCACUAGUGGAACGACUCAUGCUAACUGGAAAGGGUGCACGUAAUUGUUUUGUAAGUGGGCAGAUAUGACACUGAGAGUAAGGAAAUAAAGCACCGUGGCCCAUUCUAGAAUGCAAAAGGAAAUUUUUAUCAUUGGUAGUGACAUUACGCAAUGAUUGUUUAUUGAAGGAAACUUGAGAUAAAUAUAAAGUUCUUGGAAUGCUAGUCCAAAAAAAUAGUCCGUCGGAAAGAUUACCCAAACCCAUCAGUUUCAUGUCGAAAGGGCCUGAAAGAAACAGAUAUCGGCAUUGAAGAAAAUACAACAAGAGUUUUCCUUGCAGCUCUAGACACAAAAAUCAGAUUGAACUGGAAAUCUGGAACAUAGAAGACAUUUCUCAGUGUUAUUUGAGGGCUAAGGUUCACAAUUCCUAUAGUGGUCACAUAGGUAAUGCUUCCAUUUGGCAAUCUUACAGAAACAGGAAUACUUAAAUUUUCAUGAAUAAUGGAAAAGAAGCCUUUAUCACAAACAAUAUGAUCAUUAGCCUCUGAGUCAAUCAUCCAAGAAUUUCGGGAAAUAGAGUAUUAGGCAAUGAGAAAUACCUGAGAAGCUACUUCCUUUGUUGGAAAUGUCCAUUUUUUGCAAUGCCUUUAUAAACUGCUGAUACUACCCUUGAGUGAUAGGCUGAUCAUUAUUUGAACCUAAGGUCUGAUAAGCUGCUACUGAAGAUUCCUUCCCCCAUUUUCCUUUUUCACCGGGCUUGUAGUGCAAUUUCUAGCAAUUAUUAAUGGUGUGGUGGGGUCGCUUGCAGUAUUCACAAAAUAACUUAUUUUCCCUUUUAUAUUUGGCCCAUAUGCCUUUGAACUCGUGGAAAAAUGUGGACCGUUGGAUCCUUUAAAAAUAGCCACGUGCCCACCGUCCGAUCAUGAUGAGGAAUUGGGCCCUUUCCGGUCGUUUGAUUGCGCCUCACAAUCUGGACCGUCCAUUUCAGACACUUUAAAAGCAUUUGAAGUUGUCCCAAACCCUAGCUCUUCUAGCCGCAUGCCCUGUUUUGGAGUCUUCUGGUUUUGGUCUCCCUUCUCACCGCGAGUAGCCAAGGCCAGCAACUCUACUCCUCUCGCAUGCUCCGUUGCCAUGAGUCUCUGACUCUCUUCUUAGAUGGCCAACUGGAAAAUACAGUUGAGCGAUGGCAUGGGUUCCAUGGCUAAGAUUUGAGAUCUGAAUGUCAGCUAAGAGUCGUUUAAAAUGAGCAAGAAACGGGUAACUUUCUCUCUGUCUCGUAUUGCUUUGUACUGCUACAAAGUGGCCUCAGGCCAUUUGAGUUUCUCCUUUGCUGCCUCCAACUUAUUCCAGAGAGCUGAUAACUUAUUAAAAACCAUUGUGAUGCUCAUAUUCCCCUGUUUUAGUUCGGAAAGUGCUUGGGUCAAGGAAAAAAAUUUGCACAGUCCAAUUUUCCAUACAUUUCUCAUAUAGUGUCCCACGUCCUUUUCAAAUCUUUUGUGGGAGUAAGUCUGGUUGCAAUUUCUGGAUUGAUGCAGUUCCCAAUCCACUUUCUUACUAGUUUAUUACACUUCUUCCAUUGUCUCGCCAUCCUCUCGUCUGUCGGAAUGGGAGUAGAUCCAUCAAUAAAUCCCUCUUUAUCUUUAGUAACAAGGGCUUGACGAAAUUCUUGAGCCCAGAUUGAGUAGUUAUGAGAUCCCCUUAGUUGUUGACUGAUGAGUCGUAUCUUCGGUCCAUCAGCGGUAGAUACGUACAAUGGAUCACCGAGUUCUGGCUGAUCAGAAACGACUGAGAGAGGGUAUGGCAAGAAUCCGGGUCUUAUUGUCGGGUAGGUAUUUGAACCCAUACUUGGAUUAAGCAACCCACUGGAUAAUACCGCAUCUUGAUUUCCAGAUCCAGUAUCUACGCUUGCCCGGUCUAUGGUUGGCGAGCCAUUAUUGGGCUGGACAUUGUCUUCGGAAAUUUGAAUUCCAGGCCAUGGAGUACUUGGGCUUGGCUCGUAGUACCAUGGGCUGGGCUGAACAAGAACGGGUACCCAUUGGUAUGCUUGACCCGCCAUGGCCUGACCUGAUGUGGAUUGGCUUGGAAUGGGUUGCCCCAGACUAAGCUGCCAUGGAAAAAAACCCGCAUUUGGUUGGACUUGGAAUCUAGCGGCUUCAGCAAGCAAGUUCACAGUAGAGUUUUGAGUUUCUUCUUUUGUGAUACGCUUUCUAGUAGAUGGUGGUUGAUCUUCUGCCAUGGUGAUGGUAAGAUGUUCCUUUUCUUCACUUGCUCUUUUUCCUCAGAAAUCGAUUCCUACACCGGAGUGCUAACGUUAUUCUGCUGGUUAGCGUGUUCUUCAAAAAUACCGACAGGCAAUCAAAGAGGAGAGGUGCGGAAGCUGAAAUUGAAUUAGAAGCGAAGCCUGCUCUGAUACCAUGAAAGAAAGCAAGGAAGAACAAGGAAAAAUGUAGGAAAAUGUUUGUAUAUUCUAUUCUAUAUAUCAAAUAGUGUACAAUGCUCUACAAUUAUAUCACUAGGCAUGUACAAGAAAAAGGAAAUAAAGAAUAUUACAAAAUCAAUUAUGAUAUUAGACUGAUAUUAAUUGAUCUGGCAUAUCAAUCUAAAUCCUAAAGAAUAUUACAUAAGAUCGCAUAUCUUCCAACAUUCUAGACAAUUAGUAUCUCGAAAUUGAAUUACACAUAUAAAACAAAUGUCCAUGACUUUCAUUAUGACUUACGUUAAAAAGUACCCGACACAUUUGUUAAGCAAUUUGGAUAAGCAUGGCACCACAUCGAGAUUUAUAGUUUGCAUUGAAUUUUGUUAUUUGAUUGAAUUUUAAUUUUUAUUCAAUUAAAAUUUUACGGUCCACAAAUGUUGAUUUUUUUUUUUAUAAUCUGAAGCGUUCGAGACUUUCACAUUAUAUCUAUGAUUUUUUUUUUUGGAAUCUAAGUAUUUUAAAUUACGAUGGAAAAAAAGGGAAUAGAUUUUUCUUUUAAUUAUUUGCAAAUAAACAAGCUCGUCUUAUUAAUAAAUUACAUCACUUAGAUUACUAGUGAAAAACAUAAAUUCUUCGGCACGCUUGUCCCUCGCUAACAUCGAGCAUCAUGCGAAAUAUAAACAAUUUGUUAAUUAUUAAGUGUUCUAAAGGGUCAAGACAUGCAAGGUUAAUAAAUUAUCGAGAUAUCAAAAGUAUAGUCAAUCGUGAUCAAGUUGCAAAUACUUUCAAUGCUUCGAUUGUCUUUGCAUUCUACACAAUUAGUGUCUCAAAAUUGAAUUACACAUAUAAAAUAGAUGUCCAAGACUUUCAAUAUGACUUAUGUUAAAAAGUACCCGGCGCACUUAAUAAGCAAAUUUAAUAAGAAAAUAUUCUAUUUCGAGAGUAUCAACUGUACGUAUUAAGAAAGAAGUUGGUGCGUAGAAACUUUACUUAUUUUCUUUGUGUUGAAUUGUUCAUCAAAAAAUGUCUUUGGGACCCGCUUUGUGACAUAUCCGUUCCUCUGCUCUGUGGGAGGACCCGCAUUGGUUGGUGCAUUGGUUUGGUUGGUAGGAAUAACAUGUGUUCUCUCCCGAAUGACAUUGUCGGAACCCAUUUCUUAACUUUUGCAAAGACGGAGUGUUUUAUUUAUUGCAAGCUCCACUAGUUUCUGAAAAGACUUGGUGCCCCGGAAUCAAGGACUCCCCAUUCCGCCUCGACGGAAUCCUGAACCCGACUGACCUAGAAUGGACAUAAACACGAUAAUAAUUUCCAUUGGCAUAUGUUAUCGGACUGCACAUUUCAUAAGAAUUGUCAAAAGAAUAUGUCCAAAAUGGAAUGGGUACGAGUAAACGCGACAUAUAUUAAAAAUCAGAGGGUAUGACCAGUUCCUACGCAAAAUGAUGUGAGAUGGAUUGUUUCAAUGAAUUUGGUGAGCACAAUAGUCAAAUAGUGGGGUUGGUGACCGCACGACGCGGGCUCUUGCAAGGCGUGUCAAUACCAUGGAGUCAGAUAAGAUCAUUUUAUAGUCCCACUUGUACUUCAAAAAUACUGAGAAGAGCACAAGUAAUUUGAGCAGAAAAAGUAAUUUAGUGCUAAUUUCUAGGGAUCACAAUUUCAUGGAUUUUUUUUUAAAUCAAUUUUUGGUCUGUGCCCUUAAAAUCAUUUUCCUUUCAAAGAUUAAAGUAAAUUGCCAAAUUGGGAAAUAAACAUUUUACUAAAAAGACAAAAAUAUUGAGUAAAAGAAAUGUCAAAAUGAAACGAAAUAAGCCUAAAAGAAAUCGAUCACUCUUAUCUUUUUUUCCAUUUAACAUCAUCAUUAAAAGAAUUUGUCUUGAUAUUACUUAUUUGAUUCCUCCAAUGAUGCAUUUCCGAGGUCUUCCUUCCCGUGACGUAACCCGAGAGCCAUCCUCAUUGUUCCCCAACUGGGGAGGCCAUUUCUUGUUAGUGCCUGGUGGAACAGGGUCAAUGUGCCUAAUCAUCACUUAAACGACACCAAACACCGGUUCACUCCCUCCCAUGAUUUCCCAAUUCAAAAUCUCCACCCGGUCGGGAAUUUCAAUUCGGAAACCAGCUUUGACCAGUCGACUAACCCGUCAACCUAACCUACUCGACACUCAAUGGCGGGCGGGCCUCUCCUCUAUUUAAACGUCCGAUUUGUAGGUGAACAGACUCAGGAAAUUCACUAGCUUCUUUAGCACAUGUGAAUUUCCUUCAGAGAAAAACACACACAAAAAACGCCACCGCGCUCUUCCUCUCUCUCGCCAAGCCCUCACCUCGAUCUCGCGCUUGCUCGCUCCUCGCUCGAUUUCGACUCCUCUUCUCGGGCUCUCGGCCGCUCUAGACGUUCGCAUUCACACGAGCGCGAAGAUGGACAUGGACACGGCAGCGUGCAACGGCAAGGGCUCCCUCGGGCUCUGCGCGGGGGCAGGCGGUGACCCGCUCAACUGGGGCGUGGCCGCCGCGGCCCUCACGGGGAGCCACCUCGAUGAGGUGAAAAGGAUGGUCGAGGAGUCCCGGCGGCCUGUGGUCCGCCUCGGCGGUGAGACGCUGACCAUCGCACAGGUGGCGGCCAUCGCGGGGCGGGAGGCUGGCAUGGCGGUCGAGCUGUCGGAGGCGGCCCGGGCGGCAGUCAAGGCCAGCAGCGACUGGGUCAUGGAGAGCAUGAGCAACGGCACGGACAGCUACGGGGUCACCACCGGCUUCGGCGCCACCUCGCAUAGGCGGACCAAGCAAGGUGGUGCUCUGCAGACGGAGCUCAUAAGGUAAAAAAAGAAAAAAAAAUGUGCUACUUCGAUAUAUUUCUUUAAAUUCUCAUUCGGUUGUUUUUAUUAACAAAUAUUCGCAGAUAUAUCGAAAAUACUUGUCAGGCAAUCGAUAAUGAAAAAAAAAUGCUGAUUUUAGGAGAUGGGUGCGAUAAUACGUUAUUCGGGAAUUGUAAUUAUCAAGAAGUGCAUAUUUAAAAUAAAAAAAAUCAAGUAAAAUCCUUUGUUUUAAUUUAAAAUUAACACCUGUCAUAUGUGGUAUAAAUGGUCCCUCGUGAAGGGCUGCCAAGUGCUGGCUAAGCUUCCUUUCCAUAAAAGAUAUAUACCCAAACGUGCAAGUAUCAAUCCAAAGGCCGACAUCAAUUUCUCUAUAUUUUUUAAAUAUUAGGUAACCAAAAAUAAUAUGGGAGAAGAUUAAUUAAUUUCGAAGACAACCCGUAAUAAUUACUUUUUGAAUACCUAAUUUUUCAUUUUUUCAAUUAAUGAGACUUACCUUUGCUAUAAUCAAAUAAGUGUCUAAAUCGAUAUUCACAUUUCCUUUGCUAUAAUUAAUAAUAUGUGGUUGACGAAAUUUUCCCAUUGAACCAGGUUCUUAAACGCCGGCAUAUUCGGCAACGGGACCGAGUCGUGCCACGUGCUGCCCCACUCGGCGACCCGGGCCGCGAUGCUCGUGAGGAUCAACACCCUCCUCCAAGGCUACUCAGGCAUCCGGUUUGAGAUCCUGGAGACCAUGGCCAAGCUCCUCAACCGCAACAUCACCCCGUGCCUGCCUCUCAGGGGUACUGUCACGGCCUCAGGCGACCUGGUCCCCUUGUCCUACAUCGCCGGGCUUCUGACGGGCAGGCCCAACUCAAAGGCGGUCGGGCCAAAUGGCGAGUCCCUGAACGCCGUCGAGGCCUUCCGCCUUGCCGGGAUCAAGCACGGGUUCUUUGACCUGCAGCCCAAAGAGGGCCUCGCGAUCGUGAAUGGCACGGCAGUCGGGUCUGGGCUCGCUUCCAUUGUCCUGUUCGAGGCGAACAUCCUGGCCGUCCUCUCAGAGGUUCUGUCGGCGAUCUUCGCCGAGGUGAUGCAAGGGAAGCCGGAGUUCACUGACCACUUGACCCACAAGCUCAAGCACCAUCCCGGACAAAUUGAAGCUGCAGCUAUAAUGGAGCACAUCUUGGAUGGGAGCUCCUACGUGAAGGACGCUCAAAAGGUCCACGAGAUCGACCCUCUCCAGAAGCCGAAGCAGGACCGAUACGCGCUCCGCACGUCCCCGCAGUGGCUCGGCCCCCAGAUCGAAGUGAUCAGGGCCGCCACCAAAAUGAUCGAGAGGGAGAUCAACUCUGUCAACGACAACCCGCUGAUCGAUGUCUCCAGGAACAAGGCUCUCCAUGGAGGGAACUUCCAGGGGACCCCGAUUGGCGUUUCCAUGGACAACACCCGUCUCGCCAUCGCCUCCAUCGGCAAGCUCAUGUUCGCGCAGUUCUCCGAGCUCGUUAACGACUUCUACAACAACGGGCUGCCCUCUAACCUGUCCGGGGGACGGAACCCGAGCCUGGAUUAUGGCUUCAAGGGAGCCGAGAUCGCCAUGGCCUCAUACUGCUCGGAGCUGCAGUUCCUUGCCAACCCUGUGACCAACCAUGUCGAGAGCGCGGAGCAACACAACCAGGACGUGAACUCCUUGGGCCUGAUCUCGUCGAGGAAGACUGCCGAGGCCGUUGACGUGCUGAAGCUCAUGUCCUCCACCUUCCUGGUCGCCCUGUGCCAGGCCAUCGACCUGAGGCACCUGGAAGAGAACCUCAAGAGCGUGGUCAAGAACACGGUGAACCAAGUGGCCAAGAAGGUCCUCUACGUUGGGUCCAACGGCGAGCUCCACCCGUCGCGGUUCAGCGAGAAAGACCUGAUCAAGGUGGUCGACCGGGAGCACGUCUUCGCCUACAUUGAUGACCCCUGCAGCGCCACGUACCCCCUGAUGCAGAAGCUGAGGCAGGUCCUCGUGGACCAUGCACUGGACGACGUCGACCGGGAGAAGAACCCCAGCACCUCCAUCUUCCAGAAGAUUGGGGCUUUCGAGGAGCAGCUCAAGGCACUCCUCCCGAAGGAGGUUGAGAACGCGAGAGCUCAGUUCGAGAGCGGGAACUCGGCGAUCGCUAACAAGAUCAGGGGGUGCAGGUCGUACCCAUUGUACAGGUUCGUGAGGGAAGAGCUCGGGACCGGUUUGCUCACGGGGGAGAAGGUCGGCUCACCGGGCGAGGACUUUGAUCUGGUGUUCUCCGCCAUGUGCGAGGGCAAGCUGAUCGAUCCUUUGCUGGAGUGCUUGAAGGACUGGGAUGGUGCUCCGCUUCCCAUCUGUUAGGAACUUUUCCAAAUCCUGAAGACUGCCUCAUAAUUUAAUUUGCCCUAUUCUUGGUAUGUACUUAGAGAGUUUUUCAUGGUCGAGAAACUGCGGUUAAAAUUGUAAUGUCUCUUAUGUCUUUUGUUCAGUUCUUUCUUAUUCAAACCCCCCCACCAGGAUGUCUAUUUGUACUUGGAACUUCAUCAGUGUAACAACAAUGUUGAAACACGUGAAGGAAAAUAUUAUACAACAUACAUUUCAUUACAUUCUUCAUUCUUAUAAAGGAUCGCGACAUUUGCUCUGCAUUGUGAGCUAAUUGUUAUCGGGUACAUCUUAUUGUAUCUCCCAACUUGACCCUACUAAAUGUAGAAUUGGAAUGAACAUGUAUUUCUUAAAGGGAGCUAACCUCAUUAGGAAUUUGUGUGGACUUAUCCUACUCGAUCAAGUGGGUUGCGUAUUAAGAGUCAAUAUUAUAUCUAAGUUCAUGAAAAGGAACACGUUAAUAUAACGUGAAAACACAGUCAUACAAUAUAUGCAUCGUGAUUGAUUUAGUCUGUCACAUUACUUUAAUUAAAUGAAUGUAUAUCAUUUUAGGGCUUCUCAUGAAUAAAAAAGUUAAAGGCUACACAUCUUUGCUUAGGCCCACAAUGAUGCCCGACCAACCUCUUUGGCAUGACUUUUGGAAGAGGUUGACCUAUCGAGCAUGAAUUUCUAUGUGGGUUGGCCCGAAAAGGCAAUAAAUCUUUUGGGAUGGGACGUAUAUUCCAAAUUGAGCAGUUACCUUGAGAGUAGGAUGACUCUAUGAUUGGCAAUUAUGAGAGAUUGUUCCAAGACAUAUAUCACAACUUUGGAUUUUCCUCGAUGCACUCUGCCUAACCCAUGUGGAGGUUUCUGCCCAAAAUGGUAACCUAGCUAGCAAAACUGAAGUGUCAUAUGGAUCUAUUUAGGACAUGUCACAGUCGAUUCCUAGUGUUCGAACCUCAAAAUUGUGGCCCCAAAGCUGAAGAGAAUCUCAAGGAGUGCCGGAUACCUGGAGUGCCAAAAUUUGGCAUGAAGGGACAAUUAAAUGCCAAAAGUUAGGAAAGUGACACUUGAGUGCCAAAAUUGAAGCAAAAUUGAUCACUUAAGUGGCAUUCCGGCCAAAAUGCUGACGUGGCGAUUUUCUGGCAAAAUAAGUGCAAAAGGGCGUUAUUUUGACGUUGACGUGGUAAAAAAUUAAUAUAAAAAUUAGUUAAAUAAAUUUAAAACUAAAUUUAUUUAAAACAUUUUAAAAUAAAAAUACAAAUAUUAAACAAUUAAAAAUUAAAAAUUACAUUUAUUUAUUUAUUUUAAAAAAAGGGGGAAGGGGUGACUAAAGGCUGAGCCAUCGCCAUCGCCAUCGCUGCCUCCCCACCGCCGACGGGAAGGACCGGCGAUGGAGGGGGGAGGGUCGGCUAGAGUCGCCGAGCCCUUGCCAGGGGCCGACGACCUCGGUCGACCGGCGGCGAGGACCUGCAAGCCCUCGCUCCCAAUCUGGGAGAGGGUCGCGGUCCUUGCCUAAAUCCCCGCCCUUGCUCGACCGAGCCAAGGGCCACUGCCCGCUAAGGUUCGCAACCCUCGCCUAGAUCGGGGGCAAGGGCUCGCAAGCCCUCCCCCGGCCGGGCCAAGGGCCAUCGCCCGCUGAUGAACUUCAACAUAAAAAGUUUCAAAUGAUAUAAUAAAAAAGAUUGUUAUUUGUUUAUGCAUAAGUCCCAUCAAAUGAAACCGUAGGAAUCGGAAACAAAAGGGCAAUGAGAUCUUGGGAAAACUCGUAAAAUAAUAGUUGCAAUACAUUUGAGAGAGAGAUAGAUUCCCUCCAAGUUCUUGGUAUAGAUUAUGAAGUGACGAGCACAUAUGCAUGUCCGAAUCACUUCUUAAUGUCCAAAGGGUUCCAAAUUCCAACGUAAUGAGGUAUCAAUGCCAUUACAUGUUACUUUAAUCAACUCUUGUACAUGUGGAUGUCAAGUCACGAGCGGUUCCGUGUUGGAAGACAUGGAGCAUGAGUCAUCAAAAAAUGGAUCUUGAAGCAGAGAAUCCAUACUUUUCUGAAAGUUGGAGGUAGAAUUCAAGUUGAAAUUGAUGAAAGCAGGUAACCACGUUUGAACUUCAAUUUACUAUUAACUCGACGGUAAACCCACACUACCUUCCAUGCCCUUAUGUGCGCUUCGCUAUUAUCAAACCAUAACUCAUCGAAUUUGUAUAUGUUGGAGAAAACUUCAUUAUUUGUUUUGAAGCUGACAAAAUGUUUCCAUCAAUCUAGUCUGAAGACUUGCAGACUCUUUCAUCAAAGUCUGAAGACCGCCAGACUACCAGACUCAAGAUUUAAAGUUUGCCCUCAUUGAUAGUUUCUAGAACGUCGAAGAAGAUUUAUCCAGAAUUGAGUAUUUCUUUACGGAUUUGAUUCGAGCAGCUAAAGAAGAUCUCACGGCUGGAGAAAGCAUCUCAAGAUCUAUUAUUCAUUUUUGAUUAAUUCGGGUAAUUUGGAUCCGUUGAUUGGCAAAGUAUACUUUGAAAGUUCUACUUAUGGAAACCUAGAUCCUGAUUGUAUGGACGAGUAAGAUUGGUGGGCUAUCAUCACAUUCCUUAAGUAAAUCAAGAUCUCCCUAAAUUGAUUAUGUCCAACGGGUAGAUUGAAAGAACUCCUUUGAAAGGUGCCAACGGUUAUGAAGGCAUGGAGGAGUAUAUAAGGAAGACGCUCUAGUUAUUCGAGUGUGUGCGUGAUAGAUAAAUUCCAAAGUCUGAAACUCCUUGUUCUUUGCUGAUUCAAAUGUUGAGCGUAAAUUUGUACUCAAAAGAGAGUUUAUGUACUCAUUUAAAUUGAAGUAUUUUUUACUUCAGAGUUAAUGAUCCAUAGCUAGUAUGUUGGCUCCAGGUUUGGUUGAAGGACAAAGCAACACCAGACCGCCUUAUUUUGAUGGAAAUGAAUACAAUAUAUGGAAAACAAGAUGAAAGCAUUCUUAAGAUCGAAAGAUCCUUUGGAAUGGGAUGUGGUAGACAAAUGAAUCAUUCCUAAAGCUACAACAGUCUCAAAAAGGGGAAAAGAAGCUGUUGAAGCUAGCAAGAUGACUCAAGAAGAGAUAACCAAGAAACAAACUCUUGAUGCAAAAGCAAAUUAUUCCUUAUAUUGUGCAUUAUCUCCUAUUGAAUAUAAUAGAAUAUCUUCUUGUAAAACAGCUAAAGAAGUCUAGGAUAGGCUGCACAUCACCUAUGAAGGAACCGAUUGAGUGAAAAAAACUAGAAUCAAUAUUCUGCUCAGUCAAUAUGAAGCCUUCAAGAUGAAAUUAGGAGAAUCUACCACUGACAUGUUUAGUCGUUUUACAGAGAUCGAGAAUGGUCUUGAGUAUCAAGGUCAACCAAUCUCUAGACCCAUGAAAGUUAACAAACUGUUGCGUGGACUUUUCAAAGAUUGGAAUCACGUAAAGACCUCAAUAAGGGAGACACAAAGGAGCAUGUCACUCUCCAUUGACGAAUUGGUUGGCACUCUUCAGUCUUAUGAAGUGGAGCAAAUCAAUGAAGAUGAAAAUCCCAAAGUUAAAAAAAAAAAAAAAAAAAAAAAAAAAAAAAAAAAAAAACCAUUGCUUUAAAAUCUAAUGAUGAUUCUGAUGUUACAGAUUCUGAAGACGAUAUGGACGAUGAAGAGAUUGCUCUCAUGAUAAGAAGGUUCAGAAAAUUGAAUAAAAAGGGAAGAAGAUUCAAUUGGAAGAAACAAAAUUCUCAAAAGUUUCAAAAUAAAUGAGCUGAGGACAAUGAAUCCAAUAAAUAUGUGAUUUGUUUUGAAUACAAGAAAAAUGGACACAUCAGACCCAACUGUCCCUUGCUAAAGAAAAAGAAAGGAAAAGCUAAGAAAUACAGAAAUGCGCUCAAAGCAGAAACUUGGAGUGAUACCGAAUGCGAAGGGAGCGAUGAUGAUUAUGUUAAUAUUUGUCUAAUGGCACGAUCAGAAUCAGAUUCAGACUCUGAGACAGAUACAGACUCAGACUCAGAUAGUGAAAUCGAGGUAAGUAAUUUAAAAUUCCUACUAAAGUCUCUAAAUAUAUUGAUGAACUGUGUCUGAGUCUCAAAACCUCUCUUAAGAGGAUUUUCGAGCUAAAAAGGGAAAAUUCUGCACUGAAACAAUAGGAGUUGUUUGGAAAGAAAAUGUCGAAAAUUUAGAAAAAAAGUAUUAUUACUUUAAAAGAAAAUGCAGACUCUCUUUCAAAAGAAAACACACUUUUGAAAAAUGAUAUCUCAAGUAUUUCAAAAAGGUUUUCUAUAGGAUCUGAGAAAUUGGAAAAGAUUCUUUCAGCACAAAGACCUUACUUUAACAAAUCAGGAUUAGGAAUGACUUCUGAAACCAUUCCUCUAAUUGAUUUUCCAAAAGUAAAGGAAAGAAUCAAACAAAGACUUACAAAAGAUUUUUAUAGAAAUCAUUUUCAAAAAGUCUUUGUAAAACCUGUUGGCCAUAGUGCUCUUAAAUGUUCUAAGUGCAACAGCUCAGAACAUUUUGAGAAAGAAUGUCUCAUGGUUUGGAAACCUGUUAAGAAGGUUUGUGUAAAGACCAUAUAUUGCACUAACUCCAUUGGACCUAAGAAAAUGUGAGUACCAAAGAAAGUUUAAGUUUAUUUUUUAAAUGCAGGUCACUAUUAAGAAAAAAGUCAAAUGGUACUUGGAUAGUAGAUGCUCAAGACAUAUGAUAAGGGAAUGAAGUUGUUUUAUAAAGCUUAUGCAAGUUAACGGUGGAAAAGUCUCUUUUGGAGGAAAUAUCAAAUGAAGAAUUGUCGGAUGCGGUUAAGUAAAGAUUGGAAGCCUCACAAUUAACAACGUUUCCUUAGUGGAAGGACUCGACUACAACUUGCUGAGUAUCAGUCAACUGUGCGACACAGGUUUCAAAAUCAAUUUUCAAGAAUGAAUAUGUUCGGGAACCAGUAAAUACUUCUCUCAGACUUUCACGGGGCAAAGACAUGGGAACAUCUAUCUUUUGGACAUCAAACCAGAAAAAUCUCAAUGUCUAAUUUUAAUUCAAGAGGAAGCUAAUAUUUGGCAUAAAAAACUUGGCCAUAUCAACAUGAAGCAAAUAGUCAAGAUCUCUGCAAAGAAGCUUGUUCGUGAACUACCCAAUCUGACAUACCAAAAAUCUUAUCUUUGCACACCAUGCGUGUGGGGAAAACAUGUUAGAAGUUCUUUUAAACCAAUAAAUUAAGUUUCCACUAAUCGUGUACUGCAGCUCCUACAUAUGGAUCUUUUCGGACCAACUAGGACUCAGAGCAUUGGUGGAAAGAAAUAUUGCCUAGUAAUAGUGGAUGAUUAUUCACGAUUUACUUGGGUAUAUUUUUUGGCAAGUAAGUCUGAAACUUUUUCUUAUUUCAUAAAGUUUGCUAAGAAAAUACAAAAUGAGAAAUGAUAUGUUAUUUCAAGUAUCCGGACAGACCAUGGAGGUGAGUUUGAAAAUUAAGAUUUUGCUAAAUUCUGUGAUGAAUCUAGUUUUCAGCAUGUGUUCUCAUCUCCAUACACUCCAGAACAGAAUGGAGUUGUGGAAAUGAAGAAUAGAUCAUUGCAAGAAAUGACUAGAAAACUUUUAAUUGAAAGCAACAUUUCUUCUCGUUUCUACAGCAUGUUAUAUUAUUAAUAAGAGUCUUCUUAAGGCCUAUUAUGGAGAAAACUCCCUAUGAGUUGUUCAAAGGUAAGAAGCCAAUUGUUUCCUAUUUUCAUGUGUUUGAUUGCAAAUGUUUUAUAUUGAAAAAUGCAAAUGAUCGAACUGGUAAGUUUGAAGAAAAAUCAAACGAAUGAAUCUUCCUUGGAUAUUCAACCACCAGCAAAGUCUACAGAGUAUACAACAAAAAGACUCAAUCUGUGGAGGAAUCGAUAAAUGUCAAAUUUUAAGAUCUUAUACAAAAUCAAUCGAUCUAGACUCAACCUGAAGAAUCUAAACCUGCUCCAGACUCUACAAAGUCUAAAUCCUCAGAAGCAGCUCAGAUUUCAUAAGGUCAACAACGAAUGAUCGUUGAAGAAUUAAAUGAAGAAAAAGAUCAGCAGUUUGUCAGACUAACCAGCAACUGGAAGCACAAGUCUAGUAAUCCCAAAGAACUCAUUAUUGACGACAUUGAUGAAGGGAUUCAUACAAGAUCCAAAAGGCAUGAAGAGUCUAGCGUUGUAGCUCUUAUUUCUGAAAUAGAACCCAAGAGCAUAGAAGAAGCUUUAACUUAUGGAAGUUGGAUUGAAGCUAUGCAAGAAGAACUUAGGCAAUUCAGUAUUAACGAUGUCUAGGAAUUGACUCAUAAACGAAAAGGUAAAUCUGUUAUCGGAGCUAAAUGGGUUUUCAGGAACAAGAUGGACUAGAAAGGAAAAGUUAUAAGGAAUAAAGCAAGACUUGUAGCCAAAGGAUAUAUGCAAGAAGAAGGGAUAGACUAUGAUGAGACUUACGCUCCAGUAGCAAGGUUAGAAGCAAUUAGAUUAUUACUUGCUUUUGUUUGUUAUAAGAAUUUCAGGUUAUUUCAAAUGGACGUUAAAAGUGCAUUUCUAAAUGGAUUUAUCCAAGAGGAAGUCUAUGUGGAACAACCUCCCGGUUUUGAAGACCCAAGGAAAUCAGACUCUAUAUUCAAACUGAAAAAUGCGCUAUAUGGUUUAAAGCAAGCACCUCGAGCUUGGUACGACGGGUUAAGUAAGUUUUUAAUCCAAAAUGACUUUGUUAAAGGUAAAGUAGACACUACCUUGUUUAUUAAAAGAGAAAGUAAAAACUUUUUAAUAGUUCAAAUCUAUGUUGAUGAUAUUAUUUUUGGAUCACCUAACGAAAUUAUGUGCAAGAAAUUUUCUAAGUCUAUGAAGGAUGAAUUCGAGAUGAGCAUGAUGGGUGAACUAUCCUUCUUUUUCGGACUACAAGUAAAACAAUUGAAAAAAGGGACUUUCAUUCACCAAGAAAAAUAUGCUAAAGAACUUGUUAAAAUGUUCAAUUUGGAGAAUUGCAAAAAGACUAAUAUACCAAUGUCAAGUUCUUCGAAAUUGGACAAAGAUGAAGGAGGAAAGAAAGUUGACCAAAAGCUAUACAUGAGUAUCAUUGGUUCACUUCUUUAUCUUACUGUCUCUAGACCUGACAUUUUGUUUAGUGUUUGUAUUUGUGCCAGAUUUCAAUCAGAUCCCAAAGAAUCUCAUCUAAGUGCUGCGAAACGCAUCAUCAAAUACGUUGCAACAACCUCUAAUUUGGGUCUCUGGUAUCCUAAAGAAUGAGACUUUACUCUCCUUGGAUAUUCAGACGUAGAUCUAGCAGGAUGUAGAGUUGAUAGAAAGAGCACCUUGACCACUUGUCAAUUGCUUGGUAAUAGGACAGUAUCUUGGUUUUCAAGGAAGCAAAGUAUUGUAGCUCUUUCAAUAGCAGAAGCAGAGUAUGUGGCUCUUGGAAGUUGUUGUUCUCAAAUCUUAUGAAUAAAACAAUAGCUAAGAGACUUUGGAAUCGAAGACUCAUGCACUGAGAUCAAAUGUGACAACAUUAGCGCAAUUAAUCUCACCAAGAAUCCCAUUCUUCAUUCAAGAGCAAAGCAUAUAGAGAUUCGACAUCACUUUAUUAGAGACUUUGUUCAGAAUGGAGAAGUCUUGAUUCAAUUCAUUGACUCAAAGAAUCAGCUGGCGGAUAUUUUUACAAAGCCAUUGGAGAAAAGUCAAUUUGAGUCUAUUCGAUUCAAACUUAAUAUCUUAAAUUCUGAAGAAGUUCAGACUCAGUGAUAAAAGUCUAAAGAUGCUCAGACUCAGAAGAUAAAGAAUCACGACUAUAAAUUAUUUCAGUUUUAGAAAUUUAUCUUUUGAAUAAAAAACUCGAAAAGGUACAUUUGUUUAUUAAUCUGUAAUGGAUUGAUCUUAUCUUCCCAAGUUGUCAUAAUUAUAGCAAUCCUUCCUUUUCGAAAAAGAAGUUAUCUUUUGAAAUGACAGUUAUCUAUUUUCAAAAAGACAAUUAUUUUUUAAAAGGCAUUUUCUAUUUUUCCUUUUACAACUAUCCGUAUACCCCAUUUCAAUUGCCUUAUAUACUGAUCGUCUUCUUCACGAACCCAAGAAGCAAAAAACUUCACUUUCUUACUUUUACUCUCUAGUUUAAUCCUCAAAAUUUUCAUCUUUCUCGCGAAUCGAGUUUGAAAUCUCUCAAAUACUGUGACAAUGACUUCACAAAGAAAGUACUCAAGGAUUGCAAGCAGGGGACCACAGCAUAUGCGUGAGGGUCCUACACACUUUGAUCUGAUCGAGGAAGAAGAAUCUUCAAGGCAACUGCAGAAUCCACAACAUUCUCAACCGCGUCAUUCUCCUCGCGCUAGACCACAGGAUGCUCAACAACAAGCGGAGGAAGAAAUUAUUGAGGAUGCAGAACCCGUAAGAACUCUAAAGCCUGCUUUUACCUUCAAACUCUACUCUACCUUAAAGGUGGAGGUUCUGCUUUGAACUUUAUUGAUGAAUUUUUGAAAGAAAAUGGGUACCGAAAUGAAACCCACUUUUUACGAACGAUGGAACGUUUGUGAAUUGCUCCUGCGGGCUUGGUAGAAAGAGCUUUUGCGAAUAUCCCAAGUGAUCCUCGUGUUGGAGGACAUAGUCAACCUGAUGGAAAUGAUGAUGAAAAGAUGUUCACUCAUUUUAAGCCUAGAAUGGGUGUCGCUGCGAAUAUUCGAGGAAAAAGGCCAGAUUUGUUUCAUUCUGAGGAACAUAAGCGACUUUACUCUAAGUUGCUGAAGCGAGGGGUGAUGAAUCCAAGGAGUGUGGAUUUUGAUUUUCUCGACUCUCUAAACGUAAAGUUGCGAGAGAAAUUCACUUUACUUCAACUUGAACGAUUUUGCUCUGAAACAAUAGUAGCUCAUCCAUAACUUACUACAUAUUUCUAUUCCAAUCUAAGCUUUUUGGAUGUGAAUAGAUUUUCCUUCAGUGUUAGAGACUAGGAUUAUGUGGUUGAUAUGGACAUUCUGGCUAAUGUGAUUGGAGUAGAGAGAGGGGAAUUCCAAUCAAUUAGUGUGUCUAUUGGUCGUGCGACUGUAGAGCUUGUUCGGGAUGGAAUGACAGAAGGACGAAUUUCGUACUUGAGGAUGAAUGCCUCAAAUAUCUUGCUUCACAAGAUUGUGAUCAAUUUUCUUAGACCCAAAUCGACUUCAAAGACUAACGUCUCCAAUUCGAAAGCAAAGCUGAUGUAUGCUAUCAAUGCUGGCAAAAAGUUCUCUCUGUCACACACUAUCAUGUUUCACAUGUAUAGAUCGAUGGUGAAGGACAAGGGCCAACUUCCUUAUUUAGCACUUGUCACUAAGUUAUUUAGACAUUUUAAUAUUCAGCCUCCCAAAAUUCUGUGUGUUCGAACCUAUGAUCAAAUGGUGGUGGGACUGAAGAUGGUUUCUAAAAUGUGUCUGAAGGAGCUGAACAAUGCUUUGGAGCGAUUUAAGGAGAAAACCCCUAUCAAGACUCAUCAAGUCUCUAUGGCUGUAAAACGGAAAGGUAAGGAGCCCAUGACAGCUUUAUCUAAGAAAAGGAGAGCACUCAUCUUGCAGGAUGAAGACUCUUGCCUUAAGGAACUUACAGCGUUUUAUCCAGAGACAGAAGAGAGAGAGGAUCAAGACAGAGAAGAAAUAGAGCAGAGGAGUAAAGAGAGGGAAUCGAUGAGGAAAGAAGCAGAGGAAGAAAGAACUGCAGAAGAAGAGAGAAGAGGAGAACAAGAAGAGACUGAGCAUGAAGAGUACUUCUCUCCACCUGAAGGCACUAAAACAUGGGGAGCUACUGAAAAAAGAGGUACAUCUUCAAUUGCUUUUACUAGUGAAGAUGUUAGUCAUUCUCCUGCUAAUCCAAAAGAUGUAUAUGCCUCUCAAUUUCCUGAGGAAGGUCAUGAGAUUUCAUCUCCAAAUCUGGAUGCUCAUGCUGAAAUGCCAUUAUCUGCCAAUACUCCACAAACUGAUCAUGCUGAAGCAAGCACUCAAACUGACAACUCAACAGAUUUUAAAAGAUUGAUUGAUGUUCUUAUGGAGAUGCGAGGCCAGAUUUAUGCUUUGGGAUGCGAAGUUCAAAACAUGCAGAAUGCCAGUCAAGCCUCUUUAGUUUCUUUGAACAAUCAAGUUCAGGCCCUUAAUCUUCAAGUUCAAGCAACUGCCAAGGGUGAGGAAGUAGCGCAACUGAAGGAGGAUUUGAGAAAGCUGGAGGAGACUGUCAAGUUGAUGGGAGAUUUCCAGCUUAUUCGCGUUCCAAAACAAUCUUAAUUUUAUCCAAUUCUCUUUUCGUCUCUACCUUUUUAAUGCUGAUAAAAAGGGGGAGAAGUUGAUGCAGAUUUGACUUUUGUUUGACUUUACUAUUGACUUUACUUUUGUUUGGUUGUGAUUGGUUUGGCUUGGACUAUGUUUUUGGUUUGGAUUGCUUGAUCGUUUGAUCGUUUAAUGCUUGCAAUAUCUUAAGCGUUGUUGGUGUUCAUGGUAAAGAUAGUUGUUUUUACAGGACUAACUCAUUUCCUGUGGAUGCAUAUUCGAUACUAUCUUUAUCCUAAUCCAUUUAUUUUUUUUAUGAGAUAUCCAUGUCUGCUUAAGUAUUGUCUUGCAGGUCAAAGUAUCUAAAUCUAUAGGAAAAUUUUGUCACCAUAAAAAAUGGGGAGAUGUUGGAGAAAAUUUCCUUAUUUGUUUUGAAGUUGACAAAAUGUUUCCAUCAGUCUAGUCUGAAGACUUGCAGACUCUUUCAUCAAAGUUUGAAGACCGCUAGACUGCCAGAUUCAAGAUUUAAAGUCUACCCUCAUUGACAGUUUCUAGACCGUCGAAGAAGAUUUAUCCAGAAUUGAGUAUUUCUUUAAGGAUUUGAUUCGAGCGGCUAAAGAAGAUCUCAUGGCUGGAGAAAGCAUCUCAAGAUCUAUUAUUCAUUUUUGAUUAAUUCGGGUAAUUUGGAUCUGUUGAUUGGCGAAAUAUACUUGGAAGGUUCUACUUAUGGAAACCUAGAUAUUGAUUGUAUGGGCGAGCAUGAUUGGUGGGCUAUCAUCACAUUCCUUAAGUAAUUUGAGAUCUCCCUAAAUUGAUUCUAUCCAACGGGUAGAUUGGAAGAACUCCUUUGGAAGGCGCCAACGGUUAUGAAGGCAUGGAGGAGUAUAUAAAGAAGAUGCUCUAGUUAUUCGAGUGUGUGCGCGAUAGAUAAAUUCCAAAGUCUGAAGCUCAUGAUAGAUAAAUUCCAAAGUCUGAAGCUCAUGAUAGAUAAAUUCCAAAGUCUGAAGCUCAUUGUUCUUUGCUGAUUCAAUUGUUGAGCGUAAAUUUGUACUCAAAAGAGAGUUUAUACAUUUGUGAGGCCUUGAGGAAGUGUAGCAGAGUCUCUACACUGUGGAAUCAAGGACGUGAUACUGUAACGACUCUUUUGAUUCAUAGUGAAAUCCAACCGGUGGGCUAUUAGUACGGGAGAGUGGACGUAGGCUUGGAUUAAGCUGAACCACUAUAAACCUUGUAUUUUUAUUCAUUUCCCUGAACUCUUUUACUUUGUUCGUAACUUUAUUUAAUUGUUAAAGUCUAAUUUCCCCUUCAAAGUCUAUUGUUAACCAAACUCAGGUUAAAAGUAAAGUUCUACACUAUAUUUUGCAAAAUUUGUUUUCGCACCUAUUCACCCCCUCUAGGUGCACAUACUAGCACUUUCAGUAUCAAACAUAACCUCGCGCAACUUGUGUAAUCAACGGAUUGAUAAGGAUGUUAGGUCGGCCACCAUAUCAUGUGAUGGCGGAUUUUGUUCAAGUUUAGCUGUUCGACUGGUUUAAAGGUGGUACAGUCCCACUUUUUAGUCUCUAAUAAGCUGUCGAAAGCACAAGCAUGGAUACCUUUGAUCUUCCCACUCAAUUUGAGGUCCAUAUACGAGAUUGAAUGUGGAGAAAUGGGUGCAUAUCUGGUAUUACUGAAUUCUCUGAGUCACUGACAGACUCCAUCAUCAGUCCAUAUGCCCUAGACUUUAGACACAUCAUUCCAAUGUGAAACAGCCAAUGGAUUUCCCCAGACAUGGGCAAUUCCAAUCAUUCCUAAUCCUCAAAGUGGUCGAAUGUCAAUGCGUCUGUCUCUCUCCCUACCUCGCACAUUCAAUGUUUCUUGCUUCAUGUCUUCGAACUUAGGUUGGCCUGGCCGGUGAACUCAACCAAAUGGGGAAGUGUAUAGCUCGCUCUUCUUCUGUUCGAUUGACCUCUUUCGAAUGUGAAUUCUGGGUUUGUCUCUCCCUCUGGAGAUCGAUGGACACACGCAUCAAUCAAAGCGAGUGAGUGAACUUUGAUGUUUUCUUACUCUUUCGCUUUCUAAACAAUUUUGGUUAGGGAUGGCGAAAGACCGUGAUUCUUUCCAAAGAGGCCUCUCUAUAUGUGUUGACAAUAGCCCUAUAUUUUGGAAUAAUAUGAUAAAUGCAAGCAAUAGAGGGAUUGAUUUUACCUUCUAUGUUCAUGGGAUGUCAAGUUUUCUUCGUGACGAAAACUCGUGAUGACAAAUCACUUUAUAUAUAUAAUUCGUCUAAACUUAUUUAAAGUAUAGACCUAAAUAAAGUGAGAUGAUCAUAUAUAUAUAACCAGUCUCGUAAUCAAGGAGUAACCCGAGAAUUUAUCCAUCAAUUCAAAAACUACCAUUCCCUUCUUCACGUACCAAAUAGGAUAUAAAAGAUACCUAAGCCGUACCAACUGCCCGAAGUACAAAUAACCAGAAACCAUAAAGUGAAGAUCAAUUAUUUGCCUUCAUUAGCCAUUACAUCGUCUCUUCGAACUUGUAAAUCUCCCCUUUUUGCCUAAUAUGCUAAUCAAUCCACAAAACGUUGUCAAGUAAGGACCUGUAAAAUCAAGUGCUGUAGGCCUGAAAGAUUCAUUUGCUGACAGCAUUCUGUGCAAGUUGGGAACUAACUCAGGAGGAAUGGUUGAGGAAGCUUCAUUUGCUAAGUAUGUCAAGGUAUUCAUGUACUGCGUAUAGCACACCAAAAGCAAAACUCGUUAGUAGAGCAACUUAUAUGGAGAGAGAUCCCAUUUAAAUAUGUGUGUCCACAAAUCCACCUAAACGGGCACACACUUGGGUUACAUAGAGAUGGAAGGACAAGCCCAGCGUUCGAAAGAAAAGUAACAUUUUGACAUUGUUAUGGCAGUCAAACGAAGGCUUGCGAGCAAUUAAGUAGUAAGCGAGCAUCCAAAACUAAAUAUAUCAGAAGCACACCCAGCUGAAGCCGUUUUGCACCAGAUCACUUUAGGAGCAGUGCGAUUGAGUGAUGGCUGCAAAAGACGGUACAGAAUCCUCAACAUCAUAUUCCUGCACGAUCAUUACAAAAGCUGGUAUAAGUAACCAAACUGCCAUCAUACUAAUAUCCGCAAUAACAUGCUGAACAAAAUGUGAGGAUUGUGCCACACAAUACUGUCAUGACUUGCAUACAAGAGAAUUUUCAGUCUAUUUCCACAGUUUAACAUCACUAAGUACUAGAUCAAGAAUGGUUGGGAUAGCAAGAGAACAAGAAUCGAGUAGGGAGAAACUACAAAAACACAAUCAGUCACCAACUUGAAGUCAGGAUGAGUAAAAUCAUCGUGAAUAAAGGAAAAUGAUAAGUAACUUUCACCAAUCUCUAUUGUGAGAUCAAAAUAAGAAAAGGAAUGUGCAACGGUUAUGUCCCAAAGAAUGAAGAUGAAAACAAGGUCAGUUUCCUUCAUUCAUCAUCUUAUUGAGUUAUCCACACAGAAUAAUGAAAAGAGUUGUAGACUAGAUAAAUCCACGGUGGCCUGAUAUGAGGACAUGGCAAAACCAAAUCCACCAAGCUUCCAAGAUCCACUUGAUGUAAUAAGCACAUUCUGCAAAAAGAUGUUCCGACAAUUACUUUUGCAUGUCCAAAUACCCAUAUGCUCUUCUUAAAUCCCGAAUUUAAGAGUGAAACAACAUAAUUUUACUUAAAAGGGUAGAAACACCACCCAUUAAAGGGAAAGACAAAGUUAUCUUCUUUUAAGAAUGAAACAACAAAAUUUAGAAAUUACCAACUUAUUUGGAGCUUGCAAAUUCCCAAAUUUUUGUACAAAAUUAUCUUCUUUUAUUUGCAUAUUUUUCUAAGGGAAAAUUCCAAAAAGGGACUCGAAGUGCCAUAUUUUUCUCAAAUAAGGGUCAAAAGUGGAUAUUGUUUCAAAUAAUGAUCGAAAGUGUCAUCACUUUCUCAAAUAAGGGCAUGAAGUAAAUAUUGUUUCCAAUAAGGAUCUAAAGCGGUUAUGUUUGUUUCAAAUAAGGAUUUGAAGUGGCUAUAUCCGUUUCAAAUAACUUUCCGGCAAUCACGGUAUUUUCAUAAUUUGUCAUUUUUCCCUUCUUCUUUUUUUUUUUUCUGGUUCUUCUUCUUCCUCUUCGCUGGUCCACUGGUGAAGAGGAAGAAGAAGAACCAGAAAAAUAAAAGAAAGGAAAAAAGGGAAAAAUGCCAAAUGACGAACCAAUUGGAAAAUUUAGCGGGUUGGUGACCGGCAAAUUAGGUCAUUAUUUGAAACAACCAAAGCCAUUUCAGAUCCUUAUUUGAAACAAUCAAUGCCAUUUUAGAUCCUUAUUUGAAAUAAAAUCCAUUCCUUUUUACAAAAAUUCCCUUUUACUAAUGCUUUGAAUUCACUAACUAUUUUAUAAAAUUCAUAACCUAAAUUAGUAUUAUUUACUAAAUUUUGUCAAAUUAAAAUUUUUAGUUUUGAUUACCAACUAGCCUUUAAUUAUUUACGAAUAUUUAAAUUUUUUUAAUCUACCAAUUGUCUUGUUAAAGUUACCAAGUUUGUUUGUCUUGGGGCUAUUUUUUAAAUUUAUAAGACUCAUUCAAAAACUACCAAUCAAAAUUAGCUUGAUUUACCAACUUUUCUUCCAUUAAAUUAUCAUAUAGUAUUAAGUGCCUACUUUCAUUUGAAUUACUUACCAUGCUCUGUUGGAGAAAACUUCCUUGAGUGUUUUGAAGCUAACAAAAUGUUUCUAUCAUUCUAGUCUAAAGACUUGUAAACUCUUCCAUCAAAGUCUGAAGACUCCGGACUAUCAGACUCAAGACUCAAAGUCUAUCCUCAUUGACAAUUUCUAGACCGUCGAAUAAGGCUUAUCCAGAACUGGAUGUUUCGUUAAGGAUUUGACUUUAUCGAUUGGAGAAGAUUUCUUGGCUGGAUAUAGCAUGCCGGAAUCCAUUAUUCAAAUCAAGAUUGAUUCAGGGAUUAUGGAUCCGUUGAUUAGCGAAGUAUACUUGGAAGGUUCUACUUAUGGAAACCUAGAUCCUGAUUGUAUGGGCGAGCAUGAUUGAUGGGCUAUCGUCAUGUUCCUUAAAUAGCUCGAAGAUCUUUUUAAUUGAUUAUGUUCAACGGGUAUAUUGGAAUAAUUCAUUUGGUAAGUGCCAACGGGUAUGAUGGCAUAAAGGAGUAUAUAAGGAAGACGUUCCAGUUGUUCGAGUGUGUGCAAUAUAGAAGAAUUCCAAAGUCUGAAGCUCCUUGUUCUUAGUCAAUUAAAUUGUUGAGCGAAAUCUUGUACACAAAAGAGAGUCUAUAUCUUUGAGAGACCUUGAUGAAGUUUAGUAGAGUCUCUACACUGUGGAAUCAAGGAAGAGCUUUACUGUAACAACUCUUUUGUUCAUAGUGAAAUCCAGCCGAUGGACUGUCAGUGCGGAAGAGUGGACGUAGGUUUAGAUUAAGCCAAACCACUAUACUCCAUGUGUUCAUAUUCUCUUCUCUACGCUCUUUUACUUUGAUCGUAACUCGUUUUGUUUACAAGAGACGAAUUUCCUUUUCAUAAUCUAUUGUUGAUUAGUGCUGCACGCUUAUAUCGUAAAAUUGUUUUUACAUCUAUUCACCCCUCUCUAAGUGAUCAUACUAGCUUUCACAAUUGGUAUCAGAGCCUGUGUACUCACUUAAGUUGAAGUGUUUUACUUCAGAGCUAGAUCCAUGGCUAGUAUGUUGGCUCCAAGACUAGUUGAAGGGCAGAGCAAUACCAAACCGCCUUAUUUUGAUGGAAAUGAAUACAACAUAUGGAAAAAUAAGAUGAAGGCAUUUCUAAGAUCAAAGAAUCCUCUGGAAUGGGAUGUGGUAGACAAAGGAAUCAUUCCUAAAACUGCACCUGUCUCAGAAAGAGGAAAAGAAGCCGUUGAGUCUAGCGAAAUGACUCAAGAAGAGAUAACCAAGAGACAAGCUCUUGAUGCAAAAGCAAUUUAUUCUUUAUAUUGUGCAUUAUCACCUACUGAAUAUAACAGAAUAUCUUCUUGUGUUACAGCUAAAGAAGUUUGGGAUAGAUUACACAUCACCUAUGAAGGAACUGAUCGAGUGAAAGAAAUCAAAAUCAACAUUUUGCUUGGUCAAUACGAAGCAUUCAAAAUGAAAUCAAGAGAAUCUAUCACUGACAUGUUUAGUCAUUUUACAGAAAUCAUGAAUGGUCUUGAAAAUCAAGGUCAACCAAUUUCUGAUCCCAUGAAAGUAAACAAGCUACUGCGUGGACUCUCCCAGGAUUGGAAUCACAUAAAGACCUCAAUAAGGGGGACACAAAGAAUUAUGCCACUUUCUAUUGAUGAAUUGGUUGGGACUCUUCAGUCUUAUGAAGUGGAGCGAAUCAAUGAAGAUGAAGAUCCUAAAGGUAAGAAAUCCAUUGCAUUAAAAUCUAGGGAUAAGUGUUCCAGAAGUCCUACAACUUGUCACGAAAAUGCAUUUCAGUCCUAAAAUUUGCAAAAAGUGCAUUUAAAUCCUAAAACUUGUCAAAUUGUUUCAAAUGAGUCAUAAGAUUAACGUCGUUAGUCUUUUCCGUUAAAAAUGCUGACGUGGCAUUUUAAAUAAUUUUUUAUUUUCCAGGUUUAUUUUUUAAUUAAUUUUUAUCCUUUUUUAAAAAAAAUUAGAUUUAAAAACCAAAAAAUUAAAAUUAUUCUUAUCUUAUUUUCAACAAAAACUGAAAAGAAAAGUUAAAAAAUUUAUUUUUAAAAUUUUUAAAAAUAAAUUGAAAAAAUAAUGUUAACUUUUUAAAUAUGUUUUUUAAUAGAUAUUUUAACUAAAAAAUUUAUUUUAAAUUAAAAUUUUUUUUUAAUAAUUAUUUUAAAUUUUUUAGAAGUUUUUGGUGAAAAUAAGAUCAAAUGAAUAAAUUUGAUUUUUUUUAGCUUUUAAAUCUAAUUUUUUUUAAAAAUAAUUUUAAAAAAAUUCAUGUGGAAAAUAAAAAAAAAUUAUUUAAAAUGCCACGUCAGCAUUUUUAACGGAAAAUGCUAACGGCGUCGAUCUUAGGACUCGUUUGAAACAAUUUGACAAGUUUUAGGACUUAAAUGCACUUUUUGCAAGUUUUAGGACUGAAAUGCAUUUUCGUGACAAGUUGUAGGACUUCUGGAACACUUAUCCCUAAAAUCUAAUGAUGAUUCUGAUGUCACAGAUUCUGAAGACGAUAUGGAUGAUGAGGAGCUUGCUCUCAUGAUAAGAAGAUUCAGAAAGGUAAACAGAAAAGGGAGAAGAUUCAAUCUAAAGAAACAAAGUUUUCAAAAGCAACAGACUAAGUCUGUUGAGGAUGAUGAAUCCAAUAGAGAUGUAGUCUGUUUUGAAUAUAAGAAAAAGGGACACAUCAGACUCAACUGUUCCCUUUUGAGGAAAAAGAAAGGAAAAGCUGAGAAAUAUCGAAAGGCACUCAAACUAGAAAAUUGGAGUGAUACAGAAUGUGAAGAAAGUGAUGAUGAUUAUGCCAAUAUUUGUCUUAUGGCACAAUCAGACUCGAAUUCAGACUUCGAGACAGACUCAGAUUCAGACAGUGAAAUCGAGGUAAGUAAUUUGAAAAUCCCUACUAAAGUCUCUAGAUACAUUGAUGAAUUAUGUCUUAGUCUCAAAACUUCUCUUAAAAGGAUUUUCGAACUUAAAAGAGAAUUCUACACUAAAGCAACAGGAAAAUGUUUGGAAAGAAAAGGUCAAAAGUCUAGAUAAAAGUGUUACUACUUUGAAAGAAAAUGCAGACAAUCUUUCAAAAGAAAAUGCAUUCUUGAAAAAUGAUAUCUCAAAUAAUUCUAAAAGAUUUUCUAUAGGAUCUGAGAAACUUGAAAAAAUUCUUUCAGCAUAAAAACCUUACUUCAACAAAUCAAGUUUAGGAAUGACUGCUGAAACCAUUCCUCUAAUUGAUUUUCCUAAAGUAAAGGAAAGAAUUAAGCAAAGACCUACAAGAGAUGCUUACAAAAAUCAUUUCCAAAAAGUUUUUGUAAAACCAGUAGGUCGCAGUGCUCUUAGAUGUUCUAAGUGCAAUAGCUUAGACCAUUUUCAGAAAGAAUGUCCUAUGGUUUGGAAACCUAUUAAGAAGGUAUGGGCAAAGACCGUAUAUUACACUAACACCAAUGGACUCAAGAAAAUAUGGGUACCAAAGAAAGCUUGAGUCUAUUUUCUAAAUGCAUGUCACUAUCAAGAAAAAGAUUAAAUGGUACCUGAAUAGUGGAUGCUCAAGGCAUAUGACAAGAGAUUCAAAAUGCUUCAUAAAGCUUGUUCAAUUUAAUGUUGGAAAAGUUUCAUUUGGAGGAAACAGCAAAGGAAGAAUUGUGGGAUAUGGAACUGUAAAGAUUGGAAGCCUCACGAUCAGUAAUGUUUCCUUAGUGGAAGGACUCAACUACAAUUUGUUAAGUAUCAGUCAGCUGUGCGACACCGGUUUCAAAAUCAAUUUUCAAGAGGGAAUAUGUUCAAGAACCAGUAAAGACUCCUCUCAAUCUUUCACGGGUCAAAGACAUGGAAAAAUCUACCUCUUGGAUAUCAAACCAGAUGAAACCCAAUGUCUGAUCUCAAUUCAAGAAGAAGCAAACUUAUGGCACAGAAAACUUGGGCACAUCAACAUGAAGCAAUUAGCCAAAAUUUCAGCAAAAAAACUUGUUCUUGGUCUACCCAAUUUGUCAUACCAAAAGUCUGAUCUAUGCACACCAUGUGUGUUGGGAAAACAGUUUGAAGAAAAAUCAGACGAAUGCAUCUUCCUUGGAUAUUCUAUCAUAAGCAAAGCUUAUAGAGUUUACAACAAGAAGACUCAAUCUGUGGAGGAAUAAAUGAACGUCAAAUUUUAAGAUUUUAUGCAAAACCAAUCGAUUCAGACUCAACCUGAAGAAUCUGAAUCUGGUCCAGACUCUACAAAGUCUAAAUCUUCAGAAGCAGCUCAGACUUCAGAAGAUCAGCAACAAAUGAUCAACGAAGAUUCAAAAGAGGAAAAAGAUCAACAGUUUGACAAAUCAACCAGCAACUGGAAGCAUAAGUCCAGUCAUUCCAAAGAUCUCAUUAUUUGUGAUAUUAAUGAAAGAAUUUGCACAAGAUCCAAAAGGCGCGAAGAGUCUAGUGCUGUGGCUCUUAUUUCUGAAAUAGAACCCAAGUGCAUAGAAGAAGCUUUAACUGAUGAAAGCUGGAUUGAAACUAUGCAAGAAGAACUCAAGCAAUUCAGCAUUAAUGAUGUCUGGGAAUUGACUCCUAAACCAAAAGGUAAAUCUAUCAUUGGAGCUAAAUGGGUUUUCAGGAACAAGAUGAACGAGAAAGGAAAUGUCGUAAGAAACAAAGCAAGACUCGUGGCCAAGGGAUAUACGCAAAAAGAAGGGAUAGACUAUGAUGAGACUUACACACCAAUAGCAAGGUUAGAAGUAAUUAGAUUAUUACUUGCUUUUGCUUGUCAUAAGAAUUUUAAGUUAUUCCAAAUGGACGUCAAAAGUGCUUUCCUAAAUGGAUUUAUCUAAGAAGAAGUCUAUGUGGAACAACCACCCGGUUUUGAAGAUCCAAGAAAACUAGACUCUAUAUUCAGACUGAAAAAUGUUUUAUAUGGUUUAAAGCAAGCACCUCGAGCUUGGUACGACUGACUAAAUAAGUUUUUAAUUCAGAACGGUUUUGUCAAAUGUAAAGUAGAUACUACAUUGUUUAUCAAAAGAGAAAGCAAAAGUAUUCUACUUGUUCAAUUUAUGUUGAUGAUAUUAUUUUUGGAUCUUUUAAUGAAAAUCUGUACAAGAAAUUUUCGAAGUCUAUGCAGGAUGAGUUUGAAAUGAGUAUGAUGGGUGAGCUAACCUUCUUUCUUGGGCUUCAAGUGAAACAACAGAAGGAAGGAAUCUUUAUUCAUCAAGAAAAAUAUGCUAAAGAACUUGUCAAAAAGUUUGGACUAGAAAAUUGCAAAAAGACUGAUAUACCAAUGUCAAGUUCUUUGAAGAUGGAUAAAGAUGAGGAAGGAAAGAAAGUUGACCAGAAGCUAUACAGGAGUAUCAUUGGUUCACUUCUUUAUCUAACUGCAUCUAGACCUGACAUUUUGUUUAGUGUUUGCAUGUGUGCCAGAUUUCAAUCAGACCCUAAAGAAUCUCAUUUAAGUGCUGCAAAGCGUAUUAUCAAAUGCAUUGCCUCAACUUCAAAUUUGGGUCUCUGGUAUCCUAAAGAAGGAGACUUUACUCUUCUUGGAUACUCAGACGCAAACCUAGCCGGAUACAGAGUUAAUAGAAAAAGCACCUCGGGCACCUAUCAACUACUUGGAAGCAGGACAGUGUCUUGGUUUUUAAGAAAGCAAAGUACAGUAGCUCUUUCUACAGUAGAAGCAGAGUAUGUAGCUCUUGGAAGUUGUUGUUCACAAAUUCUGUGGAUAAAACAACAGUUAAGAGACUUUGGAAUUGAGAUUCAUGCACUCAAAUCAAAUGUGACAACACCAGCGCAAUCAAUCUCACCAAGAAUCCGAUUCUUCACUCAAGAGCAAAACAUAUAGAGAUUCGACAUCAUUUCAUUAGAGAUCAUGUUCAAAAUGGAGAAGUUUCAAUUCAGUUUAUCGACUCAAAGAAUCAACUGGCGGAUAUAUUUACAAAGCCUUUGGAGAAAAAUCAAUUUGAAGUUAUUCGUUCCAAUCUCAAUAUCUUAAAGUCUGAGGAUGUUCAAACUCAGGACAUAAAGUCUAAAGUCUCUCAGACUCAAACAAUCAAGACUCUACGACUGUAAGUUAUUUCUAUUUUAGAAAUUUAUUUCUUGGAUCAAAUCUUGAAAAGGUACGAUCUUCUAUCCGAAAUUGAUUGGUGUUAUUUUCCCAAUUUUUCGUGAUUAAUGCAAUCCUUCUUUUUUCGAAAAAGAAGUUAUUUAAAAUGACAAUUAUCUAAUUUUUUGAAAAAGGCAGUUAUUUUUCAAAAGGCAUAUUUAUAUUUCUUUUUUACGACGUUCAGUAUGCCUCGCUUCGACUGCCUUAUAUGCUGUCGGUUCUUCUUCGUUUUACUCACAAAAACCCUAAGAGAGCACAGAUCUUCCAUUUCUGUCUUCUUCUCUUGUUUAAUCCUCGAAAAGUUUUCAUCUUUCUUGGGAAACAAGCUUGGAAUCUCUUAAAGACUGUGAAAGAUGUCGUCUCAAAGAAAGUUUUCGAGGAUCGCGAACAGGGAACCACAGCAAAUGUGUGCGGGGCCUACGCACUUUGAUCUCACUGAGGAAGAAGAAUCUCCUAGACAGCAGCAGAGCCCGCAACAUUCUCAGCAGCGUCCAUCUCCUCCAUCUAGACCUCAGGAUGUUGAACAUCAAGAAGAGGAAAAAAUCAUCGAAGACGCAGAACCCCUAAGAACUCUUAAGCCCGCUUUUACCUACAAAUUUUAUCGUGCUUUAAAGAGGGGUGGUACUCCGUUGAACUACAUUGAUGAAUUUCUUAAAGACAAAGGGUAUAGAAAUGAAACUUUCUUUUUACACACAAUGAAACGUUUGGGAAUUGCCCCUGCUUGGUCGGCGGAAGAGGCAUUGGCAAAUAUCUCAAGCAAUCCACGUGUUGGAGGGCUGAGUCAACCAGAUGGGAAUAACGAUGAUAGGAUGUACAGUCAGUUUAAACCUAGAAUGGGUGUUGCAGCAAAAAUCUGAAGCAAAAAGACGGAUUUAUUUCAAUCGGAGGAACACAAGCAACUGUAGUCUAAGUUGCUGAAGCGUGGGGUGAUAAACCCUAGAAGUGUGGACUUUGAUUUUCUUGACUCUAUGAAUGUCAAUCUGCGAGAAAAAUUCAGUCUUCUUCAACUCGAACAGUUUUGUUCUGAAACUACAGAAGCUCAUGCUGAACUUACUGCUUAUUUCUAUUCGAAUCUCAGUUUCUUGGAUGCGAAUAGGUUCUCUUUUAGUGUUCGAGAUCAAGACUAUGUGGUUGACAUGAAUACAUUGGCUAAUGUGAUUAGGGUUGAAAGAUGGAGAUAUCAACCUAUCAGUGUGUCUAUUGCUCGUGCAACGUUGGAGCUUGUUUAGGAUAGAAGGACAGAAGGGAAGAUUUCCUAUUUGAGGAUAAAUGCGACCAACAUUUUGCUUCACAAGAUUGUGAUUAACUACCUCAGACCAAAAUCUACUUCAAAGACCGACGUUUCAAACUCGGAGGCAAAGCUGAUGUAUGCCAUCAAUGCUGGGAAAAAGUUUUCUCUUUCACACACUAUUAUGUUCCACAUGAACAAAGCAGUGGUGAAGGACAAGGGUCAACUUCCUUAUCCAGCUCUUGUGACUCAGUUAUUCAUACAUUUGAACGUUCAGCCUCCCCGGAUUUUCUGUGUUCGAACAUGCGAUCAAAUGGUGGUGGGAUUGAAAAUGGUCUCUAAAAUGCGUCUGAAGGAACUCAACAAGGCGUUGGAACAAUUCAAGGAGAAAACCCCUGUCAAGACUCAUCAAAUAUCUUCAGCUACAAAGAGGAAAAGAAAGGAGCCCAUGGUUGCUCCAUCCAAGAAAAUAAGAGCUCUCAUCAUUGAGGAUGAAGAGGAUGAGGAUGAUAUCACCAUUUCCACGAUGGCAUUGAAGAACUUGAGUCGUUCUGUUCCAAAAUCGACGAAAAGCAAGGAAAAAGACACGGAUGAGAUAGAACAGAGGACUGGAGAGAAAGAAGUUUUGGAGAAAGAAGCAGAGGAGAGAGAAGCAGAGGAGGAAAUAAUUGAGGAAGAAGAAGAAUAGGAGAGAGGAGAUCAAGCGGAAGUAGAGCAUGAGGAACACUUUUCUCCACCUGAAGGCAUGGAAACAGGGGGAGAUCGUGAGAAAAGAGGAACGUCCUCAUUCCCUGCCACCAGUGAAGGAAUAAGUCGUUCUCCAGCAGAUCCAAAGGACAUCUAUGCCUCUCAAUUUCCUGAAGAGGGACAUGAUGUUUCAUCGCCCAAUUUGCGUGACCAUGCUGAUUUACCACCAUCUACCUAUACUCCAUCUGAUCGUGCAGAAGCCAGUACUCAGACUGAUAAUUCAGUAGAUUUUCGCAAAAUUCUUGAUGUUCUCUUGGAGAUGCGGGGUCAAAUAUAUGCUUUGGGAUGCGAAGUACAAAACUUGCAAAAUGCAAGACAAGCUUCUUCAGUUUCUUUGAAUGAUCAAAUCCAUGCCCUUGCUCUUCAAGUUCAAGCAAAUGCUAAGGGUGAAGAUGUGGAGCAACUGAAGGAGGAUUUGAAAAAGCUGGAAUGGAUUAUCCAGUCAAUGGGAGAUUUCCAGCUUGUUCGUAUUCCCAAGCAAUCUUAAUUCCAUUCUCUUUUCAUCUCUACCUUUUUAAUGAUGACAAAAAGGGGGAGAGAUGUGGUGCAUAUUUGAUUUUGAACUUUGAACUCACUUUUUGAACUUUUGUGUCGAUUAUGUUUGAUUGACUUGACUUUUGUGUUUGGCUGUUUGGAUUUGAACUGGAUUUGGAUUUGACUGUUUGAACAUUUGUUUAUCUUAAGUACUAUUGAUAUCUCAUGGCUUUGUUCAUUUAUAAGACUAACCUACUUUCUAUGGAUGCAGAUUCUAGUGUUAUUUUUACUAAGCCAUUUAUCUUUGUGAGAUAUCAAUAUUUGCUUGAGUAAUGUUUUGCCGGUCAAAGUUAUCCAAAUCUGCAGGAAAGUUUUGUCACCAUCAAAAAGGGGGAGAUUGUUGGAGAAAACUUCCUUGAGUGUUUUGAAGCUGACAAAACGUUUCCAUCAAUCUAGUCUGAAGACUUGUAGACUCUUCCAUCAAAGUCUGAAGACUCCGGACUACCAGACUCAAGACUCAAAAUCUAUCCUCAUUGACAGUUUCUAGAUUGUCGAAGAAGGCUUAUCCAGAACUGGAUGUUUCGUUAAGGAUUUGACUUUAUCAACUGGAGAAGAUCUCUUGGCUGGAUAUAACAUGUCGGAAUCCAUUAUUCAAAUCAAGAUUGAUUCAGGGAUUAUGGAUCCGUUGAUUAGCGAAGUAUACUUGGAAGGUUCUACUUAUGGAAACCUAGAUCCUGAUUGUAUGGGCGAGCAGGAUUGAUGGGCUAUCGUCAUGUUCCUUAAAUAGCUCGAAGAUCUUCCUAAUUGAUUCUGUCCAACGGGUAGAUUGGAAGAAUUCCUUUGGUAAGUGCCAAUGGGUAUGAUGGCAUAAAGGAGUAUAUAAGGAAGACGUUCCAGUUGUUCGAGUGUGUGCGCGAUAGAAGAAUUCCAAAGUCUGAAGCUCCUUGUUCUUAGUCAAUUAAACUGUUGAGCGAAAUCUUGUACGUAAAAGAGAGUCUAUAUCUUUAAGAGACCUUGAGGAAGUGUAGUAGAGUCUCUACACUGUGGAAUCAAGGAAGAGCUUUACUGUAACAAUUCUUUUGUUCAUAGUGAAAUCCAGCCGGUGGGCUGUCAGUGCGAAAGAGUGGACGUAGGCUUGGAUUAAGCCGAACUACUAUAAUCCCUAUGUUCAUAUUCUCUUCUCUACGCUCUUUUACUUUGAUCGUAACUCGUUUUGUUUACAAAAGACGGAUUUCCUUUUCAUAAUCUAUUGUUGAUUAGUGCUACACACUUAUAUCGUAAAAUUGUUUUUACACCUAUCACCCCCCCCUCUAGAUGCUCAUACUAGCUUUCACACACUCUAGUUGUUUAAAUUUUCAAUUUGCCUACUUUUCUUAUCGUUUGUAAACUUUGCUUGUCCUAGCAACUCUUGUGAUUUACCGACUCUUUUUUCAAAUAUUAUCACUAACCUAAUUAAAGUGACAUAACAACUUCUCUUCGAUUAAAUUAUCGGCUAGUCUUGAAUUGCCAACUCUCACUUGAGUUACUUACCAAUUUUAUUUUAUUUUAAAUUACCAACUUUUAUUAUCUUUUAUGACGUUUUAUCUUUCCUAACUCCUCCAUACAUAUUUAAUCCAUAACAUGCGACAUGAUCAUACAUUAUCACAUCUUUUUCCGUCAAUCUUUUCCAUACAAAAUAUGCAGGACUUCUUGAGCUCCCAAUUAAUUUUCACUAAAUGAGCUAGUUAUCUCAACGAAAAUAGUGCUUGACGGUACAUUAUUGUAGGUUUAUACUCCUGACCAUCAUCUUGAUAGGAUAAGCUAACACUAACAAAAUUGCCAAAUAUACGGAUUAGGUAUCAGUUUGGCCAUGGUUUGAUUAAGUCCAAGUAAUUAGCUGCACUUUUGGGUGACUCCGGGUCCGAGACUCCAACUAUCAAAUCAAGACUCGAAAAAACACAAGAGACUAGUCAAUUUAACCAUUUUAUUUAAAAAGAUGCUAUUUCCACUUUAUUUUAUGAUUUUAAUACCUCUUCUUUUUUCUUCCAAGUUACUUCUCCAAUAUGGGCUUCUAGACGAAGAAGGGUUUGAUGUGCAUAUAAUCUAACUGGAUCCGGAUUUUCUUGACAUAUUAAGUAUAAAUCUACAAGUACCUAAGAUUCAUAUAUAAUAAGCACAUAAACUCCCAUUUUCUUCUGGACUUAUCAAGAAACCUGAUGGAUGGAGACACCCUUUCGAUUCUUCCAAGGUUGCAACUUGUUGAGGGACAAAAUAAAUUCACAAUUAAAUUCCCAACAUUAGGAACUCGUUGAUAAUACUAGCAUGUACACGUGCAUAUUAGUCAAAAGUCUAGAAAAAACUUCCCUUGUUUAUAGGUUAGCUCCAGAAUAAAGGUCGAUCUAAAUAAACCCAGGUUGAAGAAUUCAAUAAUAAAUUUAAUCUUGAAAAAAAAAAAAAAAACCCAAAACCUCGUCCAUACGCACACAUACAUAUAUAUAUAAGAUACACUUAAGAAUUUCGAGGUUCUUGUUUUAGUUGGUUGAAGUAGUGAUUAGCUUUUAGCCUUUCUAAGUAAAGACUAUGAAAUGUAGAGAAGGAGUUGGGACUUGGGAUUAGAUGCCUCCUCCACCUGGUACCUUGUAUCUACAUAUUGAAAAUUCUAAUAGGACUUCGAAGUUGGAGUGUUAAAAGUAUAUCUUGCAUAAAUAGUUAUCAGAUUUAUAACGAAGUUAUAUACAUCAUUAAAUUGAUUAAUAGAUUAAGAUGCACCUUCUAGGAACACAAAAAUCUAUUGUCUUGUGUUCAAUUGUAUGAAAUCUUUCUAUCAUAGUGGCAAAUUUAAACAUCGUUCGCUGGUGAAAACAAUGGUCAUCGAUUUUUUUUUCAAGUAAGGUGUUGGUAAAUUUACCAACAACUUUAUGAAAUUGCCAACUUAUUUAGAGUUUGCAAAUUUACAAAUUUUGUACAAACUUAUCUAUUUUUAUUUGUAUAUCUUGCUAAUGCUUUGAAUUCACUAAUCUUCUUUUAUUUUAUUUUUUAUUUUUUAUGAAACUGAUAGCUUAAAUUAGUGUGAUUUACUAAUUUGUCAAAUUAAGUUUUUAAGUUUUGGUUUACCAACUCUCUGCGAAUUAUUUACCAACAUUAAUUUUAUUUAAUCCUCCAAAUUUCCCGUUAAAGUUACCAACCUUUUAUGUAUCUUUCCUAACUCAUCCAAUAUAUGUUUUCUGCGCAACGUGUGAUGAAGACGUGAUCAUACGCAAUCACAUCCUUUUCCAUUGAUUUUUUCAGACAAAACACUCAAGACUUCUUGGGCUCUCAUUAAUCUCUAGUAUAAGAGCUAGUCAUCCUGACUCAAAUACCGAAGGUCCACAGUAAUAUUAUAGGCUCAUGCUCCCGACGGCCAUCUCAAGAGGAUAAGCUAACCCCUAACACAAUUGCUGGCUGAAUCCACGAAUUAUGUAUCGGUUUGGCCAUGGUUUGAUAAAGUCUUUGGUGAUUAGCUGUACGCCGGUCGACUCUAGCUACCGAAACACACAUUAAUUAAUAAAACUCAGGAAAACAUUCGCGCCCAAUUACUGCUAUCUGUUCAUAGGACCCAAUCGAAUAUUUGUGUCACCCUUUUUAUGUUGGAUGCAAAUUUCUUACUGGCUUCACCUACUCGAAGGAACUGCGAUUUAGGUGGUAGGUGGCGACCCUUUCCUUUCUCUCUUGUCUUCUUUUUCUUUUCUUGCCUCGAUUUUCCUUUAUUUUCUCCGGGGUUGGUGGUAAUUGGUAGGCACGACUUUAACAAAUUCUUUGGCCUAUGUCCGCAUUCAAAUGGUGUUCUGACCGCAUCUGAAUUGAAAAGCUAGCUACCGUCUCCCCAGAGACUGGCGAUUUGAUCGAAAGUGGUAGGACAAAAGGGUAAUGAUAUCCAGUCUUUGGAUCGGAUGGAUGGGAUUUAUUAAUCCCCAGCUAAUCCACUUAAUUUAAUUUACUUCGUCUCAAAAUUCGGGGCUGAGUUCUUUGAAUGUUUCCCUUGUGAGCAUGGACUUGUCUCGCACGUGAUUUGCAAAAUGAAGUGGAUCUUUUCAUGCAAAUAGAUAAAAAUGGCAUUGGAACUUAUGGUUUUAUAACUUAGUCAAGUAUUAUAGUUACACCAUUACCCAAAUGUCUGAAUAUCUUUUCAUUUUUGGGAAGUAACGAAGAAGGACAUGACUUGGGAUUUACUCUUUUUGGGUCAACAACUUAACAUGGGAUUUUUGGAACAUGACUUUUCGGUUUAAUACGGUCAACAAAUUCAAAAUAUGGUCAUUCCUAAAUUCAUUUAAUAAUCAAUUUGGGCAUAUUUAAUCUUUAUAUAGCUUCACGACCUACUCCCAAAACAAGAUAGUUUUGUCUUUACUAGCAACUCAUCGAAAUUGCGAUUCCACAACGGAGUUUAGCUUAGGAAUCGAAUUUUCAUUUGACAUUUUAUAUGGUAUGUCCUAUGUCCUAUGUUGCUAACAUCCCACAUGGUCAUGGAAUAAGGAAAAAAAAUUACGUGAAUGCAGUUUCUCUUGGGGAAAAGUCAAAAUAGAAAAAGGAAUCCCAUCGUAAAAUCUUUCUUUAAUAUAUAUGAAGACAAAAAGGUCCUCAUAUACUCUUCCAUUUGAGUCGAAAUUAUCACGCAUGGCACUACAUCGAGAUUUAUAGUUUGAACUGAAUUUUGUGAUUGGAUUGAAUUUUAAUUUUUAUUCAAUUUAAAUUUUACGGUCCACAAAUGUUGAUUUUUUGUAAUCCGAAGCGUUCGAGACUUUGACACUAUAUCUAUGAUUUUUAUUGGAAUCUAAGUAUUUUAAGUUACGGUGGAAAAACAAAAGGAAUAAUUUUUUCUUUUAAUUAUUUGCAAACAAGCAAGCUCAUCUUAUUACGUCAUUGAGAUAAUAAAUUUAGUUUACAAGUGAAAAAUAGAAAUUCUUCAGCACGCUUGUCUCUUGCUAUCAUUGAAGUGUUUAGUGUCAUGCGAAAUAUAAGCAGUUUAUUAAUUAUUAAGUGUUCUAAAGGGUCAAUACAUGCGAGGUUAAUAAAUUAUCGAGAUAUCGAAAGUAUAGUCAAUUGUGAUCAAGAGGCAAAUGCCUUCAAUGCUUCGAUUGUCUUUGUGUUCUACACAAUUAGUAUCUCGAAAUUGAAUUACACAUAUAAAACAAAUGUCCAUGACUUUCAUUAUGACUUACGUUAAAAAGUACCCGAUGCACUUGUUAAGCAAUUUGGAUAAGCAUGGCACUACAUCGAGAUUUAUAGUUUGCGCUGAAUUUUAUCAUUGGAUUGAAUUUUAAUUUUUAUUCAAUUAAAAUUUUACGGUUCACAAAUGUUGAUUUUUUUAUUAAUUUGAAGCGUUCAAGACUUUCACAUUAUAUCUAUGAUUUUUUUUUUUUUUGGAAUCUAAGUAUUUUAAAUUACGAUGGAAAAAAAAAGGGAAUAGAUUUUUCUUUUAAUUAUUUGCAAAUAAACAAGCUCAUCUUAUUAAUAAAUUACAUCACUUAGAUAAUAAAUUUAGUUUACUAGUGAAAAACAUAAAUUCUUCGGCACGCUUGUCCCUUCCUAUCAUGGGGCAUCAUGCGAAAUAUAAACAAUUUGUUAAUUAUUAAGUGUUCUAAAGGGUCUAGACAUGCAAGGUUAAUAAAUUAUCGAUUUAUCAAAAGUAUAGUCAAUCGUGAUGAAGUUGCAAAUACUUUCAAUGCUUCGAUUGUCUUUGCGUUCUCCACAAUUAGUGUCUUGAAAUUGAAUUACACAUAUAAAAUAGAUGUCCAUGACUUUCAUUAUGACUUAUGUUAAAAAGUACCCGGCGCACUUAAUAAGCAAAUUUAAUAAGAAAAUAUUCUAUUUCGAGAGUAUCAACUGUAGAUAUUAAGAAAGAAGUUGGUGCGUAGAAACUUUACUUAUUUUCUUUUUAUUGAAUUGUUCAUCAAAAAAUGUCUUUGGACCCGCUGUGUGACUUAUCCGUUCCUCUGCUCAGUGGGAGGACCAGCUUUGGUUGGUGCAUUGGUUUGGUUGGUAGGAGUAACAUCGUGCUCUCUCCCGAAUGACAUUGUCGUAACCCAUUUCUUAAUUUUUGCAGAGAUGGAGUGUUUUAUUUAUUGCAAGCUCCACUAGUUCCCAAAAAGACUUGGCGCCCCGGACUCACGGACUCGCCAUGCCGCCUCGACGGAGUCCUGAACCCAACCGACCUAGAAUGGACACAAACACAAUGAUAAUUUCCAUUGGUAUAUGUUAUCGGACCGCACAUUUCAUAAGAAUUGUUGAAAGAAUAUGUUAAAAAUGGAAUUGGUACGAGUAAAACGCGCAGGAUGGUUUUGGACUUAUAUUAAAAAUCAGAGGAUAUGACCAAUUCCUACGUAAAAUGAUGAUGAGAUGGAUUGUUUCAAUGAAUUUGGAGAGCGCAAUAGUCAAAUAGUGGGGUUGGUGACCGCACGAUGCAGGCUCAUGCAAAGCGUGUCAAUACCAUGGAGUCAAGUAAGACCAUUUUAUAAUCCCACUCGUACUUCAAAAAUACUGAGAAGAGCACAAGUAAUUUGAGCAGAAAAAGUAAUUUAGUGCUAAUUUCUAGGGGUCACAAUUUUAUGGAUUUUUUUUUUAAAUCAAUUUUUGGUCUGUGCCCUUAAAAUCAUUUUCCUUUCAAAGAUUAAAGUAAAUUGCGAAAUUGAGAAAUAAAAUAUUUUACCAAAAAAGACAGAAAUAUUCAGCAAAAGAAAUGUCGAAAUGAAACGAAAUAAGCCUAAAAGAAAUUGAUCACUCUUAUCUUUUUUUUUCCUUUAACACCGUCAUUAAAAGAAUUUGUCUUGAUAUUACUUAUUAGAUUCCUCCAAUGAUGCAUUUCUGAGGGCUUCCUUCCCGUGAUGUAACACGAGAGCCAUCCUCAUUGUUCCCCAAUUGGGGAGGCCAUUUCUUGUUAGUGCCCGGUGGAACAGCUCAAUGUGCCUAAUCAUCACUUAAACAACACCAAACACCAAUCAACUCCCUCCCCCAUAAUUUCCCAAUUCAAAAUCUCCACCCGGUCGGGAAUUUCAAUUCAAAAACCAGCUUCGGCCCGCAAAAAAAGAAGAAAAAAACCUGAAAUCGCCACUUAGAGGGAGAAUGUCCAUUCGAUUCUAAUGCAAGUAGUUCAAAUAAGAAACUCAAGAGAGAAAAAACAAAAUAAAGAAAAAAAAAAGGAGGAUAUUUGCGCCGUUGACGUGGUGCUUUCAUUCGUCCACCGAGUCCUCAGGCUCUCACCAACCCCCGGCAGCCAAAAUCCCUGCCUCCCUCCCCCACCACCUCUUUGACGAGUAAGGGCGCACAUAAUUAAAUUUCUGGAACAGAAAUCAAUUUUUAUUUCAUGAACGAGUUUCUGAGCAAAGAAACACAUUUAAUGACAAUUCAAAUUUCUAUUUCAAAAAUAAAAAUUCAUUUGGUAAAAGAAUUAAAUUUCUAUUUCUAGGAGUGGUGACGACCGGCGUCCGAUGGCCGAAGUUUGACGUCCGGCAAGCGGCGGCGAGCGACCGUAGUCUGGAGUCCGAUGUAAAAAGUUCGGCAUUCGGCGUUUGGCGGCUGGUGGCCAGCAUCCAGCAUCCGACAUCCAACAUCCAGAGUUUGGUGUCCAAUGUCCGGCGUCCAACUAGCCAGCAACCGGCGUCCAACAUCCGGAGUCUGGCGUUCGAUGUCCAAAGUCCGAUAGUCGGCAGUCAGCGGUUGGUGGCUAGUGGCCGAAGCCGGCGAGCAGUGGUGGGCGGCCAACAUCCAACGGUUGGUGGCAAGCAACGGGCAGUGGGUGGCGAAUGUUCGGUCGUCAGUGGUGAGCCUCCGACAUCCAACGGUUGGUGAUGAGCGACCAACAACUGACAAGCAUCCGACGGCCGACGGUCGACAAUGGGCAGCAGUCAGCGAGCAGCAGCGAGUGGCGGGCGUCCAGCAUCCCACGAGCGGCCGGUGGGCAAUGGGUGGUGACAAUAGUGAACAAUGAGAAAAAUUUUGAUUUCUCAUUUCUGUUCCAGAAAUAGAAAUGUGAAAAAUUCUAACUUGUAAUUUUUACUCCAAAUCUAUUUCUAAAAUAAAAUUCUGUUUCAGAAAUUAAAAAAAAAUUUAAAUUACGUUACCAAUUAGAUUUCUGUUCCAAACGUGUUCCGGGGAACAGAAAAACAGACAAAUCGAUAAUUAGAAAUGUUGUUAUGCGCCCGCGCUUUCAUUUCUUCAUCUUUUCUCUUUUUCUUUUUAUCUUUUUUUUUUAUCGCAGGCAAAACGGCCAAAGAAUUCCCCGAAAUGACACUACAUGCACACAUGUCGUCCACGUGUCAUGAUCCCGCCCGUCCAAGGGGAGCAAUCCGACGGCCCCGGGAGGAUUUCAACUAACCCGUCGGCCUAACCUACCUGACAUUCAAUGGCGGGCGCGCCUCUCCUCUAUUUGAACGUCCGAUUUGCAGGAGAGCAGACUCAGGAAAUUCACUGUGAAUUUCCUUUAGAGCAAAACACACUCAAAAAACGCCACCGCGCUCUUCCUCUCUCGCCAGCCCUCACCUCGAUCUCGAUUUCGCGCUGACUCGCUCCUCGCUCGAUUACGACUCCUCUUCUCGCUCUCUCGGCCGCUCUAGACGUUCGCAUUCACACGAGCGCGAAGAUGGACAUGGACACGGCAGCGUGCAACGGCAAGGGCUGGCUCGGGCUCUGCUCGGGGGCAGGCGGUGACCCGCUCAACUGGGGCGCGGCCGCCGCGGCCCUCACGGGGAGCCACCUCGAUGAGGUGAAGCGGAUGGUUGAGGAGUCCCGGCGGCCCGUGGUCCGCCUCGGCGGUGAGACGCUGACCAUCGCACAGGUGGCGGCCAUCGCUGGGCAGGAGGCCGGUGCGGCGGUCGAGCUGUUGGAGGGGGCCCGGGCGGCGGUCAAGGCCAGCAGCGACUGGGUGAUGGAGAGCAUGAGCAACGGCACGGACAGCUACGGGAUCACCACCGGCUUCGGCGCCACCUCGCAUAGGCGGACCAAGCAAGGUGGUGCCCUGCAGAUGGAGCUCAUAAGGUUUUUUGGUUCUUUUCUUUUUUACAUGUGCAGACACUAUUCGUAAGGCUCACAUGAGGCCGGAGACAAAAGUACGGAUUAGCACACCAACAUUUUUUUUAUUAAACGUACAAGCAACAAUUUUUUUUAAACAAAUUAAAAAGGAAUUUUCAAUAUUAUUUGCUUUGUUCAAACUCCUGAUAAAGAUCCACCAGCGGACAAUAAAAUAAAGGAUUAAUACUCUAAAAAAUCCCAAACCGGUAUACCUGUGACAAAUUUACCUAAAACUAUUCUUUUGACCACAAAAAAAUCCCAAACUAGUAUAUAUUUGAUAAAUUUACCCCAAACCGGUACAUUUAUGGCAAAUUUUUUCCUUAUUAGUUCUCGUUAAAUUUUACAAUCAAAUUAUUAAUUCAAAUGACACGUGACAAUUGAUUUGAGAUUUUAUGCUCCGUUUGUCACAGUUUACAAUUUUUGUGAUUUUUUUUUGUAUUAAUCCAAUUUAGCGAAGAGUAUAUUUGUCACAAAUUUACCAGUUUGGGAUUUUUUUCAAUCGAAUAAAUUAGUUUUUGGUAAAUUUGUCAUAAAUGUACCAGUUUAUGGUUUUUUAUUAUCAGUUGGGUUAAAUUUGUCACAUGUAUAUUAGUUUUGGGUUUUCAUGAUCAAAAAAAUAAUUUAUGGUAAAUUUGUCACAAGUAUACCAGUUUUGAGUUUUUUUGAAUAUUAACCCUAAAAUAAAACAAUCAGCUAGCCCGUCCUUAUCACCCCAUCUUCCACAUCCAAUUUUUUACAAGAAUAUUUUUAAAAAAAUCAAGUAAAAUCCUUUAUUUUAAUUUAAAAUUAACACUUGUCAUCUGCGGUAUAAAUAGUCCUCUCGUGAAGGGCUGCCAAGUGCCGGCUGAGCUUCCUUUCCAUAAAAGAUAUAUACACAAACGCUGCAAGUAUCAACCCAAAGGCCAAAAUCAAUUUUUCUAUAAUUUUGAAAUAUUAGGUAACCAAAAAUAAUAUGGAGAAGAUUAAUUAAUUUCGAAGAUGACCCGUAAUAAUUACUUUUUUAAUACCUAAUUUCUCACUUUUCAAUUAAUAAGACUUACCUUUGCUAUAAUUAAAUAAGUGUCUAAAUCGAGAUUCACAUUUUGUUUGUUAUAAUUAAUAAUAUGUGACUGACAAAAUUUUUCGAUCGGGCUAGGUUCUUGAAUGCCGGCAUAUUCGGCAAUGGGACUGAGUCGUGCCACACUCUGCCCCACUCGACGACCCGGGCCGCAAUGCUCGUGAGGAUCAACACCCUCCUCCAGGGCUACUCAGGCAUCCGGUUCGAGAUCCUGGAGACCAUGGCCAAGCUCCUCAACCGCAACAUCACCCCAUGCCUGCCUCUCAGGGGUACCGUCACAGCCUCGGGCGACCUGGUCCCCUUGUCCUACAUCGCCGGGCUUCUGACGGGCAGGCCCAACUCGAAGGCGGUCGGGCCAAACGGCGAGUCCCUGAACGCCGUCGAGGCCUUCCGCCUUGCUGGGAUCGAGCACGGGUUCUUUGACCUGCAGCCCAAAGAGGGCCUCGCGAUCGUGAAUGGCACGGCAGUCGGGUCUGGGCUCGCUUCCAUUGUCCUGUUCGAGGCGAACAUCCUGGCCGUCCUCUCAGAGGUUCUGUCGGCGAUCUUCGCCGAGGUGAUGCAAGGGAAUCCGGAGUUCACCGACCACUUGACCCACAAGCUCAAGCACCAUCCCGGACAAAUUGAAGCUGCAGCUAUAAUGGAGCACAUCUUGGAUGGGAGCUCCUACGUGAAGGACGCUCAAAAGCUCCACGAGAUCGACCCUCUCCAGAAGCCGAAGAAGGACCGAUACGCGCUCCGCACGUCCCCGCAGUGGCUCGGCCCCCAGAUCGAAGUGAUCAGGGCCGCCACCAAAAUGAUCGAGAGGGAGAUCAACUCUGUCAAUGACAACCCGCUGAUCGACGUCUCCAGGAACAAGGCUCUCCAUGUAGGGAACUUCCAGGGGACCCCGAUUGGCGUUUCCAUGGACAACACCCGUCUCGCCAUCGCCUCCAUCGGCAGGCUCAUGUUCGCGCAGUUCUCCGAGCUCGUCAACGACUUCUACAACAACGGGCUGCCCUCUAACCUGUCCGGGGGACGGAACCCAAGCCUGGAUUACGGCUUCAAGGGAGCUGAGAUCGCCAUGGCCUCAUACUGCUCGGAGCUGCAGUUCCUUGCCAACCCUGUGACCAACCAUGUCCAGAGCGCGGAGCAACACAACCAGGACGUGAACUCCUUGGGCCUGAUCUCGUCGAGGAAGACCGCCGAGGCCGUCGAUGUGCUGAAGCUCAUGUCCUCCACCUUCCUGGUCGCCCUAUGCCAGGCCAUCGACCUGAGGCACCUGGAAGAGAACCUCAAGAGCGUAGUCAAGAACACGGUGAACCAAGUGGCCAAGAAGGUCCUCUACGUCGGGUCCAACGACGAGCUCCACCCGUCGCGGUUCAGCGAGAAAGACCUGAUCAAGGUGGUCGACCGGGAGUACGUCUUCGCCUACAUCGAUGACCCCUGCAGCGCCACGUACCCCCUGAUGCAGAAGCUGAGGCAGGUCCUCGUGGACGAUGCGCUGGACGACGUCGACCGGGAGAUGAACCCCAGCACCUCCAUCUUCCAGAAGAUUGGGACUUUCGAGGAGGAGCUCAAGGCACUCCUCCCGAAGGAGGUCGAGAACGCGAGAGCUCAGUUCGAGAGCGGGAACUCGGCGAUCGCUAACAAGAUCAGGGGGUGCAGGUCGUACCCAUUGUACAGGU
rnacentral:lncRNA from 1 species